rnacentral:lncRNA from 1 species
GAGGCAGCAAAUCAAGAGGAUUCUUUGGUUUGGGCUUUGGUGCCUCCUCCUCCACAGCGGCCUCUGCCUUUGCUGCCUGUUUCUCAACCUCCUUUUUGGCUUCUUUCUUUGGUUCAGCCUUUGGUUUAGUUUCUUUUGGCUGGGCAGCAGGCUUCUUUGAAGGAACAGGUGGUAGAGAGACUGCCUGCUUCACUUCACCAAGAAUCCUCUUGAUUUUUGGCUGAUUAACCAAGGUCCAAAAGUACCUCUCAACAUGAGGGAAUUCAGAGGUAAAACUCUUGGUCAUGAUCUGGAAGAAACCCAAGUAGAGAUUACAUGUCAUGAUAAUGUCAGCAAGGGUGACAGCAUGUCCAACAAGAAAUGUGUUGGAAGCAAGAUGAGUGUUCAAAGCGCCAAGGGCUCUCUUCAAUGCAGUAAUAGCAGCUUCCUCAGCCUACAUGCAAAAUACAAAUAAGAGAUUAAAAUGAAAUAGAUGGGCAAAAUCAUACCAUUAAAGUAAAAUGAGCUACUACUGAAUUACAAAAAUAAAAUUUCUCUUUAUAUAGAUUAAUAAAUACAUCAGAAUGGGGGAGAAAACAACCUAAUCUCUUAAAAAAAUAAUGAGGAGAAAACCCAUGCCUACUUGAUUAUCAAUUCAAUGGGCAUUCCCUUCUACCAAAAUUACUUAAUAGUGCUUGAGUUGAUUCCUUUCCAGAAACUAUGCAUGGGAAAACACCACCACAUUAAGCAUGUACUAAAUGUUGUGUAACUAAUCCUCUCUAAAAUAAAUAAAACAAGAAUCAUAGACAGGUAAUCAAUGCCAAUUUUCCCUUCACCAUGCCCACCUUAAUAUUAUGUAUUUUGAUGACUAAGCUGCCUUAUUCCAAUUUUAACAUGGGACCUAUUGUCUUAUAAUUAGAAAGAAACAAAGACUAAGUAUGGCCCCAGCAAAUCAAGCUUAAUUAAAAUGAUAAAAGAAUCUGCGAGGAAAGAUAGUAGAACUUACUGGAGGAAGGUAAACACCGUAACCAAGUCUUGGAUACAACCAUUUGGCAAUAUUAGCAUCAAUUUCCAUGGCUGCAAAAUCAAUCCAUUGCUCGAUAUGACCCUAAGAAAGCCAAAGUAAUACAUACAAACAAUUACUUCCAUGGUUUAAAAUAAACUUAACUGAUGACAGAAGAAAACAAGACCAUUGUACUAUAAGAAUCUUACAUAAUCAAUCAAUGUAGAACCACAUAUAGGGUUGUUAACCUUUGAGCGAGCAACUGCAGAGAAAAGUAUACCAAUAAGUAAACAAACAUUAGAGGAAGAAAAUUUAGGAUAUGGAGUCAGCAGAUCUUCUCACCAUAACGAGCAAUGGCAUUGCUCUCAAAUACCGGACCCUCAGGUGUUUCCAACACAGGAACCUAGAAGAGUUAUAAAUAUCUUCAGUGAACUGACCUAGAAAAAAGGUUACGUAACAUGCAUAAAAAAAAUUCUCCAGUUUAAAUAUAUUAAUAGGCGUUACAAGGUCACCUUCCCCAAAGGGUUCAUCUUGAUGAACUCAGGAGUCUUAUUUGACACACCCAUCUCAAAAUUCUCAACCAUUUUGACCUGCACACCACUAUAUUCUGCAGCAAUGAGUGCCUUAAAGGCAUUUUUGUUUGUUUUUCCUGCAUGCAAGAUCUGCAUGUAAAUCAACACACCACAUUGAUUAGAUGAACCGGUUGAUUAAGAAGUUGAAUACAAUGUCAAACACCAGUCACUCCCUACAACUAAUCCAGGAAAAUCCUGAAAUUAAUCCUUUUCGCCCUAUAAAUUCUCUUAAAGACCAUUCCCUUUACAUUCUAAACUACUAAACGGUACUUAGCAUUUCCAUCUACCAUACACAAUUAACCUAAUUGACGUAACAUCUCGCCAUCAAUCUUUCUUCUGGUCAAUGGUUCCCAAUUGAAAUCUAAGGUGGUAGAGUUAAAAUCAAAAUCAAUUUUUUUUUAUCGUUAUGAUUAGUAUCUACAAAUCCAUAAACUAUUCCAUUGAUAGUAACUAUAUAAAACAUAUUCAAUCUGCCACUUCCUUCGCAAUGUAAAAAAGCUAGUUACAAAUUUCACUUUCUAAUUCUACUCGAAAUAACUUCCACCUAGUCAUUAGGUGUCAAUUCUGUCAACAGUUAAACUACCACAAGAAACGAAACUAAUAUAGAUACACAGAUAUAAAGCUUACCAGAGCCAUGGCUUGAUAGAAAAGAGCGCUACGAUUUGAGAACUGAGAUCUGGAAAUUGAAAAACAGAGAAUAAAAAUAAACGGAAUAAGGAAAAAUAUUCAAGCAGGAGAACUUGAUUGCCAUGUAUUAAGGAGAAAAAAUGAGAGAAGGGAUUAAGAAAGAACCUUAGACGAAAUCGCAGCGAGAAGGAGCGGGAGAGACUGCGGGACAAAGAGAGAAUAAAAGAAGGGGGGACUAGGGUUUUUGUAGAGUAGAGCGAAUGUGAUGUGGGGUUAUCAGUUCGGGUUCCGGUUUAGAUCCAGAUUUACUAACCCCUUUCUUUUUCCGGUUCUUUUAAGCGUGUCUUUCAAGUAAUAAGUGGGUGAGUUAGAAGUAGAGGUGAUCAUGGGCCGUGCCGGGCCGGGUCGGGUUCGGGCUGAACUCAUACAAAUUUUUAGGCCUGUUUAUUAGGCCCGGGUUCGGCUCGAAAUAUGGGCCUAAAAUUUUGUCCAAGCCCGACUCGAAAUAAAAUUACUAAGCCCGGCCCGGCCCGGCCCGGCCCAUAUUAAAAAAUUUUUUAUUUCAUUAAAUAAAAAAAUUUAAAAAUAUAAUAAAUCAAAUAUAUUUAAAAACAUAAAAACAAAUAUUAAAACAAAUAAAAAUAAUACUAAAACAAUUCUUAAAACAAUACACAAAUUAAUAAUAUAAUAAAAAAUAGUUAUAUUAAAAAUUUAAAAUAAUUAAAAAUAAAAUAAAUAUAUAUAUAUAUAAUUUGGGCAGGGCCGGGCCGGGCCGGGCCCGGGCCAAAAAACUCUUACCCGAGGCCCGGCCCGUUUUCUAAACGGGCCUCAUUUUUUUGCCCAAGCCCAUUUUUCGGGCCUAUAUUUUUACUCAAACCCUCCCAUUUUUUGAGCGGGCCUUCGGGCCGGGCCGCCCAGCCCAUGAUCAGCUCUAGUUAGAACUAGUUUAAUGGGAUUACCAUUUAAAGAAUAAUUAAAUAAAAAUUAUAAAUUAUAAAUUAUAUAAAAAAAUUCUCAUAACCAUUGAACCGUUGUUUUUCUCCAAUUUUCUUUUUCACAACAGUUUUGCUUUUUAUGUAAUUACACGCAACUAAUUUAUCUGGAUAGAUUAAAUCACGAAUUUUUAGUUUAAUUCUUUAGUUCACUCUGAACAACACUACUUAUCUCAAAUUUUUUAUUUUGUGUCUAGUUAUUAUUAUUAUUAUUAUUAUUAUUAUUAUUAUUAUUAACUUGGAGUAUAAUGAUUUAAAUUUUUGCUCAUGCAUGUUGAGGUUCUUUAUUUAGAUAAAAGUUAAUUCAAGUUGGGUUCAAACAUUGUUAUAUGUGAUAUUUUAUUUAAAAAAAAUUAAACUAUCCUCGAAUAAUUUAAUUUAUUUUAAAUAUGAAAAAUAUGUUAAAUUUGUAAAAUAAAUCUGAAAUAAAACUUAAUAAAUUAGGAUCUAUUAUGUCAAAUCAUCAAGAAUAAAUCAAAAACAAAACUAGAUGCAGAAGCGUACCUGAAUCCAUGAAUUCCUUGAAGUUUUACCUGAUCUUGGGGAUUUGAUCUUCUAAAUUGGAACACAAGAAAUUCAGAGAAUAUUUGCUCUUUCUUUCCUAAUGAUGAGAUAUUAGAAAAGAUAUCUUGUAUAUAAUUUGGGGACCAUAACCCUAAACUUCACAUAUUUGACCCAUACUUUAUUUAAUAAUUAAAACCCAGUAAAAUUUUAACCAAAUUAGAUCACUUUUAAUUUUGGCUAAUCUAUCAUGAUAAUAAAUAAUAACAUAUAAUUACCCUUAUUAUAUAUGUGAUGUCCAUAUUUUCCAACAAUCUCCCACUUGGACCACAUAUAUGUACUAAUUACUCUAUAAUUACAUGUCAUUAUAUAACCUUAUGAGCUCAAAAUUUUACUAUCAUAUCCAAAAGGUAUUCCAAAUAAUCUCGUCCAUUAAUUAUGUUAACAUAGAACCAAGGCGACUUUCGUUACGUAUAUCGUAACUAAAUCCAUCCAUGAUUACGUAUAUUAACACAACCAAAUGACAUAGAUCAAGUAUGGAUGUGUAGCAUGGAACAUGCAAUAUGAUCUAAACAUGUCUAUUUCCAAUUAGUCCUCCUUAGUGAGACCAAACCUUACCAAAAUCAGAGUGUGAAUAAACCAAAUAAACUUCAUUUCUGCAGAAAAUAAACUUAAUAUCUUUAAACUGAAAUAACUGAAAAUGUGUCUAUGACAUAAAAGCAUUUAAAAAUACUAUCUCCCACUAAAAUCAAAUAUCUUUUAAAUGACAUUACACUUAUAUGAGCAGUGUGCUCUUAUAAGACCUUAGGUGUAGUUCCUUAAUAAGCGGAUCUACAAUCAUGGAGUUUGUCCUAAUAUGCUUUAUAAGCACCUAACCACUCUGGACUUUUACUUUAACAACCAUGAACUUAAAGUCUAUGUGUUUUUACUUUGAUGUGCUCCUAUUGAUAUUGGAAUAAAAGACUGCAAAUUGUUUUCACAAUUUGCACCUUAAUGAAAAAAUCUUGUAUCCAUAUUCCAUCAAAAUCGAAGCCUAUAUACUUGAUGAUCUCUAACUGAUUAGACCUCCGAUAUGUGAACAUGUAAUCUUUUGUUCUCUGAAAAUACCUUAUAACCCUCUUGGAUGCGAUCUAAUGGUCCAAACCAGGGUUGCUUAAAAUAUCUGCCUAACAUCCCAAUAGUGUACACAAUAUUCCAAUGUAUACAAACUUGAACAUAUAUUAGACUUUCUACUACUAAAAUGUAAAAAAAUCUAAUGCAUUUUUGUAAUCUCAAAAUCAUUCUUAGGGCAUUGAUUGAAACUAUACUUAUUAUUGAUAAGCAGUAUGUCAUUAACAUAUAAAACCAAAUAUAGAACCUUACUCCCACUAAACUUAUGGUAUAUACGAUUAUCAAUAAAAUUCAUCUCUAAACCGAAUAAAAUAAUCAUUUGGUAAAAUUUGUAAUAUUAUUGACGAGAAGUUUGGUUAAGCCCAUAGAUGAAGUUCUUUGCAAAUCAUUAACUUUGCAUCAUUAGACACAAAGCUUUCUAAUUGCGCCACAUAAAUGUAUGAUCAAUGUUACCAUUGAGAAACCAUUAACUUAAUAUUCAUCUGAUGUAGCUUAAUGUCAAAAUAUUCCACUAAAGCCAUUAUAACCCUUUCUCUAGUGGACCUUUUUAAUGACAUUCAUUCUUGAGGUUGUUAAGUUUGUUUUUUGGAACAAUUACCUCAUCUUGAAUAGGGAGUUGUUUAACAUUGUCUUAUUGAGGUUCUAGAUUCACUUCUUAAUCAAUGAUAGGUAUGAGAAUCUAAACAUCAUCAAAAGUGAUAGUAAGAAUUGAGUUAAAAUUCAAUUCCUCCUUAAAAACAAUGUAUCUAACCUUAUUUCUCCUUCCAAACUCAACAUCCUAAAAGAAUGUUGCAAUUCUCAUCUCAAAAAAAUAUUCCUAAUUGUGGGAUUAUAAAAUUCAUAGCCCUUAGAUCGCUCAGUAUUUCCUUGACCUUAUACUUUAUAGACAUCAAAGAAGUUAGAAAUGAUGUCAUUUCAACCUUAUCAUUUUUAGCAAAACGUUUCUCAAUUUCGUCAAUGAAACCUUAGCCUGAGUAAUCUUUUCAGAUUCUAUGCCCUUAAAGGCUUCUAAAAUGUUGUGCCUCAUGAUCAUUAAACUCAUGCAAUUUGAAUGAUUCUACCUCUCAAAAUCCCUUUGUAACACUCUGAAAAUUUCUACAGUAAGAUAUUAUCCUUAAUAUAGUAAAAUAAGGAAAUAAAGUGACAAGAAGAGGAAAAUUGAGUUAUGUCACUGGGAAAUAUAUUAUGACAUAUCGAUUCAAGAAAGGACUAAAUUAUAAAAGUGAGAAAAUUUUUGUGGCUCAAGAGUAAAUACUCCAAAUUUGAGGGAUUAAAGUGUAAAUAUAAAAAAGUUGAAGGACUAAUAUUGCAAAUAUUUUAAGGGUGGAAUGAUCUAGAAACCAAGGAAAAUUGAUGAAUUAGGACCAAAUUGAAUAGGUGAAGAACUAUGAGGGACUAAAUUAUAAUUUUACCAAAUUAAGUGAUGACUCAAGAAUGGAAUUUUAAAAGAUCACAAAGGGCAAAAUGGUCAAUUGGAAGAGAGAGAAAUCUAGAAAGUAAUGUUAUGUUGGUGAUAUUUUAUAAUUAUAUAAUUAGAUAAUUAUUAUUUAUUUAAUAUUUUAAUAAGAUAUUUUAUUAUUUUAUUAUUUUAUUUAGUCUAUAUAUAUAUGUGUGUGUGGAAAAAAAACACACACUUACACACCAUCCAUCAUCUUUCCCAUGCACUAAUGUGAGAGGAAGAGAGAAUGAAAGAAAGUUUUACUUUCUUUAUAAUUUGGUCCUUCUACCAAAAAUUCACCAUUUUCACCCAAAAAUCAAAAGAAUUUCCAUAGCUACCAAGAGAGAAAAAUGUUAAGAAAACUAUGAGAAGUUAGAAUAUCAAGUUGGAUUCAAGAAAAAGAAGUUGAAGGAGAGAGAAAAUCAAGUUAAAGAUUGAAAUCAAUGGAACAAGGUAAGAACAUCAAGAUUUCAAUACAUUUUUAAGAUUAAUAUUAUUGAAAAAGCAUGGAAUUGAUGUUAAUGUAGAGUUUUCUUAUAUAUGGUCUUAUGUUCUUGAUAUGUUAGUGAAGAAAAAAAUAAGAGAAAGUAAUGAGAAAUAGUGUAGAGAAAGAAAAUAAAGGUGUUAUAAACAUGGUAAAUAAACAUCUUGCACUAAAACAGUUUUGGACAGCAGCAGUAGGCUAAAUUUAAAAAAUCACCAUAAAUUGUGGAAAUAGUAUUAGAGGAUUAAAAAAAUAUUGAAUUAAAUCUUAUUGAGUCUAGUUUCUUAUAGAAAAAACGGUACAAGAAAUGGAAUCGUAAAUUGUGAGAUAUAGUAAAUUUAGUGAGACAAUGUCAGAAUGAUUUCGAGUUCCCUUGUUCUGACUUUGGAAAAUCAUAAAAAAUUGGAGAAAAAUAAUUAGGUUCUUAAAGUUAUAUUUUUAAAAUUCUGAAUGAGUAAUAGAAACAAACGAGAACAUCAUCUGAAUCCUGUACAAUGAGAUAAUUAAUUUUUUAGUAAAGAAGGGUCGGAACUGUCAGACAACAGAAUAAGGGUGACUUUAAAGAAUAAAAUGUACUUAUUGGCUAAACCAAAAAUUCUUAAAAUUUUAUGGUAAGAAUAUACGUAAGUCUAGUUUCAUAGAAAAUUAGCGGAUCUUAAUUUCGAGUUUUGCAGCUCUAGAUAUAAAUAAUUAGUGACUGUGACGCAAAUGGACAAUUUUGAAUAUACAUAUAAGUAAAUAGUGAAAUUAUUGAUAAUGUUACUUGUAGCAUGUUAUAUAAAUAUAGGAUGUGGAAUGGAGAGGAUGAGGAGGAAAAUAUGCAUGAAUAUUCAGCUAGCAUGGCUAAUUUGCACGUUUUAGGCUCAGGGACUAAAUUGAAUAAAAGUAAAACUUUAUGGGCAAUUUUGUAAAAAUGUUAGAAAUGACCAAUUUGCAUGAAAUGGAUUAUUUAAUUAUUUAAAAUUGCAAACUUGAAUGAAAUUAUUAACUUAGUUCAAGAUCGGGGAAAAACAUGUUUUAAGGAUUAAAUUGAAAAGUGUUGAAAUUAUGGAAAAUUAUGAUAUUUUAUAGAAUUCAUGGGUUGUUAUCAAUUUGUAUGAGAAUAACGGCUAGAAAUAAGGAUUAAAUUGCAAGAAUUUUAUUUUUUUGAGCCUAAAGAUGAAAUCAUCAUUAAUUAAAAAGUUUAGGGGCAAAAUGGUAAUUUUGUUUAGAGCAUUGAAUGUAUUAGAACAUGAAAUAAAUGAAAACGACGAUCAAAUUUAUUUAUAAAGAUUCGGAUGACUCGAAUACGAGACUUGAACGUGGAAAAGAAAAAAUAUCAGAUUAAUGAAAUUAUAAACAUGAACAAGCAGCGAGGUAAGUUAGUGUAACUUGAAUUGUAUUUUUAAAUGCAUGAAAUAUCGAUAUAAAGAAUUAUCCGAUUUAUUUUUAUGAAGAAAUGGCAAGAGAAUGAUAUUUAUCAUGGCAUGUAAAUAUGUGAUUAUCUUUGAAAUUCAGUAUAUUGAGACGAGUAAUAAAUUCAAGUAAAACAUGUCGAGAAAAAUAAGUACGUUUAAGGGACAAUAUGUUUGAUUUUAAUUGGUUCCAAAUAUGAACGUUAGAUGAAAUAAAAUAUCUGAUAAAUAAAUCGAUACCUCCGGUAAUGCUCCGUAACUCUAUUUCGGUGAUGGAUUCGGGUUAAGGGCGUUACACCCUUUUAACAUAGGGGGUGCUUUCCGCAGUGAGAGGUGCGAGUAGUUCUUCCUUUAGUGCAAGGUUUAUGUUCAUACAGCCAAGCACUAUAAGUAAGUGCCUUUUCCAUUCAUUGAAAUUAGUCCCAUUAAGCAUGGGUAUAGAAUUUAUAUUAGCGGAUAUUGUGGCAGUAAUAUGAAUUAACUGAAUAUAGAACAAAAAAUAAGUAAAAAUAAGCUCACAGCAAUAUUCAUAAGUAAACAAUAAAUUCAGGAUAAUGGUUAAUCCUAUCUCAAGAUACCAAACACAACAUUAAUAUCAAUUUUUUGGACGAUAAUAUUAACAGUAAGCGGUACUUUUGUUGUAGCAAUCAAACAUUGACAAUAAAUCAUGUCAAACAAUGAAUUAAUCUUUAGACUGACAUAUUGCUCACAUAAAGUACCUUAUAAUUGUCACACAUUUAUCGCCACAGAUGUCGUUGAAAUUCUGCCAAAUAUUAACUUACCUUUGGGUCAAUUAAUAAACGCAUGAAUUACAAAAAUAUAUAAUCAUCUUGCUAUUUUAAAUAAACUAAUCUACACAAAAGAGGUCACUUUGGCGGUAUUUUGUUUCAACUAAUUUAUUUAAAAAUACUAGACAUCCUUAAUUAAAACCUAAAGCCAAAAUCUGAAUUUAUUUGUUUCAAAAUAUUUCUUUUAAUUUCAUCUUUCAAUCAAAUUAAAAGAUAAUAGUAUAUAUAUGUAUAUAUAUAUUUACCCCAAAACAACAUACAAUGAUGUUGGCAAAUAUAAUAAUAGUUGAAUAAAUCUUAAACCAUAAACAACCUCACAUAAGACUUCAAAUUUAAACUAAAAUAAUUUGAAUAAAGAUAAACCUCAACUUAAGAUAUCGGACACUCCAUUAAUAUUUCAUCUUUGAAAAAAAUAUUAACUUGUAAGUGAUAUCUUGGUGUAGUAAUCAAACAUUGACAAUAAGAACAUGUCGAACAAUAAAUCUUCCUAUGAGCCAAUUUAUUACUCACAUGUAAAACCGAAUAAUCGUCACAUGUUUAUCACCAUAGUUGCACAUGUAAUAUUAUUAACCUUCAUUUGGGCCGAUCAAUAUCAACAUAACUUAAGUUACAUGCACACAAACUUUUAUAUUUUAAAACAAAAUAAUUUAUACAAAGAAAUCACUUUGGUGACUUUUUGCUUCAAUUAAGUUAUUUUAAAAUAUAUAUAAACAUACCAAUAUUCAAAUUUAAAUUUCCCCAAUAGUCAAAUGUUAAAACUAUUUUUUUAUUGCUUUAUAGACUCUAUGUAACACCCCCACGCCCGAAACUGUCACCGGAGUCAAGCUUGAGGUGUUACUAAACUUAUCUUACCUUUUAAACAACUCUAAACCACUUAUUUUAAUUUUUGGAAUAAACUAUUUUUCUGCGUCAUGGUUGCUUAAAAAUUCAUUUCUCGAGUUUCAAAACUCAAAAUUAAGAUCCGUAAAUUUUUCCUGAAACUAGACUCAUAUAUCUAUCUACUAAUUUUUUUCUAGAAUUUUUGACUCGGCCAAUUAGUACAGUUUAUUAGUUAAAGUUUCCCCUGUUUCAAAACUCAACUACACUGACCUCUUCUUACUACAAGCCAUGUUUCUUCCUGUAAAAAAAUUCAUAUGACUAAGCCGUUUGUUUCUCUCAAAACUAGAUUCAACAAGGAUUCUAACCAUAUAAAUUACACCUUCUAAUUAGUUUUGUACAAUUUAUGGUGAAUUUCCAAAUUUGAAACAGGGGAUCCAGAAAUCGCUCUGACCCUGUUUCACUAAAACUUAGAUAUCUCAUAAAAUAUAAUACCUUUACCUGUUUUUCUUAUUCCAUAAGAAAAUAUAUAUAAUAAGCUUUAAUUUCAUAUAUUAUUCAUCUUCAAACUAUGUUUCUGAAAUUUUUAGUGAUUUUUGAAAGUUACGUCAUUUCUGUUACUUGAAUCUGUUUUUAGGUUACUUUCACAUUUUUCAUAAUUUUCAUGUGAUAAUCAUCAAUCAAUCAUACAUAUUAAUAAAUAUGUAUAUCAUCGGCUAUUUUAUUAGCUAAUCACUAGCAAGUAUUUACACAUCAUUCAUUGUUCAUAUUAUACCAAAAGUAGCUAAGUUUCUAUACAUGCCAUACCCAAAACAAAACGUCUAGUUAUACCGAGUUAUUUCUUUGAUAGUGUGAUCGGCCUCCGACGUUUCCUUCGAUCCCCGAGUGACUAGAUAAGUACUAUAAGAAGAAGAAAAUAAAGAGAUUAAGCACUAGGCUUAGUAAGCUUACAAGCAAAUAAAUCACAACAUUCAACAUAAUGGAUAAUUAUGCAUAAUAUCAUCUAACAUCAUAAAUUUCUUUACUUCUCAAUUUGUAUCUUCUUCUUUAUUCCCUUACCUUCUUUCUUACUUGACCUUUCCUUUUUCAUAAGUAUAAUCUACUUUUCCUUUGCUGUUAAUUCACUGUAAUUUAACUCGUAUCCUGACCCGUUGAACCACUCGGAAUACUAAGGAUACUAGGGUCGUUCCUGUCUAUCAAUAUCCUGCCAAUGCCAUGUCUUUGACAUGGACUUACAUGAAUUAUUCCUGUCUCCAAUGCCAUAUAUAAUAUGGACUUACAUGGCUCAAUCCUGUCUCCAAAGCCAUAUUUCUAAUAUGGACUUACAUGGCUCAUUUCUGUUUUGUCCUGUCAACUCUAAUAUCCUAACAUUCCUAGGGUUCAACCGGGGCUUUCUAACACUUUUCCUCUGUCACUCCACCUUAAAUUCGACUUUACAUAUUUUCAUAACAUAAGUAUAUAAAUGCUGGAAAUUGACAAUAAUAAUGUAAAAUAAAAGAAUAUUGCAUUUAUUUACUGUAACUUACCUUGAUACAAAAUGUGACUAAACUUUACAAUUUAGUCCUUUACUUUUUCUUUUCCCCGAUCUACUCCCGAAUUUCGUUCUUCUUGAUCUAUAAUAGCAAAUUUAACUUAUUUAAUAUUCACAUUUAUUAAAACAGUCCUUGACCCAAACUUUUGCAAAAUUAUAUUUUUACCCCUAAACUUUCACAUAUUUGCACUUUUGCCCCAAGGCUCGUAAAUUAAACUUCAUCCUAUUUUCUUAUGUUUUAUGAUAUGCUGAUCAUUUUUCCCUUCUAUGGCAAUAUCAAAAUCACACUCUAACAUAUACUUAUGACUAUUGGUAUUUUUUUCCAAUUUAAGCCCUUUUACUCGUUUUCACUUAAAACCGAGUAGCAUAAGUUGUUUAACAUAAUUUAAAACCUCAUAUUCUAUCAUAAGACACCAAAAUACACAAACUUCAGUCAUGGGUAUUUUUCCAAAUAUGAACCCUAGGCUGAAUUAUUGCUAGAAUAAGCUUAAUCAAGUUACCGGGACUCCAAAAACGUAAAGAUCAUUAAAAACGGGGCUUGGAAUCACUUACUAUGAAGCUUGAAAGUUGAAGAAACCCCAGCUAUGGAGGAGAGCAAAAAUCGGCAGAAACUAAUUGAGAAGAUGACCAUUUUUGUGUUAUUUUUCCCUAUUUAAUUCAUUUAAUAUCCAAAUGACCAAAUUACCCCUCCUUACUAAACUUUCAAAAAUUCCUUCCAUGUCCUAAUUUUUGUCCAUGAACUUAAAAUUGGUCAAAUUGUUAUUUAAACCCUCCUAAUUAAUAUUCCAAAGUAAUUUCAUACUAAAAACUUCUAGAAUGCAAGUUUUGCAAAUUAUUCAAUUUAGUCCCUAACCUCAACUUAAGCAUUUUAUGCAUGGAAUUUCAUCACGAAAUUUUCACACAAUCAUGCAAUCAUACCAUGAACCUUAAAAUAAUAAUAAAAUAAUUUUUUCUACCUCGGAUUUUUGGUUUCGCAACCACUAUUCCGUUUAGGCCCUAUUUUGGGAUGUUACAUUUCUCCCCCCUUUUAGGGAUUUUCGUCCCGAAAAUCUUACCUGUGAAGAGAUUUGGGUACUGUUUUUGCAUAGCCUCUUCGGGUUCCCAUGUAGCCUCAUCUACCCCGUGUCUAUUCCAUAGUACUUUUACAAGUGCAAUAUUUUUAUUCCUUAAUUGCUUUACCUCUCGAGCUAGAAUCUUUGCCGGUUCUUCACCGUAAGUCAUGUCUGGCUGAAUCUCAACCUCUGUCUGAGAAAUCACAUGUGAUGGAUCUGAACAAUAACGACGUAGCAUAGACACAUGAAAUACAUUAUGAAUCUUCUCUAACUCAAUCGGAAAAACUAACCGAUAUGCUAAUGGUCCGACUCUCUCAAUUACUUCAAACGGUCCAAUAAAACGUGGACUUAGUUUGCCUUUCUUGCCAAAUCUGAGAACUUUCUUCCACGGGGAUACUUUCAGAAAAAACUUUGUCACCAACUUGAUAUUCGAUCUCUUUUCUUUUUAAAUCUGCGUACGACUUCUGCCUGUCUGAAGCUGCUUUUAAACAAUUUCUGAUAACUUUCACUUUUUCUUCUGUUUCUUUAACUAGAUCAACCCCGUAAAUCUGGCUUUCUUUAAGCUCUGUCCAAUAUAAAGGUGUACGACAUUUACGUCCAUACAAAGCUUCAUAAGGUGUCAUCUUCAAACUUGACUGGUAACUAUUAUUAUAGGCAAACCCUACCAAUGGUAAGUAUUUUUCCCAACUACCUUGAAAUUCUAAUACACAACAUCUAAGCAUAUCUUCAAGUACCUGAAUAACUCUCUCUGACUGACCGUCGGUUUGAGGAUGGAAAGUUGUACUAAAACUCAACUUUGUGCCCAAAGCCUCUUGUAAUUUCUUUCAAAACCGUGAAGUAAAUCUUGGAUCUCUGUCUGAAAUAAUCGAUAAUGGUACCCCAUGUAGCCUGACUAUCUCUGAAAUAUACAACUCCGCCAACUUGUCAAGUGAAUAAUCCAUACGAACUGGGAUAAAAUGAGCCGACUUCGUUAACUUAUCAAUCACAACCCAUAUUGCAUCUUUCUUUCUCGGUGUAAACGGUAAUCCUGUCACAAAAUCUAUAGUAACUGAUCCCAUUUCCAUUUCAGAACUAGCACAGGCUGCAAUAAUCCUGAGGGUACCUGAUGUUCGGCCUUUACCUGUUGACAAAUCAAGCAUCUAGAAACAAACUCUGAAAUAUCUCUUUUUAUUCCUACCCACCAAUACAAUUUUUUCAAAUCAUUAUACAUUUUUGUACUGCCUGGAUGAAUAGAUAAAGGACUGCUAUGUGCUUCCUGUAAAAUCUUCCGAAUAAGCUCAUCAUUCUUUAGUACACAUAUUCUGUCUCUAAACAUCAAACAACCAUCAGAACCAAUCCAGAAAUCUGAUUCUAUGCCUGACUCACAUUGAGCUCUUUUAGCUUGUAACUCAUUAUCAUCUUUCUAAGCUUCACAAAUCUCUUCAAGAAAUACCGGUUUAGCUCUCAAUUCAGCUAAAAUAGAACCAUCAUCUGACAUGGCUAAAUUGGUAUUCAAAGCUCGCAAUGUAAAUAAAAGUUUCCUACUUAAAGCGUCAGCAACUACAUUUACCUUACCUGGGUGAUAAUCAAUCACUAAUUCAUAAUCUUUAAGCAAUUCCAACCAUCUUCUUUGCCUCAAAUUCAAAUCUUUUUGAGUCAUCAAGUAUUUCAAGCUUUUAUGAUCGGUAAAUAUCCGCCACCUUUCACCAUACAAAUAAUGUCUCCAAAUCUUCAAUGCAAAUACAAUAGCAACUAGCUCUAAAUCAUGUGUCGGAUAAUUUUUCUCAUGUGGCUUCAAUUGUCUAGAGGCAUAAGCAAUUAUCUUUCCUUCCUGCAUGAGUACACAACCGAGCCCAUUCAAGGAUGCAUCACUGUAAAUCACAAAUUCUUUACUCGGUUCCGGCUGUACUAAGAUAGGAGCUUCCGUCAACAAUGCCUUUAACUUGUCAAAACUUUGUUGGAACUUCUCAGUCCAUUCAAACUUAACAUCCUUCCGUAGCAGUCUCGACAACGGGGUAGCUAUCAUGGAAAAUCCCUCCACAAAUCGUCUAUAAUAUCCGGCAAGACCAAGAAAACUUCUAACUUCUGAUACAUUUCUAGGAAGCUUCCAAUCAACAAUGGCUAAAAUCUUGCUCGUAUCAACCUUAAUACCUUCACCUGAGACAAUAUGUCCAAGAAAACCAACUUCUCGUAACCAGAACUCACUUUUGCUGAACUUGGCAUACAACUGAUUACCUCUCAGAAUUUGUAAAACUGUUCUCAAAUGCUCUGCAUGCUCAGUCUCAUCAUGAGAAUAAAUCAAAAUAUCAUCAAUGAACACAACUACAAACUUAUCUAAAUACGAUCUGAAAAUUCAGUUCAUUAAGUCCAUGAAAAUGGCAGGAGCAUUAGUCAAGCCAAAUGGCAUCACAAGGAACUCAUAAUGACCAUACCUAGUCCGAAAAGCAGUCUUCAGGACAUCUGACUCUUUAACUCGCAACUGAUAGUAUCCGAAUCUCAAAUCUAUCUUGGAAAACACAGUAGCUCCCUUCAAUUGAUCAAACAAAUCAUCAAUUCUAGGCAAUGGAUACUUGUUCUUUACUGUUACCUUGUUAAGUUACCGAUAAUCUAUGCAUAAUCUCAUCGAUCCGUCUUUCUUUUUCACAAAUAGCACUGGUGCACCCCAUGGUGAACUACUGGGUCUUACCAAGCCUUUAUCUGUUAAUUCUUGCAACUGAGCUUUCAAUUCUUUCAAUUCCAACGGAGCCAUUCUAUAAGGAGCAAUAGAAAUGGGCGUGGUACCUGGAAUCAACUCAAUACCAAACUCAACUUCUCUAACAGGAGGCAAACCUGGUAGUUCUUCCGGAAACACAUCGGGAAACUCACAUACCACAGGCACUGAUUCAAUUUUCAAUUCUGGAUCCUUAGUGUUUAACACAAAAGCAAGAUAAGCUUCAUACCCUUUUCUCAAACAUUUCUGAGCAGACAUAACAGAAAUUAUGGGAAAUAAACUAUCUGACUCUUCUGAAUUAACCCGAAGAAUUUCACCAUUUUCACACUUCAACUCAAUGAAUUUCUUUCUACAAUUCACUAUCACAUCAUGUGUAGUCAAUCAAUCCAUACCAAGAAUCACAUCAUACUCAUCAAAUGGCAAUAGCAUGAGAUCAGCAGGAAAACAGUAGCCUCUAAUCAUUAAAGGACAAUUUCUACAUACUUUAUCUACUAAUACAUGCUUGCCUAAUGGAUUCGAUACUUUAAUCACAAAUUCUGUAGAUUCUAUAGGCAUACUUAUACUAGGCAUCAAUUUCAUACAAACAUAAGAAUGAGUCGAACCCGGAUCAAUCAGAGCAAUGACAUUAAUAUCAUAUAGAGAAAAUGUACCCGUAAUCACAUCGGGGGAGGAUGCCUCUUCGCGUGCACGAAUAGCAUAAGUCCUUGCAGGGGCUCUAACAUCUGGUCUCACAGCCGAAUCUCUAAAGGUACCUCUGUUACUUGCUCCUACUCCCGGUUGCCUCGGUGAUCUGCCUCUAGUAGGAGCAUUUCCGGAUCUAGCACUCUGUGUUACUUCUCGGCUAGCCACUUCUGGACAUUCUCGUACAAAAUGAUCUGGAGCACCACAUUUAUAGCAAACAUUUUCGCCUGCCCGACAAGGACCAUAAUGAAGUCUACCACACCGUGGACACCCUGAUCUACCCUGUCUGACAUUACCUACACUCGUAGUCGAGGUGGUCUGAGCCUUCGGAUCCUUAAAUCUGUUACCUCUAUUCUGACUAGAUUGCCCUGCUGAAAAGCUAGAUCUGGUAGAAAACUCCACUGACAGUCGGAUAUCAUCAUUUAACCCAUCCUCAAACCUUUUACACAUGAUAGCCUCUGUGGACACACAUUCUCGAGCAUAUUUACUAAGCCUGACAAAUUCGCGCUCAUAAUCGGUCACUGUCAUAGUACCUUGUUUCAAUUCCAAGAAUUCCUUUCUCUUCUGGUCAAUAAACCUCUGACUGAUGUACUUUUUACGAAAUUCCUCCUGAAAGAAAUCCCAAGUGACCCUCUCCUUUGGUACAACUGAUACAAGUGUCUUCCACCAGUAGUAGGCUGAGUCUCUAAGAAGUGAUACUACACAUUUCAUACAUUCCUCGGGUGUACAAGAUAAUUCGUCAAAGACUCUGAUAGUAUUUUCUAACCAAAAUUCUGCUCUUUCUGCAUCAUCAUCUUUUGUUGCUCGGAACUCUUCUGCCCUUUGUUUCCUGAUUCUAUCAACUGGUGGCUUUUCUCUUACCACUGUACCUGUGACUGGGGAAGCUUGAGCUACAUGGGUAGCCUGAGAAUCAUGAGGGGGUGGAGGUCUAACUGCCGGAUUCGUACGAACGAACUCGGCAAACAAAUCAUUCAAAGCUCGGAAGAGAGCUUCUCGAGUCACUCCUCCCUGAUCAACUAUUACUGGCCUAUUCUCAGAUGGCGCUGCCCCUUCUAUGGGAGCAGGCGCAUUACUUUCUACAUCAUCAUCACCAGCUCGUCCGGGAUCCAUUACUAUAAAACAAAAUAUUUAAAAAUCGUCAGGAGUCGUCACACUAUCAAAAUACAAGUAUGGCAUGUAUAGCUAGACUUUUUCUCACACUAACUGUUCCGAGAACCGACUAAACCUGCUCUGAUACCAAUAAUGUAACACCCCCACGCCCGAAACCGUCACCGGAGUCAAGCUUGAGGUGUUACUAAACUUAUCUUACCUUUUAAACAACUCUAAACCACUUAUUUUAAUUUUUGGAAUAAACUAUUUUUCUGCGUCAUGGUUGCUUAAAAAUUCAUUUCUCGAGUUUCAAAACUCAAAAUUAAGAUCCAUAAAUUUUUCCUGAAACUAGACUCAUAUAUAUAUCUACUAAUUUUUUUCUAGAAUUUUUGACUUGGCCAAUUAGUACAGUUUAUUAGUUAAAGUUUCCCCUGUUUCAAAACUCAACUACACUGACCUCUUCUUACUACGAGCCAUGUUUCUUCAUGUAAAAAAAUUCAUAUGGUUAAGCCGUUUGUUUCUCUCAAAACUAGAUUCAACAAGGAUUCUAACUAUAUAAAUUACACCUUCUAAUUAGUUUUGUAUAUUUUAUGGUGAAUUUCCAAAUUUGAAACAGGGGAUCCAGAAAUCACUCUGACCCUGUUUCACUAAAACUCAGAUAUCUCAUAAAAUAUAAUACCUUUACCUGUUUUGCUUAUUCCAUAAGAAAAUAUACAUAAUAAGCUUUAAUUUCAUAUAUUAUUCAUCUUCAAACUAUGUUUCUGUAAUUUUUAGUGAUUUUUGAAAGUUACGUCAUUUCUGUUACUUGAAUCUGUUUUUAGGUUACUUUCACAUUUUUCAUAAUUUUCAUGUGAUAAUCAUCAAUCAAUCAUACAUAUUAAUAAAUAUGUAUAUCAUCGGCUAUUUUAUUAGCUAAUCACUAGCAAGUAUUUACACAUUAUUCAUUGUUCAUAUUAUACCAAAAGUAGCUAAGUUUCUAUACAUGCCAUACCCAAAACAAAACGUCUAGUUAUACCGAGUUAUUUCUUUGAUAGUGUGAUCGGCCUCCGACGUUUCCUUCGAUCCCCGAGUGACUAGAUAAGUACUAUAAGAAGAAGAAAAUAAAGAGAUUAAGCACUAGGCUUAGUAAGCUUACAAGCAAAUAAAUCACAACAUUCAACAUAAUGGAUAAUUAUGCAUAAUAUCAUCUAACAUCAUAAAUUUCUCUACUUCUCAAUUUGUAUCUUCUUCUUUAUUCCCUUACCUUCUUUCUUACCUGACCUUUCCUUUUUCAUAAGUAUAAUCUACUUUUCCUUUACUGUUAAUUCACUGUAAUUUAACUCGUAUCCUGACCCAUUGAACCACUCGGAAUACUAAGGAUACUAGGGUCGUUCCUGUCUAUCAAUAUCCUGCCAAUGCCAUGUCUUUGACAUGGACUUACAUGAAUUAUUCAUGUCUCCAAUGCCAUAUAUAAUAUGGACUUACAUGGCUCAAUCCUGUCUCCAAAGCCAUAUUUCUAAUAUGGACUUACAUGGCUCAUUUCUGUUCUGUCCUGUCAACUCUAAUAUCCUAACAUUCCUAGGGUUCAACCGGGGCUUUCUAACACUUUUCCUCUGUCACUCCACCUUAAAUUCGACUUUACAUAUUUUCAUAACAUAAGUAUAUAAAUGCUGGAAAUUGACAAUAAUAAUGUAAAAUAAAAGAAUAUUGCAUUUAUUUACUGUAACUUACCUUGAUACAAAAUGUGACUAAACUUUACAAUUUAGUCCUUUACUUUUUCUUUUCCCCGAUCUACUCCCGAAUUUCGUUCUUCUUGAUCUAUAAUAGCAAAUUUAACUUAUUUAAUAUUCACAUUUAUUAAAACAGUCCUUGACCCAAACUUUUGCAAAAUUAUAUUUUUACCCCUAAACUUUCACAUAUUUGCACUUUUGCCCCAAGGCUCGUAAAUUAAACUUCAUCCUAUUUUCUUAUGUUUUAUGACAUGCUGAUCAUUUUUCCCUUCUAUGGCAAUAUCAAAAUCACACUCUAACAUAUACUUAUGACUAUUGGUAUUUUUUUCCAAUUUAAGCCCUUUUACUCGUUUUCACUUAAAACCGAGUAGCAUAAGUUGUUUAACAUAAUUUAAAACCUCAUAUUCUAUCAUAAGACACCAAAAUACACAAAUUUCAGCCAUGGGUAUUUUUCCAAAUAUGAACCCUAGGCUGAAUUAUUGCUAGAAUAAGCUUAAUCAAGUUACCGGGACUCCAAAAACGUAAAGAUCAUUAAAAACGGGGCUUGGAAUCACUUACUAUGAAGCUUGAAAGUUGAAGAAACCCCAGCUAUGGAGGAGAGCAAAAAUCGGCAGAAACUAAUUGAGAAGAUGACCAUUUUUGUGUUAUUUUUCCCUAUUUAAUUCAUUUAAUAUCCAAAUGACCAAAUUACCCCUCCUUACUAAACUUUCAAAAAUUCCUUCCAUGUCCUAAUUUUUGUCCAUGAACUUAAAAUUGGUCAAAUUGUUAUUUAAACCCUCCUAAUUAAUAUUCCAAAGUAAUUUCAUACUAAAAACUUCUAGAAUGCAAGUUUUGCAAAUUAUUCAAUUUAGUCCCUAACCUCAACUUAAGCAGUUUAUGCAUGGAAUUUCAUCACGAAAUUUUCACACAAUCAUGCAAUCAUACCAUGAACCUUAAAAUAAUAGUAAAAUAAUUUUUUCUACCUCGGAUUUUUGGUUUCGCAACCACUAUUCCGUUUAGGCCCUAUUUUGGGAUGUUACAGAAAUAACCCAAAAUAAGGUUGUCUUAAUAAUGCAAUAAAAAACUGAAAACCUUAAUUUUUUUUGACUAUUUCUUUUUUUGUUCCAAAACCAUAUAUAUCGAAACCAAAUAGAAAUAAUGUAGUGGUUCAAAGCUAAAUAAUUAACAAGCACAUGUAUUCAUAAUUUUGGCAUGGAUAAAAACACCAAAGCAAUUCACACAUAUACAUGUAUUCAUAAUCAAAUAGAAAAACUUACCUGAAUUUACCAUGUAAAUCUAAAGUUGUAUUUAUGAUUAAACAGAUAUUCACAUAAAUACUUGAAAAAUAUUUUCAAGCCAAUAAAUCUCAAAAACAAAAUCAUAAUAGUUGGCAUAUCCCACAAUUCAUACAAUAAACCAUAUCAUCAUAAUCUAACCAAAUAUUUGGAACCAUAAGAUGCCAAAACCUAAAAUUAUAGAACCAAACUUAAAACCAAAUUAUUUAAAUAUGAAUAUAGUUGACAUGAAUUUGCACCAAAGCACCCGUAGAAUUGAAUAUAUAACCAUAGCAAUAAUAAUAAUAAUAAUAAUAAUAAUAAUAAUAAUAACAAUUUCAACAAUAUCCAUCAUAACUUAAUUUCACCAAUUAAACUAUAAAAGAUAUCUUACUGAAUAAUGGUUAUAAACACCUAUUCAUGCCAACUAUAAUCAUGCAUUAAUCCUCCAAAUCAUUUAUAUGCAUAUAAUAUAUAUACACACAAUAUAUACACACAAUUAUAUCAUUUAUAUAAUAAAAAAAUAAUACUGGUUUGUCUUACAUAUUUCAUGUAAACUAAAAUUUAUAUUAAUGACUAAAGACAUUAACAUAAAACUCAUUUAUACGCACAAAUACUUAAAAAAAACCAUAACCACCAAAUAUAAAAGAAUCCCAAAUUGUAUAAAAGCCUUCAUAUGCACAACCACUUUUGAAAAUUCAUAGCCACCAUAUUAAAAAAAAUCUCAAACAUUUUAAUUUUAGUCGAGUUCUAUAAGGACUAAAACUUAUAUAAAAUAAUUAUAGCAGGAACCAAAAGUAAUCAUUUGUAUAUAUGAAUUGAAUUCAAAGGUGAAUAUAAUUCAUCAUGAAUUAAGACAAAAGAUGAUAUUUUCAUAUACAUUCAACCACAAAUAAAAAAUUUAAAACAAAUAGUGUGAAAAAAAAACAUCUUAACAACUUUCAUUUAUUCAUUAUUAAGCAUAAUCAUGAGCAAAAGCAUAAUAUACAAAUAGCAAACUAGAUUUUAACCUCAGGCAGCUUGUAUUUUGCGUUGUUUUAUAUGCGCAUACAUGCUAAAACAAGCAAAAUAAUUGACAUACACUACAGCAAAAUUGACUUUUAGCGGCGUUUUUUUAGGCUUUUAGCGGCGCUUUUAAGCGCCACUAAAACUACUCGCGGCGUUUUUACAAGCGCCGCAAAAAACGCCUUUAUAGAUGGCACCACUAAAUUUUGCGGCAUUUAUUUGAAAAAAACGCCGCUAAAGGUCAGGACCUUUAGCGGCGCUUUUCCCACAAACGCCGCUAAAGGUCAUAAAAAUUAAAAAAAUAUAUAUUAUAAAAUAUUGUAAAAGUCCUGAAAAAUAUAAAAAAAUUAAAAUUCAUUAUCAAAAUAUUGAGAAGAAGAAUAAUCUAUGAUAUAAAUACAUCCCGCCAAACAAAAUACCGCACUUAUACACCAGAAAUCUAACAAAAUACAAAUAGAACAAAAUAAGGAUGAAUGAAAGACAUUAAUGAUAUAUAAAAUCAUUGUUUCUAAUGCAUAUGUAGAAAUCAAGCCAUGGUGUGCACCAAGGAUCCGGCUCUCGUAAUAGCACCAGGCCUUGAUCAAAAUAUUACUGCGUUUGAAAAUAUGAUCUUUUCCAAUUAGCUGGUCAACCUGAAAAACAAACAGUUCAAAAGAAGUCAUGUGUCAAUUAAACUUGCCACCCUUGAUAUUGCUAUAGGAAUUAAUGCAUGGAGAGUGAUGGAGAUGGGAUUGGGGAUUCCUCAAGGCUGCAGCAGUAAACUUAAGCAACAGUGUGGGAAAAGGUGAAAUGAGAGAUUUUAGACUAAAUCCAAAGCAUUAAUUUCUAUUAAAUGAAAACAAACAAACAAAUAUAAUUGUUAAAGAAACAUUAAUUUCUCUUAAAUCCGGUAAAAUCUUAAAGGAUUUAGAAAUGAAUGAAAUAUAAGGGGGAAAAGAAAGAGGAAAAGCUAAAAUUCACUCUGUCGGUUAGUAGUGAUAUGGAAGACAAAAAGGAUAAAACACCACAUACCAAACGAAGAUCAUAAAACUACUAAGAAUUUAAUGCCAGAAAAUGAAACAAUGUACCAUUUAGAAUUAUACUUUUGAAUCAUCUUUUGCAUCAAGUGAUUUAUAUGAAUUAUGAUUACCACAUCCACAAUGUUUGGAAUGGAAACGGAUUCUAAACAUAUAAAUGCUGGAUAGGAUUAGAUGAUACCUUCUCCAGAAAGCAAAGUGCAGAUAGACCAGCCGUUUGAUUGAAAGAGAUGUCCACCGGUAUGUCAUUCACAGUGCAUUUCACUAUUUUAACCUGAAAUCAAAUUCCAAAAUAACCGAAAUGAGCUCAAGAUGAUUUUAAGCUAUAUUUGCUGCUUACGUACAUAUACUAAUAUGCAAUAAAUACCAUUUAACUGCACGGGAACAACGACAAAGAUGCAGCUGAAAAUUUAAUAUCAGCAUAAUAGCACAAAUAGAAGUUGUUGCCAAGUGUCCAACAGCAUAUGACUUAUGUGGUUUUAUUCAAUAUCAGUUAAGCACCUAGUCGUUUGCUACCCUAAUUUCCGUUAUCUACAUUACAGGAACGUCUUUUAAAUUUUUACACGUGACAGAAAGUUAUAAAGGGUGCUACCUUAAUCGAUUAGCAUUGGGAUGCAGUUUCGAUGCUAUGUCCAAUAAAAGCGAAGUUAAGGAAAGAAAUAAAUCAGAUGAAAAACACAAUCCUUUAAUUAAAUAAUAUUUAAAUAAUUAUUAUAUUUAUAAUAAUAUUUAAAUAAAUUAAUCCAAAUUAUAUAAUUUAAAAAAUUGUGUAUAAAAAGUUGAAAACCAUAUAAAAUGAAAUGUUAAUUUUGUUCCAUGAAAAAAUAAAAAUAAAAAUAAUACACGUAAUGCAUAUAUUCAAAAAUGAAAUACAUGAGAAAAACUUCAAAACAAAAAUUAAUGACAAAAAAAAUCAUAAUAUUUAGUCAUGUAUAAUACACAGAAGUUUAUUACUGAAAAAUGAAAAAGCAUAAUACACAGAAGUUCUCACUUCAUAUAUCAUCAAACUAUAGAUGGUUAAGAAUGUCAGUGUCAAAUCAAGAAGGAAAAACUAAUAUAUUAAGAACUAAAACUCUACAAAAUUAAGCUUAGUUAAAAGUAGACAUGGUUGAUAGCAGAAGAUGAUGUAACAUAAGUCACAAACUAUACACUGUUUCUUAACUUUGUCAUAAAUAUUAGCACAAAAGAAAAAAGGGAAAUGCAGUUAAACAACUUGCUAUUUACAUUCAAAUUUAAAGACCCAUACGAUAGAGUCUAAAAUAGCAAGCAUACCCAACUCUCCUUUCCUGAAAGGUUCUAAACAAUUCAUUUUCUUCUACUUCGAACCCCACACCUUUGUCCAAAACAGGGACUGGAAUAACAUUUAGCCCAUACACAAGAAUUGAUCUAAAUUCAUGCUAAUAACAUCAUCAAGAGAUCAAGGGUGCCAAUUUCAAAGUGAAUAAAAGUUCCAACAUACCACUGCCAGUUGUUCUGCCAUGAAAUGGUUCACUUCCUCAAAGCUAAAGUUUCUUGUCUCAUACUCUCUUCCUGCCAAUAUUAUCAAGACUGAUCAAACGAACAAAUCCAACAUUUAAAUUUAUUUCAUUGGUAUUAUCAGAAGAAAGGCAUUGUGUACCAAUGAGUUUGAUAACAACAUUAGCCUUUGCUAUCACAGCCUUGAUUGAAUUUUCAUCCCUUGGAUCGUAUUUCAUUGGCACUAUCUAAUAAAGAGAAAUAUCAAAUUAAAACCAAAUAAAACACAAUAAGCACUUCAAUAUGAAUUCAAAGAAAGAAGGGGAAAAACGCAAUUCCAUAAGGUAUGCAACCUGUCCUAAAUCUCCCAUCAACUUGAGAUGACGAGGGUUAUCCUCGGAACCUCUGAAGGGAACUAACACCUGAGAUCCCAUUUUAGCUAAAAUAAAAAGAAAAAAAAUCAGUAUACACAAAUAAACCUUAAAACAACAACAACAAUAGCAGCAAGCUCUCUGUAAUGUACACAUUAAGGCAAAACAAUGUACAAUUAUAACUACAAGAUUAAGUUUAAAUUACCCAGUUAUUGUACAAGAUAACAACCAAGGAAUCCAGUAGCGUCGAAAACAGUAGCUAUAAUGCCACUGCAGGGGAAGGGAAAAUCAUUUGACAUUCAAAGAGAAAACUUUUAAAGAUAAAAGUUCAAAUCCCAAAAAAAGGACCUGACGGAAGAUCGGCCAUCGGUGCCCUUGCGAACGAGGUGCCCAUGCCCUUGUGGGAAGCCAGUGUAGAUCCGUAUCGCUGAUGAUCACCUCCAUAGUCUGAAAAGGAAAAUCGAUAGUAAAUGAUUUAUAACACUUCGAUAAAAGGUAAAAGAAAAAAAACCCAUCAAUUUGUUGCAAAUGUUAAACACCAUUAGAAAGAAGAAGAAAAGAUAAAUUGGAGAAAAUAAAAAGAGGGAAUGGAAAUGUUACAGUGAUCGGAGAGAGGGUAAAUAGACUUGAUAGAAGAGAUUGAAGCAGUUGGCCUCAGAGAUUGGAAUAGUUAAAACAAUUGAAGACUCAGGGAUGGAAUUAGGACUCGGCGGAAACGAUGGCAGUGGCAGUGGCAGUGGCGUUUACCGUCUGGACGCUUGCACUUAUGCUUCUCGAAAUCAAAGACUGAAUAAGGAUUAAGAAAAGUUCUGCAGAGAAAAAUCUAGGGUUCCAAAUUUGGGCGUUUAAGAAUCGAGGUUGAGGUAGAAAAAAUGGCAAUGGGCAUGGAGUUAAAAGUUCUGAAUGAGCAAAAGAGUAGUUAAAUUUUAUUUGGGGGAUUUAGGAUGAGAAGAAGAGGGAGUAACGAGCGGGUAAGCAAAAGUCCUUUUUUGAGUGAGCGGGAUUUUGAUUUUUUUGGGUAAAAAAAUGGCUUUUUGUGGUGUUCUUAAAAAAAAAGCCACUACGCCACUAUAGCUUAUUUUUUAUGCCAUUAUUGCUUAAUUUUAAUUUUUUUUCAUAUUUAACAUAUUUUUUCUAUUUUUUUUCAAAAUUUUUGUGUUGAGAUUAUCAUUUUUUGGAAUUUUUUUAAUUUUGAAUAUUGAAUUUUUUAACUGAAAUAUGGAAUAAAAUAUUAAAUUUUAAAAUUUUAAGUUCCUUAUUUUUUAAUUUUUAAUUUUUUAUUUUAAAUUUUAAAUUUUAAAUUUUUUUGAAUAUUUUUAUAAUUUUUAAACUAUCAUAUAAAAUACAAAAGAAAACUUUAACAGAAAUAAAAUGAAAUCGAUGAAUUAAAAAAAUAUAAAAUGACACAGCAAUACAAACAUUAUUCUUUUAAGUAUGGUCCACAUUAGUUGUUUAGAUUUUUAUAUAAAUGACAUUUAAUUUUGAUAGAGAUACAUCUCAGAAUUAUAUAUGAAUUUCGAUUUAAUGUGUAAUUGUAGACGUGAAAUUCUAAUUGUGGUUUAAAUGUAUAGUCGAAACUUUAAUUUUGAUUUAAUCAUACACAUUUUAAAAAAUAAAUACAUCAAAAUAUUUUUAUAUUGAAUAUAUAUAAAAAUUUAUGUAUGCAAUAUAUAAAUAUAAAAUGAUAUUAUAUUAAUAAUUGUGUUAAUAAUUCACAAGAACUGGAUCAAAUUAAAGUUCAUGUAUACAACUGCACACUAAAUCCUAAACCCUAAACCCUAAAUCAUAAACUUUAAAAUAGUAACUCAUAAACAUUAAACCCUUAACCAUAUACCCUAAACUAUAAUGAUAAUUAAUUUAAUAUUUUAAAAUUAAUAUUAUCUCUUUUACAAUUAUAUAAGAAAAUAUUUAUCAUAUAAAUUAAAAAACACUAAUUAAUCUAAUCUCUAAUCUCUAAACCCUAAACCCUAAAACAUAAACAAUUAACCUUGAACCCCUAACCCUUAACCCCCGACCCCUAAGCCUUAAACCCCUAAAGCUCAAACCCCAACCCUUAAACCAUAAACCAUAAACCAUAAUCCCUAAACCCAUAAUCCAUAAACUUUAAAAUAGUAACUCAUAAACCUUAAACCCUUAACCAUAUACCCUAAAUCAUAAACCCUAAACUAUAAUGAUAAUUAAUUCAAUAUUUUAAAAUUAAUACUAUCUCUUUUACAAUUAUAUAAGAAAAUAUUAACAUAUAAAUUAAAAAACAAUCAGUCAUAUACCAAAAAUCUUUAAAAUUAUUUUAAAUAAUAGUAUUUUAAUUUUUUUCAUUUUUAACAAAUACUUUUACUUUCAAAUUUUUUUUACGUGUCAUUAUUUUUUUCUGAAAAAUUUAAAUAUUCAAUUAAAAAUAAAUUGUAUUAAAAUGAACCACUUAAAUUAAAUAGAUAGAUGAAAUGUUUUUUGCGGCGUUUUUCAAAAAGCGCCGCUAAUACUCGAUAUAUAAAACAACGGUGUUUUGCAAAACUUUUUGCGGCGCAGUUGGCAUAAUUUUUUGCGGCGUUUUUUUAAAAAGCGUUGCUAAAGGUUACCUAUAGCAGCGUUUUUUAAAAAGCGCUGCUAAUGCUUAUCUUUAGAGGCGUUUUUCAAAAGCGCCGCUAAAGCCGCGGCAGUUUAGCAUAAUUUUUUGCGGCGUUUUUUUAAAAAGUGCCGCUAAAGGUGACCUAUAGCGGCGUUUUUUAAAAUGCGCCGUUAAUGCUUGAUCUUUAGCGGCAUUUUUCAAAAAGCGCUGCUAAAAACCUAUUUUGGUGAAGUGAUAAUGCCAUAAAAAUUAAUCUAAAAUGAAUUAUUAGAUUUGCAGAAUUAAUCUAAAAAUUAUGAAUCUAGAUUUACAUAUAAUAAAUCAAGAUUAUCAAGAAUGUUAUAUUAUGCAAUUGCAAUUAAAACAUUCUAAACAAGAAAAUCUUAAAAGAUCAAAACCAUAUUUAAUCCAAGAUUCAUUGUUGAAUGGAAAUCAAAUAAAAAAUAACCCUAAGAAGAUUGAAUCAUAACUAUCCAAAACCUAAAAAAUAUUUACAAGAAUUUCAAAGAUUCAACAUAGAAAUAUCAAAUCUAUAAGAUCUAAAAAACGAAUCAAUCCAAAAUAAUAGAGAAUUAAUUCAUUCCAAAAAGAAUAGAAACUUAAUCAAUUUCCAAUGAUUCAACAUGACGAGGCUCGGAUGCCACUUGUUGGAUUUGUAAAAUAAAUCUGAAAUAAAACUUAAUAAACCAGGAUCUAUCAUGUCAAAUCAUCAAGAAUAAAUCAAGAAAAAAACUAGAUGCGGAAGCGUACCUGAAUCCAUAAAUUCCUUGAAGUUUUACUGGAUCUUGGGGAUUUGAUCUUCCAAAUUAGAACAUAAGAAAUUCAGAGAAUAGCUGCUCUCUUUUUCCUAAUGAUGGGAUAUUAGAAAAGAUAUCUUGUGUAUAAUUUGGGGACCAUAACCCUAAUAUUUAUAACCUUAGCAUAUUAGUUCUAAUCAAAUUCUAAUUAGCCCAUCAUUAAUCAUAAUUUGAUUAGAAUUCAAGUACUAGAGUAUCUACACAUAUUUGACCCAUCCUUUAUUUAAUAAUUGAAACCCAAUAAAAUUUUAACCAAAUUAGAUCACUCUUAAUUUGGGCUAACAUAUCAUGAUAAUAAAUAAUAACAUGUAAUUACCCUUAUUAUAUAUGUGAUGUCCAUAUUUUCCAACAAAAUAUUUUUGUAAUUUUUCGAACCGAGUUGAUGUCUGGUUAACUCGUAGCACCAACUCAACCAAGGGUUUAAAUAAUAGUAUAGGUCAUUACAUUUUAAUUAAUUUUUAGAAUAAGUAUGUUUUGGAAUUAUUUCUAAAAAUAUGUUUUUUUGAUGCACCUCAAUAGUCAAAACUAAUAACUAAUUUCCCUAAACUUUAGACCCCUAAUUUCAACAAAGUGUAUAAUUGUUGAAAUGUCCAUUUGUUGGUCUAAGCGGCAAAUGCAAAGCACCAAGAUCAUUUUUUAUGCACUAAAUCAUCCACAGUGUUAUUAUAUUGGUUUACCUCAAAUAAAACAUUUUUUACUGAUCCCCAUUGUUUCUACUACAAUAGAAAAUCUUACACAUGGCCCUUAACCUAACAUUAGACAACUCGAUGGUUUUCGUUAAUCAUCGUGCUUAAACAAACUCAUAAAAAGUUUACAUGUAUAAUUGAGAAACCUUAACCCAUCUUCUUAAACUAUAAAUCCCCAGAGUCGUGGGUUGAGUAAGCUAGAAACCAUGGGGGAUUUUUUUUGAACUUGGCAUCUUUUUCAAAUAACAGAAAAACCCUAACUUAUUUUCCUAAACCUUAACCCCAAAAGUUUAAUCCCCUAACAAAACCUUAGACACUAAAUAAAACAUUUAAUAAAAUCCCAUCAAAUUCUUUCUUCUAAGGGUUUUUAUGCAUCUCUAACUUCAAUAAAAAGUAACCUCAACUCUCAUAUUCAAAUGCCUUUUGUGAUAAUGGAUUUCCUCAAGUGUUGGAGUGCCAAUUGAGUAUGAAAGCUUCUUUUAAACUAACUUUAAAUAGGCUAUAGGGUUUAUGAUAAACCUUGUUUAUGAUUAGUAUGAAAGAUUUCACUAUAUCAAAACAAUGUUUCAACACUUGUGGGAAACCAUGAUCUAAAUCAAGAGAGUUCAAGUUUUCCUUGAUUGAAGUUAGAUUUUGGUCGAAAUCAUUUAUCUAAAAGUGAUAGUAGCCAGAAUAAGUUGGAGGAAAAUAAUUUUAAAAGACUUUAUCAAAAUUUUAAUUUAAGGUUUAAGGUUUGAGGGAAAAUGGUAAAUAUUUAAGGGUUAAAAGAUUUUGGUUUGGGGCUAGAAGGAAAAGGUUAAGGUUCAACUCCUGUUCAUUAGGUAAACUGACUACAAUCUUGACACCCAUGGGUUGUUCAGCUUUAGUCAUAAUAAAAUGCAAACAAAUACAUAACAAACAAUUGUUCAUCUUUCAAAAUCAAAGCUAACCACUAUUUGAAGAUGUUGGGUCUAGUACCCUAAAUCUAGUAUAUUCAUUUUGUAUAGUUGUAUUUUUUGAGAAAAUUGGUUUAAUAAAAAUAUCAAUUGAUUACAUUAAUAGCCUUUGUCUAUUAUCCUCAAUGAUUUUGUAUGCAAAGUAAAAUGGAAAUAAAAAUUGGCUCACUAGUUAUCUAACAUUUAACUAAUACUAAAUCGUAUUACGUGGUAAGAUAGUAAUACAGAAAGACAACUUGUAUUAGUAGAAAAACCUAAAUAAGUCCUUAGUCUAAUUGUAAAUGAGCAAACCGGUUUAAAGACUUAAGUCGUCUAGUAAGUCCAAUUAGGGAGAUGCUUUGUCUUGAGCAUCAGAAUGAAGGACUCCUAGAAGAUAGAGACAUAGAUGUCACUGAAUAGACUGACAAUAUAUUGGACAGGACCUAAGUAGGAUAGAUCCUAGAUUAAUUUAUGAAUUUAUUCACUUGAGACAUUCAUAGUGUGGCAUACCUUAAUCUUGAUUAGAUGAUGGACUAUGCAUGUGUGAAUCGUAUACUUUGAUGGAAGUAAAAGCUUGAAUUCAAAUAAAUAAGGAACCGAAAAUUGGUAUAUUGCGUAUACGGCUUCUACAACAUAUAGCAUCAUUCACAAUAGUGGAAUUCAUAGCCCAAAUAAUAGGUAAAUGAUAUCCUCUCAUUGGUAUUACAUGAUAUAUGAAAAGGAAACGUGGCCACGAGUCAUUUGUCUUUGUGAUAAAUGACUUGAUUACUAUUUAAUAGUACUAGGGUGUAAUACCCCUAACCCCUAUCUGUCGCUGAAACAGGGUCACAGAGUAUUACCAGAGUUUACAGAUCAAUUACAAAAAAUUUCAUAUCAUUUACUAUUAAUAUCUGAAAUUUAUCAUAUCAUCUCUUAAAUGGGUCCUCGAGGCCCAAAAUACACGUUAGAAUCAAAUCAAGACUAAAUUGGAAACUCAAAAAAAUUUUCGUGAAAUUUUAAAAUUUAUCUUACGUACAAGGGACACAGCCUGUGUGGUCAGGCCAUGUGGCUCACAUGGCCAGGUGACACGCCUAUUUCUUAGGCCGUGUGGGUAUUCAAUGUGAAACACACGACUGUGUCCCAGCCCGUGUUCAAAUUAGGGUAGCUACUGAUGAUGAUGAUUUACUUAACUAACUAAAUUACGACAAAGGCAAGCGCACCUAUCGAGUAGUAGUACAGCUAUGGUGAGUCGGGGAUAUCAUAUCCACAAGGACUAAAAUUACUAGUAAUUACCUUUUUUCUAUUAUUUAGCCUAUAAAUUGAAGAAGUUUGUUUUAAAUCUAAAAUUAUCUAAACUAAUUAUUAAGAACUCGACAGAGAAUAAAGUAUGAAAAUAAUCCAAUUGACCAAUGAGAGAGACAAUACCCAGGAAAGAAUCCACUUAGACUUCACUUAUUAUUCUGAAUCUGAAUUAAACGAUUUAUUCACUUGCCUUGAUCCGUAAAAAUCCCUAAAUUAUAUUAAUAUUUAUUUCGAGAGUAAAAAUAACUGCCUUUAGGUUGAUUAAUUGAAAUCUCUUUCUAAUUAAAACCUCUAUUGUCGCAUUAACUCGAUCUAUGGAUUCCCCUAUUAGAUUUGACUCUAAUCCGGUAGAUUUAUGUCAUCCUAUUUCUAGGAUUGCAUGCAACUCCACUCAAUUAUGUCAGAUCUACUCUUAAACAGGGACUUUUGCUCCACUGAAUUAAGCACAUCAAUCAUGAAUUAAUAUCCUGAAAACAUUAAAACAUGGAAUAAGUACACAUAAUUGAGAUCAAGAAAUCAAUUAUUUAUCAUGUAAUUCAAAAAAUUAAAUAACAAGAUCCGUCAUAGGUUUCAUCUUCCCUAGGUAUUUAGGGAAUUUAGUUCAUACUUUGGGAGGAAAACAUUUCAAAUUUAGAAAAACUACAAAACAUAAAGAAACCCAAAAACUUCUUGAGAAGUUGACUGGGGAUCUUCAAUCUUGAAGGAGAUCUUGCUUCUGAGUUGAUUCCAAGGGUGUUCUUCGAGUAAUUUCUUCGUUCUUCUCUGUGUUCCCCCUUUAGGUCCUCUUUUAGUGUGUAAAUAGACUUUAAAAUGCUCAAAAUCCUUAAAAAUUGGCUUUUUCUUCGUGUUUGGGAAACAAGGAGUGAUAUUGACACAGGCUGGAACAUGGGCAUGUGGUCAGCCCGUGUGAUGUGCUUAGUCUGUGUGGGAAUGACCAGGCCGUGUAGAUCCUGAAAGUAGCUCGUUUUGUCUGAUUUUGUCCUAUUUUCUGCUCCUUUUGCCCCCCUAUGCUCUUCUAAGUAUAAAAACAUGAAAUUAAAGGAUUAAGAGCAUCAAAUUCACUAAAUUAUAUAAUAAAUCAUCCAAAAACAUGCCAAGCAUGGGAUUAGAACAUGUUACUUUUAUGGUUUAUCAACUAACUUGGAUCACACGGCCAGCCACACGCCUGUGUUCUAGGCCGUGUGGACAAUUUAAUUUUCAAAAAUAGGUGCAAGAUUCACACGGCCAAGACACAUGCCCAUGUGUUGGCCUUGUGUUUUACACGGUUGAGACACACGCUCGUGUCUCUGUCCGUGUGAUCAAUUCUGAGCAUUUUGUUUCUAAAAUUGUAAGAUGUAGGGGACACACUAUCAAACCACAUGCACAUACAUAUUGUAACGCCCCAAUUUUCUGGAAUUCUGUGAAUGUUGGCAUAGGUUUAAUUAUGUUUUUGGGCCUCUAGAAGGCCCAAGCUUAGGAUAGAACCCGGUAAUUUUAGUUAAUUUUUGUUCCAUAAGAAAAAGGGAGUGAAAUUAUGAAAUAGGACCUAUGUGAAAAUGUUUGAAAAUGCUAUAGGCUAAUUUGUAGUGGCCAAAUAAAUACGAGUGCAAAAUAGGAGGAUUUGCAUGUCAAACCUCCCAUUUUACAUGUAGUGGCUGGUCAUCAUGUUGUUGUAGACAAAAUGUGCACUUGAUAUCCAUAAUUUAUGGUACAAAUUGAUACAAAUUGAUAAUGGGUUAGGUAAAUGUUUCAUGAUAAUGGGUUAGGUAAAUGUUUCAUGAUAAUGGGUUAGGUAAAUGUUCCAUGAUAAUGGGUUAGGUAAAUGUUCCAUGAUGGGAAUUUCAUGUCUUUUGUGUUAAAGAAUUAAAUGGAUGAAAUAUGAAAUUUUAUUAAAAGAAAAAGGGGUGAAAAGAACAAAGUUUUGGUCCAUCUUUGUUCAUCAUAGCCGAAAGUUAGAGAAGAGAAAGGAGAGGAGAAAGUUCUUGAAUGUUCGGUCACUUGGGGAAGAAAAUUGAAGGUAAGUUCAUGGUAGUUUGCUUCUAUUUUGAGGUUCAUGAGUUCUUCUUGAUUCUACCUUAACUCUUGAAGCAUAUUUUGGUUUUUAGUUGUGUUGUGAGCAUUUAGUCAUGAAUUAAAAUGAAGGAAAUGGUUGUUGUUUCAUGUUCUUUUGAUGAAAAAUGAAAGAUAGGUGAAGUUGAGCCAAACAAAUGAGCAUGCAUGUGCCUUAGAUGCUAAAGGGAAAAAUCGGCUAACAUGUUGUGCUUUAAAAUGAUGAAAUGGAGAUUAUACUUAAGUAAAAUCAUAGAUAUGUGAUGAUUGAUUGGUGAUAUACAUGUUUAAAGAACAUGCAUGCAAGGUAUGUGUGAAAGAGUGAUUUGGUAAUAAAUCUGCUUGGGACAGCAACAGUAACGUGACUUUGGAAAAUCACCAUAAAUUGUGGGAGAUGAAUUAGAAGCUGAAUAAAUUAUGUAAUUAAAGCUUAUUGAGUCUAGUUUCUAAUGAAAUAAACAAGAACAUAUUUUGAAUUAUGUACAAUGAGAAAUUUGAUUCGUAAUGAAGAGUGGUCAGAUUAGUUAAACAGUGAAACAUGGGAAACUUUGAGAAAAAUCUGGUAUUGAUUGGCUAAACCAAAAAUUCUAAAAAUUUUAUGGAUAGAAGAUAUAUGAGUCGAUUUUCAGGGAAAAUUAACGGCACUUGAUUUGGAUUUUCGUAGCUCCAGUUAUAAAUGAUUUAGUGACUGUUGCUCAGGGAGGCAGCUUGCAGUGAAAUUAUGAUUAUGUGGUAAACACUGACAAAAAUUUGUUAAUGAGUUGCUUAUUGAUUUCUUAUAAGCUUACUCUGAUCUGUAGGUGUGGUUGGCCGAAUAUUGUAAGGGGUUAAUAUGUAGUUCGUAUUUGAAUAGUUAGAUUAACGUGUUAGUAAUCCAAUUGUAGGCGGUUCGUGUGUGGAUCUCGUCAGCAUAUCGUCGCAAACAGGUGUGUAACUAACACCCUCUUAUAGACUAGAUCGGCACAAGCCGAAAAGCCGAAAUGCCGAAAAGCCAGUAUUUUGAGAUCUUGCGAGUGUGUGAAUGCUCAUGAGAUUAAUAGUUUGAUGUAUAUGGUAAAUUAAAGUGAUAAGACUGCAGAGUGCGCGAUUCUGUGCAUUUCGAUAUUUUUGGGCUUAAUGGGCCAAAAACGGGAUAAUGGGCCAACGAGCCCAAAUUGGUAAGAAAAUGCGGUAAAUGUUUCUGAUUGUAUGUAAAUGGCUAUGUUAUGUAUGAAAACCUCAAGAAUAGUUAAAUUACUUGAAUACCCCUAUGUAUGCAAAAUUACCAUUAUACCCCUAGGGUUACUUUUGACUGAAAAGCAUGACGAUCUGAUUUUGUAUGAUGUAUGCCAUGAUUAUAUAUCUGUUGCAUGGGGACUUGGGUUAUACUAUGGAGGAAGUGUCCUGGUGGCUAUGCCACAAUUAUCUGAUCUGGUGGCUCUGCCGCAUAUAUCUGUCCUGGUGGUUAUGCCACAAUUAUCUGAUCUGGUGGCUCUGCCACAUAUAUCUGUUCUGGUGGCUCUGCCACAAUAUCUGUAUCUGGUGACUUCGUCACAAUAUCUGGCAGCCUCGCUGCGAUUUCUGUGGUGUGUAGCGGUUGGGUGGGUCGAGUAGUCUCCCCACAUGGUGUAAGGCUGGUACCGGGGUGUUAUGGAUGAAUCUGGGUUGGGUUUCUGCAUAAACAUGUAAUAUCUGUUCUGUUCUGUUAUGGGCCUAUGGGCUUUAUUUUGAAUUCUGUUCUGGGCUAAGGCCAACUUAUUCUGUUUCUGUGGUUUGAGCUGAUAUAGGCUAUGGUUGGGUUAAUUUACACACUGAGUUUCCCCAAACUCAUCCCUUUUAUUUUCAUCCACGCAGGUAAUCCCCAACCAUAGUGGGCUUGGAGCUGUGAGGGAAUUCGGAGUGGCCACCCAUUCUGAAAGUUUGAUUUUUUUCUGGUGAACUGGAUAUCCUUUUAUUUUCGUUUGAGGUUUUGGGUUUUUAAAUGUAAUAAGGCCGCUUAAUUAUUUUUGAUGGUUUUAAUAUGUGUUACUAAGAUAAGUAUUACUUAUUUUAAUUGUUGAAAUUGGAAAGCUUUAGGGCGCGUUUUCAAAUACAACAAUUGAUUUCAAAAUACCAUGACAACAAGCAAAGCUUCCACAAUGAAAGUAUUUUCCAAAAUUAAUCACUUUUCCUAAAAAAGACUUAAUCAAAUCAGUUACCUAGAAAUAGACAUGACGUUAAGUUGUGGCAAUGGUGGCAUGCAUGUCUAGGAUUGGAUCCGAAGGGAGCUUGGUACUUAAACAGUCUGAUGGACUCACCUCCUCUUUUCCGGUUUCCUACCUGGUGCACAGCUUCCAUUCACUUUAACCUAUAAUGAAAUUAUCUUUUAAAACACUAAGUAAGUUUUUCUGGAUCAACAAUAUAAAAUGUUUUGAACGCUUCGAUGUGGCAUGUCGGAUCCAGCCAUAACGUCUGGUUGGGUUUUGGGGUGUUACACAUAUGGCCGCGAGUCACACACGGUUGAGAUACACGCCCAUGUGCCUACCCAUGUGGACAAAAUAAGGCCAUUUCCAAGCCUUAUUUCUCACCUAAAUUUUGCCUUGUACGUACAUUAAUACUUGCAUACAUAUACCAACCAAUUCAAGAUGUUAAAACCAAGCCAACAUUAACAUUAUAUUUGAUAAAUCAUCACAUGUAUUCAAACUUAAAUUUUGAAAGACAUAUAUGUUUACCAUAAUUCAAUCAAAUCAUACCAAGCACACAUAUUUUAACCAUAUUAUAACCUCAAGUAUAUAUUCACUAAAUAUAUCAUUAUUAGCCAUUCCAAUGGCUAGAUUACAAACAACCAUUUACAUGAAAACAUUUAUCAAGUUAGCCUAUACAUGCCAUUGUACCAAAAUAAGUUUGCUAUUUAUACCAAACGUGCUGAAGGAUAGUGUGAUGAUGUUUCGAUCGAUUCCAACCUUUACGAGCUUUCGAGUACUAUAAAAUAGAGAAAAGAAAAAAAUGUAAGCAUUUAAUGCUUAGUAAGUUCGCAUAACAAGAAUUUAACUCACCAUACAUUUACAUUUAAGGUAAGCAUAUAAGAUGCUUCCAAGCAAUUUGGCUAAUUGUAAUAGCCCGAUUUUGGGCCUCGAAACAGUGGUUCCGAAACCACUAUUUCAGGGUCGAAGAAAUUAUUUUAAAUAUUAUUUUAUGUGUUAUAGCAUGAUUAUAUGAGUGCAUAAACAUUUUGGUGAAUUAAUUUUAGCGAUUGUGAGCUUAAUUUUGAAAAAUGACUAAAUCGCAUAAAGGGAAAAAUUUGUGAUUUUCUAGCUAAAUAUGUUAAAUUGCUAGAGAACCAUAAUUGGGGGUUUUUAAAGUGCAAAUAGACCCCUUUCACAAGCUUGGCCGACCAUAGAGACAAAUAGGAGUUGAGAAGUCAAAGUUAGGUGCCUUUUUUUGGUAAGAAAUAAAACAAAAAGAAAAAGUUGUCAUCCUUUCAUCUUUUUUUUCUUCUUCCACCAAAAAUGGCAGCAAGGAGGGGCUUGAAAAACUCAAAAUAUCAGCCACUUAUAUUCUUUUCAAGUAAGUGAUUUAGAUGCCUAUUUUUGAUAAUUUUUGUACUUUUGGAACCCUUGUAGCAUGAACUAGCUAAUGGGGGGACUAUUUUGUAAAAUGGUUGAUAGUCUAGGGAUUUACCAUGAAAGGAUUUAUGUUGUUUUCUGAAUUUUUAUGGAAGAAAAUGAGUCUUGGGUGUCUUAUAAACAACUUUUGUGAAAGGUGUUAGCAUGAAAACACCUAAAAAGACUAUAUUGCAUAAGUUGUAAAAUAGAUGUUAUGUAUGUGAAAUAGUGGGAAAUUGGAGUUGCUAUAAGAGUAAAAAGGGUUCGGAUAAGCUUAAGAUGUGAAGAAAUUCGAUAAAAAUCAAUUUUCGGACCUAGGGGUAAAAUGGUCAUUUUACAAAAGUCUAGGGGCAAAAUGGUCAUUUUGCCCAAAUAUAGGUUAUUGAAUACCUAGAUUGAUAAAGUGAUUAAAUUUGUGAACUUGUGUUAUUUUAGAUCAAGAAAAUCGAGAUUUGGGCUUAAAUCAAGAAAGUGUGUGGUUAAAGACAAAAAGAAAAUAAUUAGCCGAAAUUACAUUUGAGGUAAGCCCGUGUGAUUAAAUGACCGUGAUAUUUAUGCCAUUGUUAUUAUACUUGAAAAUCUAUCUUGUCAUGAUUGUAUUAAAGUGUAGGUUGAUGAUAUUGUAUAUGAAAAAGUGAUGUCAAAUGUAAAUAACAUUUAUGUGUUGAUUGAAUGCUUGGAGAUUUGAUGGAAUAUGAUAUUCCAUUGAAAUGAGUAAGUUGUAUGUAAAUAAGACAACUACAUUGUUAUUAUAUGUGUUUAAAUUGAUAUAGCAUGAAUUGCUUGGUUGUGGAAAUGAUUAUGUUUGAUGAAUAUUGAGAUAGUAGAAUUCCCGUUUGAACCUUAAGACACAAUUCGGAUAUUCAUGCCAUGACAUUCGGGUUAUUUGUGAGCCAAUGUAAGACCAUGUCUGGGACAUGGAAUCGGCAUUGAGAUGAGAGCUAGUGUAAUACAUGUCUGGGACAUGCAUCGGCCUCGAGUUGUAAGCCAGUGUAAGACAUGUCUGGGACAUGUAUUGGCUACGAGAUGUGUCAGUGUAAGACCAUGUCUGGGACAUGGCAUCGGCACAGAUGUGUGAGAGCUAGGGUAAGACCAUGUUUGGGACAUGGCGUCAGCCUCGAUUUCGAUAGUCAGUGUAAUACCAUGUCUGGGACAUGACAUCGACUUAAUGGAUGAGCUAGUGUAAGACCAUGUUUGGUACAUGACAUCGGCAUUAUACCCUAUGUUUGAGGCUUAGUGAAUAUCCGAUAGCUUUCCGAAUGGUUCAACGGUGAGAGUUAUGGUUUAAGCUAAAUGAGAAAGGUUAUGACCAUAUUGUGAGUGGUACAGGUACUUACAUGAAAUUGAUGGGAUGUGAAUUCAAUUCAUGUUAUAUGAUUAGUAAGAAAUGAAAAUGAGCAUGUUGAGUAAUACAGGUAUGUAUGCCAAGCUCAUGAGAAAUGAUUUCAGUUUACAAUACACCUUUAGUGAAGAUGUAAAUAGGUAAUUCAUGCUUAUGAGAAUGAUUUUGUGAUGACCUUGUGAUUAUAGGUCUAUACUUAUGAUGUAUGAAUAUGUAACCUUACCAAUGUGGUGAAAGUGAAUUAAUAUGGUGUGAUAAACUAGUAUCGUUAAUUUACACAAAAACAGUUUUGGACAGUAGCCAUAGUCCAAAUUUGAAAAUCCACAAAAAAUUGUGGAAAUUGAUUUAGAGGCUGAAUAAAAUAUGAAAUUAAAUCCUAUUGAGUCUAAUUUCACAUAGAAGAAAUGGUGUAAGUAAAAGAGUUUCAUAUUAUGAAAUAUUUAAAUUGUUGUGAGACAGAGUCAGAAUGACUUCGAAAAUCCCCUAUUCUGAUUUGAAAAAAUCAUUGAAAAUUGUAAAAAAAUAUUUAUGACUUAUAAUUUAUAUUAUUAUAAUUCUUAAUGAGUAAUUUUCAAGAUAAAUAGACGAUAACAUCAUCUUAGUCCCGUAUUAUGAGAUAAUUAAUUUUUAGUAAAGAGGGGUUAGAACUGUCAGACAACGAAAAAGGGUAACUUUGAGGAAUAAAAUAUACUAAUUGGCUAAACCAAAAAUUCUAAAAAUUUUAUGGUAAGAAGAUAUGUGAGUCUAGUUUCAGGAAAAAUUAGCAUAACUUAAUUUGGAGUUCUGUAGCUCCAGAUAUAAAUAAUUUAGUGAAUCUGACUUGAGAAAAUAGUUUGACUGGAACAUGAGUAAAAAAUGCGAAUAGGGUUGUAUUACCAUCAAAAGAAAAUUGAUAAAUUGCUUAUUAUUUUCAUACGGUCUUGCUAAGCUAUAAAGCUUACUCCCUUCCUUUCCUUUCCUUUAGUGUUUUCAGGUUAGCUCGGAGUUGGAGAUCGUCGGAGGCAGCAUCACACUAUAAAGUCGCUACCUUUGGAAUAAUGAAGUAUAUAUUAGAAAUUUCAAGUGAGUGGCUUGUAUAGAGAUGUAGUUGAUUGACAUGUAUUAUUUUUCUUUGGCCAAAUGUAUUGGUUUAAAUUGAGUUUUAUGUAUAUGGCCAUGAGAUGUGGGUCAUAUUGAUUAUGGCUUGUAAGCCUAGCUAUUUAUGUCAUGUCUAGUUUUUAUAAUGUGAUUAUGUUUGUUUGCCAUGCAUGGUUAGUAAUAUGACAUGUGUGUUGGAUGUAUGCUCUAUGACCAAUUGAGGUGUUCAUAGCCAUGUAGUAAUUGCAUGUUAUAUACACAACGUGAUAAUGAUUGAACAUUAGUGCUUGAUGGAUAAGUUGGUAACCGUAGUAUAAUGGUAAAAGUGAUCAUCAAAAUGACAAGUCUUAUGAAAGUGAAAUAAGGAAUCUAGACUUGGCAUUGCAUGAGUAUAUGCAUUACUUGUAAGAGGACAUGUUAAUGUUAAGGAUAUAUCUUAAUAAAGAAUGUUUAAUCAUUAAAAUGAUGCCAUGAUUUGCGAUUUUGAUGUACAUAAGGUUGUAAGAGAUUAUGGGUAACAUGAAAGCUUGGAAAAUAGCCGAAGUGUUGGCCAUAUGGGCUGAGACACGGCCGUGUGUCUCAACCGUGUUAGAGACACAGCCUGGAGACACGGGCGUGUGGCCCGGCCGUGUGGUUCGAUGUACAUGCUGAUGUCAUAAACAGAGAGUUACAUGGUCUGAGGACACGGGCGUGCCAAAGGUACACAGGCAUGUCCCUAUGUCCACACGGGCGUGUGACCUUGUUUUGUGGGAAAAUUUCCUAAGUUUUUUUGAAACUUUUAAAAGUUCUCGGUUUAGUCCCGAAUCAAUUCCGAUGAAUGUUUUGGGCUUCGUAGACCCAAAUAAGGGAUGACAUGCAUGUGUUUGAAAGGUUUUGAAUUAAAAGAGAUUUUAUGGCCCGAUUUUUGCAUGAAUGUAUAUGUUUAAGUCCAGUAAUGUCUCGUACCCUGUUCUGGCGUUGGACAUGGGUAAGGUGUGUUACACUAAUAGCCUAAAACACACAACUUCAUCAAACAUGUUAGUCAUUAUUCCACAUAAAUUUCAAGAAUCAAAGAUGAGCUCAUCAUAGUAUAACUUUCAUAUACAUAUGCUUUUCAUAUCAUAUUUCCAUUUAACAUGUACAUUUCCAUACACAUAUAUCUUUCAUCCCAUAUUUCAAUUUGUCAAAUAUCAUCACUUUCAUGUAUUUCAGGUAUAAACGGGUAAUAAUUCAUUUUGAACUCAUAUUUUCUCAUGUUAGGAUUUUUCCCAUUGAAUUAUUGAAAAUAUCGAUAGAUACAUAGGUAGUACAAACAAGGUGUACAAAACUGUAAUCUAUCAAAUCAUAUUCUGGGGUACCCAUUAGGGCACAUAAUUAGGAAACACUCUCUCGAGCCAUAUAAUAGGAUGCUCAUGUGAGCCAUGUAACAUGAAGCUUAUCCGGGCUAAAUCAAGAAACUCAUAAGAGUUUAGAAUAGGAAGCUCAUUGAGCUUAACAGGUAACUCUGAAAAGCUAUUAUUAGGGAACUCUGGAUAGCCAUAUAAUAGGAUGUUCAAGCGAGCCAUAUUAGAAAGCUCAAGAAGAGCCUAGAUUAGAACGCUCAUAAAGAGCUGUGUUUGUGUCCACAAUAUAUGCAGGAUCACAACCGAUCAUAUAAUAAGAUGCUCACAAAGAUUUGUGGUAUGUCCGCAACAUAUGCAGGAUCAAUACCGAUCAGGAUGCUCACAGGAACCAUGUAACGGGAAACUCGAGAGGGCUUAUAACAGGAUGCUCUUUCAAGUUAAGGUGUAUCUACAACAUAUGCAAGACCACAACCAAUCAGGAAGACUUGUAUCCAUCAAAUUCCAUCUAUUCAAGAGGGACUUAUUAUUUAUCGGGCAUAAUCGGACAUGUGAUCAAUUUCAUAUAUAAUGCAUUCAUACAAUUCACAUAUACCACACUCAAAUCAAACAUAUAUAAUACACACAAUUUAGUUACACGAACUUACCUAGAUAAACGUUCGUAUACAAAGAUCUACUAAUCUGAUACUUUUUGUUUUCCUCGAUCCAGCUCUGUACUAGGUCUAUCCGGAUCUAUAUAAAUGAAUUUAACAUCAAUUUAAUCCAUUUCAUACUCAAUUUAAUUCAAAUCAAACCCUAGGCAAAAUUACCAUUUGUGCAAUUUAAUCCAUAUUCCAAGUCUAAUCGAUUUUUACAUAUAACAUUUACAGCACAUAUAUUUCAUAAAAAUCAGAAAUUUUCCAUGGAUUUUUUAUCUUUACAAUUUAGUUCCUAAAGCAUAAGUUCAUGAAAAUUCACUUUACAAAAGUUGUUUAUCUAUCAACAACCUUUCAUUUUCUAUUAUAAAUUUCAAAAUUUCAGCAUAUUCAUCCACGGAAAAAUUUCAAUACUUUAAUAUCUUUUCAAAUUGAUUCCCAAAAUAGAUAGAUUAGGUUAUUCCGAUCUCAAAAAUAUAAAAAUUACUAAAAACGGGACAUGAUUACUUGCCUAAUUAAGCUUGCUUGAUUUUCUUUCUCUUUCUUAGGGUUUUCAUAAAAUUUGGGGAAGAAGAUGAUAUAAAAUGAUGAUAUUUGAUAUUUAUUUUAUGUAUCAUCUUUUAUUUAUUUCAAUUUCUAAUUUAGUCCUUUUUUUUCUAAUUUUCCAUGGAUGAAUCAUCAAAAAUAUCUAUUAAAUUUUUAAUGGUCUAAUUACUAUAUAAGGACCUCAAGUUUUGAAUUCCAUAACUAUUUGAUACUUAUAGCUACUAUAACUCAACUUUUGUAUUUUAUGCAAUUUGGUCCUUUCUAUUAUUAAACAUGAAAUCGAUAAAAUUUUCUUAUCAAAUUUUUCAUAAGUCUUUCCUAUCAUGAUGCAGACCAUGCAAUAAUUUUAAAAUAAAUUUUCUUUCUGACUCGGAUUUGUGGUCCCGAAACUAUUGUUCCGAUUUCAUUGAAAACGGACUGUUACAUAGGGACUGCAAACCCUAGUGUAUUUAAAUAGGGUUGUCGCCCUGUCCCCCCAAUCCUAGUUAGACUAGGAUUAUGUUUUUCUAUUGAAAUAGACUUCUAAUAAUUCAACAAGGGUUUCAUUUCUUCUCCCUAUAAAUAGAUGGAAACGGUAAGGCUAAAUACAGAACUUUGAGAUAUUGUUAUUCUGCCCGAAAAUAGUGAGAAUUUAUUUUCUAAGUAUAAAUUCUAUAUUCUAGAAUGCAAUUCUACUAGUUUUUAUUAAAGAGAGAUUUUCUUUUCCACUAAAAGUAAAGUAAAUGAUUUCUGGUUCUGUGCUUGAUUUGAAUUUGUUCAAGCCUACAAUCAAAGUAGCUUGUGGUACAGGAAUAACAAAGAAGGUCAUUCAGUUGAAAGCCAAGAACGAUAAGGAUCCGUUUGGUCGAAAACACAGGUGUGAUUUUUGUAAAGCUUUUAUUGAUAUAAAUAUAAAAAAUCGACUUGAUUUUCAAAAAUUAAAUUUUUCGCUGUGCAAGAAAACUAUUUUCAAAUAAAUUUUUUUUCAAAUAUUCAUAUUAACCAAGAAAGAAUAACUAUACUUGUUAAAGAUGAUACCUUAAGUUUGCUUAAGGAAAUUGAUAUUCCACAAUGUGAAUCUUGCUUCGAAGGUAAGAUGACUAAGUGAUCUUUUAAUGCAAAAGGAAUGAGGGUUGUCAAUGUAACAACCCAUUUUUCAGUGAAAUCGGAACAGUGGUUUUGAGACCACAAAUCUGAUCCGAAAAUAAAUUUUAUUUUUAUUUUAUUACGAGGUCUGUAAUAUGUUAGAAAGGUCAUGUUAAAAUUUUGAUAAGAAAAUUUUAUUGAUUAUGUGCUUAAUUACGAGAAGGACUAUAUCGUAUAAAAUGCAAAAGUUGAAUUCUAGUAGCUACAAGGAUUAAAUAGCUAUGGAAUUCAAAACUUAAGAUCCUCAUAUGGUAAUUCGACCAUUAAAGAAAAGUAUGUAGAUAUUUUGGUGACUCAUCCAUGGAAAUUUAGAAAAAGGGCAAGGACUAAAUUAGAAUUUGAAAUAAUUUAAUUAAUUAAAAAGAUGAUAAAAGAUAUCAUCUUAAUUUUUAUGUCAUAUUCAACCUAAGAAACCCUAAGAGAGAGAGAGAAGAAACUUUCAUGGCUUAAUUGGGUAAGUUUCCUUGUCCCAUUUUUAGUAAUUUUGAUAUUUUUGAAACUGGGAUAGCUUAAUCUAUCUAUUUGAGGGAUCAAUUUGAAACUUUCAUGGCUUAAUUGGGUAAGUUUCCUCGUCCCGUUUUUAGUAAUUUUGAUAUUUUUGAAACUGAGAUAGCUUAAUCUAUCUAUUUGAGGGAUCAAUUUGAAGAGUUAACAAAGAAUGAAAAUUGGGCCAUCGAUAAAUAUGCUGAAAAUUCAAAAUUUAUGGUAGAAAAUGAAAGGUUGUUGAUGAAAACAUGAUUUAUGCACUAAAGUGUAAAAUUGAUGAAAAUUCUGAAAUUUAUAGAAAAUAUGUUCUUUAAAUUCUAUAUUAAAAUUUUGGUUAGGCUUGGAAUAGGGAGUAAAUUGCAUAAAGUUUAUUUUCCGAGCCUAGGGAUUUAAUUUGAAUUUAUGGAAAAGUUAGGGGCAAAAUGGUAAUUUUUCCUAGGAUAUAAAUUGAGUCCAAAUGAAUAUGAAAUGUGGGAAAUUCAUGAUUAAAGUUAUUUAUAUAGAUCUGGACAACUGAAAUUCGAGGUUAAAUCGAGGAAAAGAAAAAUGUUUCGAAAUAGUAGAUUUUAUACGUGAAGAAGUGUCGAGGUAAGUUUGUGUAACUUAAUCGAGCAUGUAAAUAUGUUAACUUGAAUGUUAUGAGUGUAUGCAGUAUGAUUUAUAAUUAUGUGAAUGUUAUAAAUGUGUGAAUGAAUAUAUGUUCGAAAAUGUUAGAAAAAGGGGUAAAGUCUCGUUUGAAUAUUGAAUUUCGGUGGAUAAAUGUGAUUGCCUUAUAAAAUGAUGUGUUGCAUUUGUUGCUUAUGAGAUUUAGCUCGGACGAGUAAUCUUAUUAAUCUCAUUAUAGAAAGGAUUUAGCUCGGACGGGUAAUCCUGAUAUAAUUCCUCUCGAGCAUAUUUAGGAUUUAGCCUAGACUAGCAAUCUUGUAAUACGAUAUGUGGCUUGAGAGUGUGUUCUUGAUUAAAUUCCCUAAUGGGUACUCUUGAAUAAGAAUUGACAGGUUAUUAAAUUGUACACCUUGAGUGUACUACUCGAGUAUCCAUCAAAAAGUUAAUGAUUCAACGGGCAAAACUCUUGGCAUGAUGAGAGAAUUAUGAGAUGAAAUGAUAAUGUCUUGAAAGAAUAUUGCAUGAUGAGCUCAUCUAUGUUUACUUGAUGUAUAUGAAAAUUUUGUGACUAACAUGUUUGGUUGAAUGCAUGUGUUUAGGCAAUUUUUCCAAGUUGAUGGAAAACAUGAUUUUGUAUGCUUAGAUUUAAUAAACGGGAUUGGUAAGUUUAGUUUCUGUUAUACGAACUUACUAAGCAUAUAAUGCUUACUCCGUUUUAUUUUCCCUUGUUUUAUAGUGCUCGGAAGCUCGCGAAGGUUGGAGGUCAUUGGAGCAUCAUCACACUAACCACUAGCUUAUUUUGGAUAUAUAUAGAAAAAAAAUCAUUUUGGUAUAAUGGCAUGUAUAGGCUAACUUGGCCAUAGAUGGCUUGAAUAUGUGGUUUGUAAUCUAGCCAUUGGAAUGACUAGUAAUGGUUGUUUUGAUAUACUUGUAAUGUCAUACUAUGGUAGCUAGAUACAUGUUAAAUGGUUGUUCAAGUUUUGCCUAUCAUAUGAAAUAUACCAAGGUAAGAUUAUAAACAUGUAUGCAUGUAAUGAUAUACCAUGUUGAAUGAUAGAGUUUGCUUAAUUUGAAUGCUUGAAUUGGUUAGCAAUUGGAUGUGAGUUUAAGUAUAGGUCAUUGGUGUGAUUUUGGGUGAGAAAUGAAGAUAGAAAUGGCUUUAUUUUGUCCACACUGGUAGACACACGGGCGUGUGUCUAUACCGUGUGUGACAGACGGCCUGGUAUAUAGGCGUUUGAUUAGGCCGUGUGUCCCCUGCACCUUUAACUCGAAAAAAAAUGCUCAAAAUUGAGCACACGGGCAGAGACACGGGCAUGUGUCUCAGUCGUGUGUGCUACACGGCCUAGAACACGAGCAUGUGUCUUGACCGUGUGAAACCUGCACCUAAUUUCGAAAGAAUUUAAUUAACCACAUGGCCUAGCACACGGGUGCGUGGCAUGGUCGUGUACACAAGUCAGAGAGUUACACGGGGUCGAACAUGACCUGUAGUACGGGCGUGUCCCUUGGACCACACGGGCGUGUGAGCCCUGCACUUUGGAAAAUUUUUUAGAUAUCGCUAAAAUUUCUUAGGGUUUCCGAUUAAGUCCCGAUUCAAUUUUAAUGCUCAUAUUGGGCCACGAGGGUCUAUUUCAGGGACGAUAUGAAUAAUCUCGGUUAGUGAAUAGUAAAUUACGUGAAUUAUCUAAAAAAAUAUUCUAAAAAUUUUGAUAAUGCUCCGUAACUUUGUUCCGGCGACGGAUACGGGUUAGGGGUGUUACAGUCAAACUCUUAGAGCUUAUGCACACUCAUAUAUGUGGCCCCAAGAACGUCAAUGUGCAAGGUGAUUACAAUUAUUACAUAACCUUUAUAAAUGACUAUUCCAGAUAUGAAUAUGUAUACCUAAAGCACCGUAAAAGUGAAACUUUUGAUAAAUCAAAAGAGUUUCGUGCAGAAGUGGAGAAACUAGUAGGUUUACCCAUAAAGAUACUUCAGUUUAAUCAAGGUGAGGAAUACUUAUCGGAUAAGUUCUUAGGUUACCUCGUAGAGAAUGGAAUAUUAUCCCAAUUAACCGCGCUAGGAAUUACACAACAAAAUGACAUGGCAGAGAAAAGGAAUCGAACCUUGUUGGACAUAGUUUAAUUGAUGUUAAGUUAUUCAUAGCUUCAAGUCUCUUUUUGGAGAUAUUUUUUACAAAUGACUUGUUACAUUUUGAAUGAUGUACCAAAUAAGUUCAUACCUAAAACUCCAUACUAAUUAUGGAAUGGCAUGAAGCCAAGUCUAAAUCAUUUAAGGAUUUGCCGAUGGCCAGCCCACGUGUUGGAUAAAGAUAUGAGGAAAUUGGAUUCACAGAUAGAGUUGUGUAUGUUUGUGAGUUAUCCAAAAGGAAUAAAGGGUGGUUUGUUUUAUAACUCAAAAUAGCAAAUACUGAUAGUGUCCACUCAUGCUACCUUCAUUGAAGAGAGUUACAUGAACGACUUUAAAUCUUAAAGUAAAGAAGUACUUGAGAAAAUUUUGGGAAGUACAUAAAUCCUUGGUCUCGGAUCAAACUCUUAAUAAUAGAUUUACAAACAAUCAUCAACAUAAGGAGCUUCGUUGUAGUGAGAGGGUUUCUCGUACGCCCGAGUUCUUCUAGUCUGGCAGAAGUGUUUUAAACAUUGAGUUUUCUGAACAGGAAGAUGAUGACCAACCUACAUUUAAAAAACGAUGCAGAGUGUUGAUUCCAAGCUUUGGGAAAUAGCUAUAAAAGCUAAGAUGAAUUCUAUGAAAUCCAGCUAAGUGAUAUACAAGAAGAAAAGAAAUGCGAAUGGAAAAGUGGAAACUUAUAAGGCUAGACUUGUAUCAAUUACGAAGAAGCCUUCUUUUUGGUUGCCAUACUCAACUCAAUCUGCAUAUUGUUAUCCAUUGUGGUGACUCUUAAUUAUGGAUCUGUCAAAUGGAUACCAAGACAAUGUUCUUGAAUGACUAUCUUGAAGAGAGCACCUAUAUGAUGCAACCCACCCUAUAUAUAACUAAAGGAAAUUAGCAUAAAAUUUACAAAUUGCUUAGAUUUCAUAUAUGGACUUAAGUGAGCAUCCCACUCAUGGAAUCAAAUAUUUGAUCAAAACUUUUGAAUUUGAGCAAAAUAUUGAUAAACCUUCUAUUUAUAAACGUAUUAAGGAUGGAAAUGUGGUCUUUCUUAUUGUAUAUGUCGAUGACAUUCUACUCAUUGGAAAUGAUUUAAGUACAUUGUCAUCGGUUAAAUUGUGAUUAACCCAACAGUUUAGCAUGAAAGACUUAAGAAAAGCUAUCUUUGUUCUAAGCAUUUGAAUCGUAAGGGAUAGAAAGAAUAAAGUGAUAGCAUUAUCACUAAGAAUAUACAUAGACAAGAUAUUGAAAAUUUAUGCAAUAACCGAUUCAAAAUUUAGUCAUUAUACUAUAGUGGAAUAACUUCACGACUAAAGAAGUUUAUAAUUAAUAGGCGAAAAGUUGGACAUUGAUUAUAAAUUAUUUGAGCCCUUAUUAUGUAUGUACAAUUGGUCCCCCCACUAGCUCGUUGAAACAAAAAAUGAAUUGCAUGUGGAAGAAAAUGAAUACAAAUGAAUAUAAAUGAUAAAGUCGGAGAAAUAGGUCACAUUAACAAAUUAAUUUGUUUUCUCACCAGGUAUAGAAAUGACUUGAGAAAAUAAUUUAAGGUUUUUGAAUGAUUAUUUAAUUAAUUAUAAUUAAAUAAUUAAAGUUAAAAAAAUGAAAUUAAAUUAAUUUUCCAUUAUGAAUCCUUUGAAUAAUGAAAUUAAAUAUAUUUCCUCAUAAAAUAUUUUACAAUAAAGUUGUUAUAAUUUUAAUGGAAUUAGAAUUGAGUUGACAUAAUUAUUUAAUUGGGUAAUUAAUUUAGUUAAUUAAAUUAAUUAAUUAAUUAAUAUUUAUUUUUGAAAAUAGAAAAUAAACAUUAGGUUUGAUUAAUUUAUAAAAUGCUAGGUUAAAAGUUUAGGAAACUCAUAUAAUUGAACCCAAUACAUGAUAGGCCAAAUUUGUCCCGUAUAACAUGUGAGCAGCAGCAACCCAAAGGGAAUUUAAGAGAGUGGUUGCCUCCUCUCUCUUAGUUAGAUUAAGGGAGUGUUUUCUAUUAAAAUAAUUGUUGAGUAUGACUCCUAUUUCAGUCAAAUUUGAGAAAUAAUAUUCCAGUUAAAUUCUGUUUAUUUGUUUCAAUCAAACACUGAUUAGUCUAGAUUAUUUUAUUAUUAUUUGACCUAUGAAUUUAGCCUAUAAAUAGACUCUUUUACAACUUUAGAAAAUACAUCCAUUAGAGAUUAGAACUCAUAACACUUUUGGAGAAUAUUUGUGUUUAUGUUUUGAAGGUUCUUUGUUUUUUGGGGUUUCGGGGUUUAGUUUUUAUCUCCAUCUUUGUACUCUUCGUUCUUUUGCCAUUAUAGUAAAAUUAUCUUUACCCGUGGUUUUUUAUCCUCUUUGGAAGGGUUUUUCCACGUUAAAUUUGUGUGUUCAAUUUUUCAAUUUCUUCCGCUAUUUUUACUUGUUUGUUGCUUAAUUAGGUCGAUCGCCAAUAGUAACAUUAUUUGUUUAAGCCUUAUUCAACCAAGAUUCUUCUAUUUCUCCCUAUAAAUAGAUAGCACCGAUUAACUUAAAAAACACAUUUAUUGGUUAUUGAUUUAUCAUUAUUCUACCAAAAAAAUAGUGAUAAUUUAUUCACUUAAAAUAAAUUAUAUUUUCUGGGAAUUACGAUUUUUAUUAGUUUCUUGAGAGAAUUAUUUUGCUACUGAAAGUAAUAAUAAUUUCUUGUUCUUUGUUUGGUUCAUGUUUCUCGAGCCCACACUCAACCUAAAUCCAUCUUGCACAAUGUACAGGUACUUUUCGGUAAAACGGUUAUUGCUAUAAAUAUCACAAAUCGGUUCAUUUUUUAAAAUUUUUAAACUUCUGCUAUAACUAUAAAUCGUUAUGAUGGAUUUUGACAAACCACAUUUUUAAGUGGGACUGUGUGCAUUAAAUCAAAUAAAAUUAUGAAAAAUUUUGAAAAACCACAUUUUUAAGUGGAAUUGGAAAAAGGAAAUUGAGCUACUAAGAUCCCCUUUUGAAAUUACUUAUAGAUUAUGAAAUUCUUUAAUAUAUUUACCCAAAUAAAUAAGUUCAUUUUUAGAAAUUUAAAAAUCUUAAUAAAAAUAAAAUCCCUCCUAUAAAUCCCUCACCCAAAACACACUUUUAAAUACCUAUGCAAGUUGAGAAGCAAAUGAUGACAAAGACUAUUCACUAACAAAUGAUCCAUUAGAAUGACUGACCGGCAUUACGCCUGUGCGUAUAAAACAAAAAAUUUAUAAAAUAAUUUUUAUAGCACGGUUUUACUACAAGCAUGUAGGUCAGUUGUAAUAUUUGUAGUGUUACAAUGGAACACCAACGUAUUCCAAGGAUCGAACCCAAAGGAGUUGGUGACUUAGUGAUCUGCCACAAAUUAUUGACCGCCGCCGGACGUACUAACGUCUAGAGUGUGAAUAUUAUAGCAAAAGAUAUAUAUAUAAAUGAUAAGGUAUCUACAAGUAUACGGGUCGGGUUGUAAUAUAGCUACAACGAAAUAGGUAAGUAUUUUGAGGAUCGUACCCAAAGGAGGCUAGUACUAGCUCAAUUUCAACCUAAACACCAAAAGAUCUAAUUAGUACUUGAAAUAGGUUAUAUUAUGAAAAUAUAAGUAAUAGAGAUUUUUGGGGGUUUUUUAUAAUAAUGAAAAUAUGACAAGUAAUUAAGUAUCGAGAAAUUGAAAAGUGAAAUUAAUCAAAUCUGAUUAUGGGUGAUUAGCUCGCUUCGGUAAUCUUCAUCAACUGCUGCUUCAAGUUCCUCGUCAAUCAACUAGUUGAUAUCCUAGCAGGAUCUUUUGAUACAUCCGCUAGAAUAACAAGUUAGCAAGGACUACUUAUCUUCCGACCUCACAGUUCAUAUCGGUUUGGGGUGAAGGUGUUCACGGAUAGGCCAUACCAAUUUUAGGUUAAUUUCCACCUUGAUAACUUCCUAAGGUUAUCAAGCCUAGGUUUUUGGUUCUUCCUUUCCCAAAUAGCUGAUCCGUUGAGUAACCCUACAAAACAGUUAAUAGAUUAUAUCUCCACUCGUUAAUCCCCUAUAAAAAGAUUAGUUCCUCAUGGUUGUCGUAAACAAUAUAAAGUUAAUAUAAAGCAUAAACAUGAUAAUUGAAUCGAAAGUAUAAAGUUUAAGAAAAAGCCUGAUUUGUAUUACAAAGAAGAAUAAAUCUAAAAAGUUUAAUCUUAUCCACAAGCCAUAUUUCCCAAGGUAAAAAAAGAACAAGCUAAAAUAAAUCUAAAACCUAAAGAAAAGAGAAAUACUAAACUAAAAAUAAAAAAGUGAGAUUCUAAGCUAAGUAAUCAGUGUCUAUAACAUGUGCCAAAUGAGCCUAAUUAGAGAUUUGAGGUGAUCGUCGUCCUUAACCCUACGUUAAUUGACAUUCCUGAACUUUAAGUUGGAUUGUGCAGACCAAAAUGCCCCUUAGCUCGUAUUAAUUCUCGUCUAGAGUCGAUGUUGUGACACAUCAGGACUUGUAUCGAGACAUAAAAUUCAGUAUACUUUUCUUUAAGGUAUCUUCAGGGGUAUGUCACGACACCCUUAGGCUAUGUCGUGACAUCAAAGGCAGUCUCAGAAUUCUUCUACUCUGUUUUCUAUGCUGCGACAUCGAAUCCUUCGUGUUGCGACAUAGUGACCAAUAUCGGUUUAGCACGCCUUCUAAUCGUCUCCUGUAUACUCAUAAAGUUAACCUUUAGACCUCAUUCGGCCCCUAAGUUCAUUAAAAGACUCAAUUUUCACAUUUUAUUGAAUUUAAUUAAACUUACUAAAACAUAAUUAAAAUCUAAUGAUAAUACUUAUUUUCAAGCUCUUAAAGUGAAAAAAUUAGUUUAAUUGCUACACCUAAUUAUGACAGAUCAAUUAUAUUAUUACUUACAUCACUUUUUACACAUAAUUUUAGCUUUUUUAAUAGUAAAUCAAAUUAUCUUAGUAUAUAUUUGUGUUUUCAUACUUGAAGUAAUGAUGUAUGCUUUUUAGUAGUUUUUAUUACAUUUUAGAUAUAUAAAUAUGGUUACAUGUUUGUAACACCCCUUACCCGUAUCCGAUGCCGGGAUAGGGUUCGAGGCGUCUGGGCCACAAAAUUUUUUCCCAAAAUUAAAACAUCUCAAACACAUGCAUUUCGUCCCUUAUACAGGCUUUUGAAGCCUAUAACAUACAUCGGGGAGGUCCGGGACUAAACUGAGAACUUUGAAAUCUUUGGGCAACUUAACCAAUUUUCUUGCUUUGGAGAGUCACAUCCCCGUGUGGGUUGGGCCAUGUGGUCACACACGCCCAUGUGGCUUCGGACACGCUCGUGUCCUCAGCCCGUGUAACUCUCUGUUUAUGACAUCAACCAAACAAAUUGAUCCACAUGGUCAAGCCACACACCCGUGUGCUUGACUGUGUCCUCCACACAGCUGAGACACACGGUUGUGUCUCUGCCCGUGUGGUCAACACUUAGGCUAUUUUCUAAUCCUUAUGUUGUCCUUAAUUCUUUCUCAUCCUUUACACAGCAUGGACCUAAGUUAUUGCAACCAAUUAUAAUCACACGUCAUACAUUAACCCAUAGCAGGAAUAAUUAGGCCUACAAGCCAUAACCAUAAUAACCCACAUCUCAUGGCUAUAUACAAUCGAUCAAUAUAAACCGAUACAUUUGGCUAAUCAUAACAACGACUAAUAUAAAAACUAGUCCUUAUACAUGCCACUCACUUGAAAGUGUUUAAUACACGUAUGACAAUACUCCAGAGUCGAUAGCUUGCUAGUGUGAUGCUACCUCCGACAAUCUCCAACCCCGAGCUGACCUGACAAAACUAAAAGAAAUGGGAAAGGAGGGAGUAAGCUUUACGCUUAGUAAGCUCGCAUGAAAAUAAUAAGCAAUGUGAUAACAUGCUAUUUUUAUAUUCUUUCUAUUUAUUCAAAUUCCAGCUAAGCUGUUUUCUUGAGUCAUAGUCAUUAAAUUAUUUAUAUCCAGAGUUACAAGACUCCAAAUCAAGAUACAUUAAUUUUCUCAGAAACUAGACUCAUACUCUUCUUACCAUAAAAUUUUCAGAAUUUUUGGUCAAUCCAAUAAAUUCAUUUUAUUAAUCAAAUUCUCCCCUGUUUCACUGUUUGAUAGCUUCUACCUUUCUUUACUAAAAUUUAUUUAUCUCAUAGUACGAGACUCAGAUAAUGUUCUUGUAUCUUUUUCAUGAAAGCAUACUCACUAAGGAUUUUAUUCAUAUGACUCAUAACUCACAAUUAUUUUUGUAAAAUUUCUAGUGAUUUUCCAAAGUCAGAACAGGGGAUUCCGAACUCAUUCUGACUCUGUCUCACAAAAAUUCAUAUAUCUCGUAAUAAAAAAUUCUUUUUCUUACACCGUUUCCUUUAUCUGAAACUAGACUCAUUAAGCUUUAAUUUCAUAUAUUAAUCAGCCUCUAAUUCAACUUCCACCAUUUAUGGUGAUAUUUCAAAUUCGGGCUACUGCUGCUGUCAAAAACUAUCUUAGUACAACAUAAUGAUAAUCAUCCCAAGUUUGUCAUAGAAAUUAUUCUUAUAAUUAUCACUCAUUCAUUUGCACUCUUAUCACAAGUCCAUUUCAUUUCACAUGUCAAACACAUGCUCAUGGGUUUCGAGUAUGUUCCUGUGCUAUCUCUUAGCACAACCACUCAUCCAAACAGGACAAUCAUAUGCAUGAUACUAGUAUCAACUAAGCAUAAAUGAGUUUAUCAUGCUGUUUUUCUUUAUAUCACUAUGUAUGUCAUUACUGCUGAAUUAUUAAAUUUUUGAUAGACCUUUCCUUUUCCAGUUGUACACUCGAGGUGUACGUUUCUUUCUGAGUGGUACAUACAAAACAUACCUUUCCUUUUCAUAUGGUAUACACAAAGUAUACCUAACCUUUCCAAGUGUACACACAAAGUGUACAUAACCUUUUCAAGUGUACACAUAUAGUGUACCUUUCCUUUUCAAGUGGUAUACACAAAGUAUACCUUUCCUUUUCAUAUGGUAUACACAAAGUAUACCCUUCCUUUUCAAGUGUACACACAAGGUGUACAUAACCUUUUCAAAGUGUACCGUUUGGGUACAUAAGUCCUUUUCAAGUAUUAACCCUUUUGUGAUACAUUUCCUUUUCAUAAUGAGAUCAAAAGAUUACCCUUUAGGGACAAUCUUUAUUGCAACAUAUGUAAGAUAUUAUAUUCACGGUAAUCACCUGUCCAAUCAGAAAUCAAUAUUCAAACUAAUUCAUGCACCAUUUCAUCAUUUAUAUAAGUCAUAAAUCAAUAUUUGUUUAUUACAUGUACUUAUCAAUUACAAAUCAUGAUGCACAUAAUUCAACAAUCAAUUAAACACAUUUACAUGCUUAAUUUAGUUAUACGAACUUACUUGUCGAAAUCUCGUCAGAUACAACCGUGUAGCAAUUCAUAUAACCCAUGUAAUAGUAAUUUAACAUUCAAUUCAUGUAACAAUAAUUUGCCAUUCAAUUUCACAUGACACAACAAACAUUACAUUUUCCAUAUCAUAAACACCAUCCAUCAACUUCUCCUAAACAUUUUAAAUCAUACAAUUUAUACCAUAUCAAUAGAGAAUUACAAUUCAAGCAUGGUAUUACACUAUUAUUAAUACACAAACUUACCUCGGAUCCAGAAACGACAAUUUACCAUUUUAGUCCAUAACCUUGUAUUUUCUCGAUUUAAGCUCGAAUCUCGAUUUUCUUGAUCUAUAAUAUCACAUUUAGCCUAAUAAUUAGUCACAUUAUUCAUAUGGGUCCAAAAAUCAUAUUUUUACAAAUUUUCAUUUUGACCUCUAAACUUUCACAUAUUUUCACUUUUGCCCCAAUACUCGUAAAAUGAUUUUUAUUCAAUUUCCUUACAUUUUAAGCCUAGCUGAAUCAUUUUCAUAACUAUUCCAGCCCCCAAUUUCCACUAAAUCUCCCUUUUAUGAUCAAUUUUACAACUUUUACAAAACAGUCUUUUCGGACGUUUUCAUCGAAAACUGCUUAGUAAAAGUCGUUUAUUUAACACCCAACACUCAUUUUCUACCAUUAAACAUCAAAAUUCAUGCACGUCACAAAUGGUUAAAUUUUUAAACAUAAACCCUAGCUCAAAAUAAUGGUAGAAAUGAGUAGAUCAUGUUACCGAUAUUUCAAAAAUGUAAAAAUCAUUAAAAACGGGGCUAGAACGAACUUACAAAAAAGCUUGGAAGCUUGAAAAACCCUAGCCAUGGUUUCUCCAUGCAAUUUUCGGCCAAGUGGUUGAAGAUGGACAAAUUUUAGCUUUUAAUUUUGUUUUUAAUUCAUUUUAAUAACUAAAUGAUCAAAAUGCCUAACCAUGUCCAUUUUUGUCCACCAACUUAAACAAUAGUCUAAUUACCAUAUAAGGACCUCCAAUUUAAAAUUUCAUAACAAGUAGACACCUCUAGCAUGUAGAACUCAACUUUUGUACUUUUUACGAUUUAGUCCUUUUGACUAAAUUGAGUGCCCAAACGUUAAAAUUUUUGAACGAAAUCUUCACGAAAUCAUUUCGUGAAAUGUAGACCAUAAAAAUAUAAUAAAAAUGAAAUUUUCCUCAUCGGAUUUGUGGUCCCGAAACCACUGUUCCGACUAGGCCCAAAAUCGGGAUGUUACAAUGGUCUUGUAGGACAAAUCGAGAGCUAAAGAUGCAUAUUCAUGAUGGAACUGUUGCCUAUGUUGCGACACCAAGACAUCGGUGUCACAACAUUGAAGACAGAAGUAAAAACAUGUCAUGGAGCGAAACUGCUUGGUAUGUCGUGACAUAGCCUUACUAUCUUGGAGCGAAGACCCAAUAAACUGUAUAUAAAUUGAAACCUUGAAAUCUUCCCUAUCCUUGGUUCUUUAAUACAUUACAAAAUAAAUGUUAGGCCAUAGGUAUUGUGUAAUACCCCAUACCUGUACCUGAGACCAGGAUAGGAUACGAGGCAUUACCGAAAUUUUCAGAAUAAUUUCAAUUAAUUUAUAUUAUUUAGUAUUCAUUUUCAUGUUUCAUAUAACAUCCUUUUCAUAUAUUCAAUUAAAAAUAUCAUAUAAAAUACGAUACAAUACUUAAAUUUUUAUAUUUACAUGCUCAUUCAGGGUAUCCGAACCUACCUGACUAAAUUGCAGAAAUACCAAGAUUUAGGGGCAUAUUGGUAAUUUACCAUUUUCCCAAAUUUCACCCAAUAUUAAAUUGAUAAUUUCAUUCAAUUUAUUAAUUUAGAUAAUAAAAUAAUUUAUUCCCUUCAAUUUAGUCAUUUUUGACAUUUUUACAAAAUUGCCCCCUAAAAUUUUACUUUUAUUCAAUUUAGUCCAUGAGCUUAAAACAUUCAAAUUAGCCAUGCUAACUGAAUAUUCAUAUAUAUUUUUUCUCCUCCUCCUCUCCAUUCCACAUCCUUAAUGUAUAUAACAUUCUUGUAAGUACGAUUUCACAAUUUACUUAUUAAUGCUCACAUCAAUCUGUUCACACGAGUCAUCGUCACUCAAUUAUUUAUAAUUCGAGCUAAAGAGCUCAAAAUUAAGAUCCGUAAAUUUUCCCUAAAACUAGACUCACAUGUAAUUCCACCAUAAAAUUUUAAGAAUUUUUGGUUUAGCCAAUUAGUACAGUUUAUUCAUUUAAUUUUCCCCUGUUUCACUAUCCAACAGUUCUGACCUCUCUUCACUACAAAUUAAUUAUAUCAUAGUACAAAACUUAGAUAAUGUUUCCACUGAUUUCUAUUGAAAAUAGACUCAUUAAGGAUUCUAAGCAUAUAAAUUUGAGACUCUAAUUAAUUUUCUCCAAUUUUUGGUGAUUUUCCUAAGUCAAAACAGGGGAACCCGAAUUCAUUCUAACCUUGUCUCACAAAAUUCAUUAUAUCUCAUAAUUUACAAAUCCAUUGCUUACACCGUUUCUUCUAUGAAAAACUAGACUCAAUAAGCUUUAAUUUUAUAUUUUAUUCAUCUUAUAAUUCGAUUUCUAAAAUUUAUGGUGAUUUUUCAAAGUUAGUCUACUUCUGCUGUCCAAUAUUGUUUUAGUUCAAGAUGUUUAUUACCAUUUUUCCUCUAAAUUUCAAAGGUCAUAUAAUUCAGUCCUUGCUCAAUUAGCCCAUCUAUUAAGCUAAUUUUUCUCAAUUCACAUUUUAUUCCAUCAUUAUAAACUAUUACACAACAUUUGAAAAUCAUCAUUUUAACACUAAACCUUAAUUCACAACUUUUUCACAAUUAGGUCCUAAAAUCAAUUUCUAUUGAAAGGACUUGAUAAAAUCAUCAAACAACAAAAUCAAAGCUUCAAAUUCAUUUUAUUUCAUCAUAAACAGCCAAAACUUAUCAUUGAUAUCUUUUAAUUUUGUUCAUAAAAUAAAAAACUAAUGAAUUAAACACUUGGACCUAAUUGUAAAAGUCACAAAAACAUAAAAAUCUCAAAGAAAAGGGUAAGAAUUGAACUCACAUAUGUCAAAGUAUGAAAAACCAGCAGCUUUCAGACCUCCCAUGGCGUUUUUGCUGAAGAAAAAUGAUGAUAUCUCUAGAUUUUUCAAAUUUGUCUUGUUUUAUAUGUUUAAUUUGCAAAAUUUCCCAUUUUGCCCUUGUUUCUCCUUGUCUUUUUUGCUGAUUUUCUUGCCCAACCGUCCAGCCCAUACAAUUUGGGUCCAAUUGCCUUUUAAAUCCCUCCUUUUUAAGGACUUAAACUAUUUAAUCACAAUUUAAUAAAUUUCGUAUUGUUUUCAAUUUAGUCCUUUUUAAUUGAUUGACUAACCAAACGUUAAAAUUUUCUAACGAAACUUUAAUACUAACUUAAUAACACUCCAUAAAUAUUUAUAAAAAUAUUUAUGGCUCGGUUUAUAAAUCCGAGGUCUCGAUACCUCGUUUUCAACCAAAUUUACCUGAUUAAUUCUUUUAAAAUCGCAAAAUUCACUAAUUAAAAAUAAUUCUUUUAAGUUCGCGCUUGGGCUAUAAUUAUUAUUUGUUAAAAUUUCUAAACUUACUCGUCGGAUUUAGUGAUCUCGAAUCACUGUUUCCGACACUACUGAAAAAUUGGCUGUUACAUAUUGAGUGUUUAGCAGAUACAUCACGGUGGUUUCAAAAAAGUUUAGAGCGAAAAAGGAAGAAACAAUGUGAUACAAUGAUUAUAGGUCGAGCAAAAAUGUGUGAAAAAAGAAAAAUCUAGAAAAAGUAAAAAGUAAAAAUAAGAAGAAAAAGUACAAAAUAAAAUCAAAAGCAUUGUGAGUGAGAAAAAAAGUAAAAAGUCAAGUGACAAAAUAAAAAGUCACAAAAGUGAGAGAAAAACUCAGUCAUCAAUGCACAAAAACUCAUUCAGCCAACCAUAGUUGUUAGUAUUAUAUUGUCUCUUCCUAUAUGGAGAGAUAAGGAAGGUGAGAGAGGGAGAAAAAAGACGACAAGCUUGAAAGGGGCACCUAAGGGAAGAGAAGGAAUAAUGUCAUGUGCCUAACUAUUUCUAGUGUUUGAACUAUUUUGAGCCAUAUCUUUCUUUGAACUCGUACCGUCCUAAGCCUCAGAAUGUUACAAGCCUAAAAGACCAAUGUGACUUAAGCGUUCUCUGUGCAUAAUCUUCCGGUACUACUAACAAUUGUACUUAAUGAAAAUUUUUGAUUCACAUGAUUGUAUCUGCUACAUAUCUAUUUGAUUUCUGUUAAUGGUGAUAUUGUUAAACAUUUGAUUGUGAGAAUUGCUUCUAAUUUAUUAGUGAUGUAACUUUGUAAACUAAUCUUAAUUUACUUUAAAAAGUUUUCAAUACAUCAAACUAUCAAAAAUAAGUUGCAUGUGCGAUAAAAUUUUUUGUACCUUUACUAUUUGACAACCAUAUUCGUAGUAGUAAUAAAUUCUAAGGGACGUCUUCUUUUUGCAUGCUAUAUGUCUACACUUAGUUUGCUUGAGGACAAGCAAAAAGUUAAGUGUGGGGGAGUUUAAGUGUGAGAUUCUUAUUUACAUCCAUCUUCACUAACUUUACAUUUGUUUAAAUAAAGAAAUCAAGUUAUUUUCGUAUUUUUUUUCCUUUUUCCCAUAUAUGUGUUUUGGUUGCUUGAGGACAAGCAACAAGUUAAGUGUGGGGGGAGUGAUCUACCACGAAUUAUACUAUUAUUUACAUCCCUUUUUACACAUAAUUGUAGCUUGUUUAAUAGUAAAUCAAAUUAUCUCAGUAUCUAUGUUUUCAUACUUGAAGUAAUGACAUAUGCUUUUUAGUAGUUUUUAUUACAUCCUAGAUAUCUAAAUAAGGUUACAUGGUCUUGUAGGACAAAUCGGGAGCUAAAAAUGCAUAAGCAGGCCGAAAAUGUUGGUUAUGUCGUAACACCAAGACACCGAUGUCACAACAUCAGGGACAAAAGCAAAACAAGUCCUGGAGCAAAACUGCUUGUUAUGUCUUGACAUAGCAAGCACCAGAUUCGAUUUUGCAACAUUGCAUGCCUAUGUUGCAACACCACUUCUGCGCAGUCCAAAAGUCCUAGUACGUGACAGUUGUGUUUUUUAGGGAAAUUAGGAGUAUUUUUCCUAGUCAAACUCUAAGUACUUCAAGGAUAGUUUAGACACUUUAAUAUUCCAAGUUUAACCUAUAUAAAGGCCAUUGUAAUAAGUUCAAACACACAAUUUUAAGGAGACAAAAAUUAUUCUUACUUUUUUAUUUUGUUCUUAGUUUCUACUUAGUUUAUUUUAUGUUCUUGUAAUCGAAAGAUCCUAUUCCAAAGUAAGACUUUAGUGAGAGGAGAUUGUUCGGAGUCAUGCUUUCAUCGAUAAAUCCAUGAGCAUAUCUUUUCUUUAUUUUAUUCUCUAUAUUUUUUUCUUUAUCAUUGUUAAUUGAAUGUUUGUGUAAAGAUUAGAAUCAAUUUAUAAUUUAUAUAUAUUUUGCAUGUUUCAAUUUUACUAAUCUUAUUACUUGAUUGAUUGGUAGAGUUCAUUUGGAUUGGUUAGAUCUGGUUGAGUGUUAUUAAACCCUAGGGUUUACGAUCCUAGGAAGUCAUCUAGGUAGGAAUUAACUUGAAAUUGGUAUUUCUUACAAAUCAUUACUUAGCAGAUCAGUGGUUAGGGAAGGAAGAACUUAAACCCUAUGAUAGACAACACUAGGAAGUCAUAUAGUUAUGAAUUAACCCAAAUUUGGUAUUGCCUAUCCAUGAAAACCUUAUCCUACCCCAUUCUAAACUAUAUCAUUGAGAGGUGAGUAGUUCUUGUCGUCUAGUUAGGUUAGUAGAAGUUGAGAAGCCCUGCUAGGUUAAUUAGUAACCAACUAUUUAAAUCCCUACAUUAAUAAUUAAUUAGGUAAAACAAUUGAAUCUAGGCUUAAGAAACUCCCGUAGUCGAAACAAGGGAUAGGAGAAGUUGAUACAUGAACUUAGGAAUAGAUUUAAGUUUAGUUCAAUUUAUUUGGUUAUUAUUAUUAUCAUCUUACUUUCAGAUUAACACUACUAAUCUGAAACUUUAGUAGAUUAGUAGUGAUUUUCGGUAAUUUGCCUAAAAGUAGUUUUUUUUCCAAACUGCAAUCCCUAGGGUAUAAUCCUCGGAAUACUUACCCAGUGUUUCAUUGUAAACAAACUAUAUUACAACCUGACCCAUAUACUUGUAGACACCACCUCAAUUCCAUAUAUUUUGUAACAGUAUUCAUACUUUCGAUGUUGGUAUGUCGAGAGGUGGUCAUUUAGCAAUUUCUAUUCAAAAGUGCAUGUAAGAAAGGAGUCUAGCUAGCUACUCACUAAUUGCUAUAGUACGACAAACCAUUAAUGAAGUUAAUUAAAGCUAAUUACUUAUCUAAGACAAAAAAGGACUAAAUUGUAAAUAACGCAAAACAAAAAAACUACUAAUUAAGAUAAUAGACAAUGGAUGGUUGAUUUCCAUGUUAAUUAACCCUCGAAUUAGGGAUCUAUAUUGCUCACAUUCCUAAGUUGGCUCAAUUUUAUCUUCCGAUCUCAAUUUUACCGACUUAGAUGAAUUAGUUCAGAUUUCACCGAUUAAUCCGGGACUAAUGGACAGGUGUACAACAAGAUUAUUUUAUCUUCCGAUCUCAAUUUUACCGACUUAGACGAAUUAGUUCAGAUUUCACCGAUUAAUCCGGGACUAAUGGACAGGUGUACAACAAGAUUACCUUCCGGUCUCACUUGCCUAAAUAUUCCCUUAUGGGCGUCACUUCCUAAGUUUUUAGAUUUAUUCGAUUUAUUCUCAUUUUGUAAUUUAGUCCCCGAACUCAAAAACUAACCUAGCAACAUUUUCAUCAAACACCUAGUGUUUAGUUACCCAUUACCAUAUUAAAGCUAACAAACAUGAAAGAAACAACUAUGGAACCUGUUAACAUAAACUUGAACAAAAAGAUAAAAGCUUUGAUUUUUAACUUUAUAAAUUUAAAUGAAAAGCAACUAACACAAAGAUAAAGAAACAAGAACACUAAAGAUAAUAGCUUUAACAGAUUAAAAGAAAGAAAACUCAUAUAGCAUUAACUCGAAGAUUAAAAAGUGAUUACAACUAAGUUGAAAGUAUUUAACAUGUAAAUAAAAAUAAGCUAUAGGAAAAACUAACUUAACUAACAACUAUGAAAAUAAGUAAAACCAGAAAGAAACAUAAACUAAAACCCUGAAACUAUAGAGAAGAAAACUACCCUACUCCUAAGUUAGAAGAUGAAAGAAACCCUAAAACUAAAGAGCUUUCUAACCUAAAACUACAACCUUUUUUUUUCUUAGCCAAGAGUGGCUUUUAAUAGUUGAUUCCUGACCCCAAAAAUGUUGCCCAAAUUUACACAUCAAUUUGUGGUAGAUUAAUGGCAAAGGGUCUAUACACCACAAUUUGGUCUAUCUUUGUUUCUCCUAUGUCUAUCAAGCUUUUCACUUCCAUUCAAGUCACUCCCAACCUUACCAUGUGAAGCACUAUUUGUAUCCUUCAACUUUGAUUUGCAUGUGAAUGCCAAGAAGGUCGUUUGUCUUCUAAAUUUGAGGUCUAAAUUUGUUUCUUUGACUGGACCCAAGAAGAUUGACUUUAACAAGCAUCAUUACUUAAAAGUACACCUAUUGUAACACCCCCUAACCCUGUCUCGUUACCGAAAUAGGAUUAUAGAGCAUUACCGAUCAUUACAAUACGUUUGCACAUAAAAAACAAAUAAAUGCAAUACUAUAUAUCUAAUCAUAGCUUUAAUGGACACACAGUACUUAUUAAGUAUAAAUAAAACAAAUCGAGGCUCGAUUGGGAGCUUAGAACAUUUUUCGUGCAAUUUUAAAUUUUCUUCUUUUGAACAGUACCACACGCCCAUGUGGCUAAUAUAACACGCCCGUGUGGCUUGGUACAUGUCAUUAUCAAUAAUUAACAUGUGUUACAAAUGUAUGUACAAUAUUUAUUACACAUGUAUUUUAUUUUUACCAUACACUUGUCUUUCUUUUAUUUAUUUAAUAAUAAUUAAUAUUAUUAAUUUAAAACCUUAAACAUAUAAAAAUCCAAUAAAAAUCUUAGAUUUUAUCUAAGCUUGUCGUCUUAUCUAUAGUAAAUUGGCUUAAUUAUCAUUUUGAUCCUUUUUAUUUUCUUUUAAUCUACAAUUAAACCUUCACACUUCAUUCAAUUUAAUCAUUUUUCCUAAUUAUCCUUAAUUUAAGCUAUUUCACUUCAUUAAACUUUAAUUAACCACUCAAUUAACUUCAUAAAUAUUUUUAAUAAAUAUUUACGAGUCCAUUUUUCAGAAAUGGAGACCUAAAAAUACACUUUUCCGAUAACCGUAAAGUUCGGGUCAUUACAAUUCUCCCCCUUAAUAAAUUUCAUCCUCGAAAUUUGCCUAAAAAGAGGUGGGGGUUCAGUGAUCUCACUGUUUCUUUCGGUUCUCGUAUUGCUUCCUCAAUAUUAUGACUUCACUUUUCAAGCUAAUAUCUCAAUCAGUUCUUCUUUUCCAUACAAUAUAUCAGUUCAAAUUUCAAUAUCAUUUGUCGAGAUAACAUGUAAGAGAUUUGAUCUAUAACUUCCGAGCAUCCAAACAUGAAAAACAUCAUAACUUUUCUGUAAUUUCAAAGGCAAAACCAAGCAAUAUAUCACUGGUCUAACUUUUUCUAUAAUUUCACAUAGCCAAACAGAACAAGAACUCAAUUUCCCAACGUUUUAAGUCUUCAUACGAUUUCUGUUUGUCAAAAACUGCUUUCAGUCUAUCUCAAAUCAAUUUUAUUUUCUUCAGUUUCCCGAAUCAAAAUAACUCUAUCUAUUCCUUUUCUUGCUGCAUCCAGUCAAAUACUAUGAAGUUUUACAUUCACAAUCAUACAGAGCUUCAUACAGUGCUGAAAACUAUUAUCGCGUACCCAAAACUUCUUAUAUUUGUUCUAGAAUCAGAAUGUAAACUAUUUAUCUCAAUCAGAAAUAAUAGAAACUGACAUACCAUGAAUCUGACAAUCUCAGAAACCCAUAUUUCAGAUUAUACUAAGUAAGAAACUUAUUCAUACCAGAAUAAAAUAUGCAAACUUCUCCAUACCUUCGACGAUUAUUCAAAUAUCAUCUUUCUUUUUCGACGAUAAGGAUAAUUUCAUUUCAAACCCAUAGAAAUACUAUCCCAUUUCCAUUUUGAUAUCAUCACUGGCUGUAACAGUCCUGAAGGUAUCAAUAUCUGAUGUUCACUUUGUAAGAGUAUGCCCAAAGAUCAAUCAUGAGAUGGUUGUAAUAACAUACUUGAUUUACCAUGUUUAUUAAUAUAAGGCGUUGCCAUUAUUAUUUCAGUUUCUUUUCUGUGUGUAUAAAUAAACUGUUUUAUAAUAAUGUCCUGAGAAUAAUAUGAUUAUUCUUAAAAGGUCAUUAGUCAAGUAUUAUUGUUGACUAGGACAACAAUAAUGCAUUAAAAAUAACAUGUAGUUGAUUGAUGAUAAAGAGUUGUUAUGGAGUGUCAGAAUCAAUGCAUGAAUAUGUGUGUUAGAGAACAACAUAUUGGACUGACCCGCUAUAAGUAUGGUUCUUAGAUUAUUAUGUAAUUGUCACAACAUUACUCAUAGUGAUUAAUAUGUAUAUGAUCCUCAGACUUGAGAUAAUCAUUAUCCCAACAUCGUGAGAUGUAUAUUCUGAUAUAGUCAAAUGUACACCGUAACUGGUUAUUUUAUAAAGGCUGAUGUUGGAUAUACCACAAUCUAUGUAGAGGGAUAUGGUUGAUCAAUAUAGGAUAAGUCUCUCUUACAUAAUGGGAGUAAUAUCUUAGGCUACUUGAUUGAGUGAGACUAGAAAUGCAUGGCCAUGCUCAAAUAAGUUGAUAUGAGAUGUCAUACUUAUUUGUGUAUCAUAGUCUACUCAAGGUAUCAAGAAACAUGGGAUGGACUAUGCAAAUGUGACUAUUCCAUGACUUGUGUCCAUUCCAGAGAUAAAGGACUUAAGGAUUAAUUUAUGAAAGGUUAAUCACAAUAGGUUAUGUCGAAUCAUGACUUCUUGUAACUUAGGUAGCAAUGAUGCAUUGCUAGAUGCCACUCAUUGUUUGUAACAUUAGAAUCGUUCUAGUAUUACUGCUAACGUUACAAGAACCUAUAGGGUCACACCCUAUGGUUGAAAUGAACGGAAUAAAACAUAGUUGGUAUUGUGUUUGGUUGUCACAUGAAUUAAAUUAAUUAUAGAAUUAAUUUAAUUAGGCAAUCAAAUAUCGAACAUAUUAUAUGUACAAGGAUGUUGUACACAUAAGGAGAACAUAAUUCUAUUAAUAUAUGAAUUUGGUUCGUAUAUAAAUUUAAAUAAAUAUAGUUUACCAAAAUCUUUAUUAUAAGUAAUGUAUAAUUUUCGGUUAAAACAUUAUUAUAUUUAUUUAUUUUAAUUAUGAUUAUUAUGUUCGGAUUAAAAUUUAAUAAAUUAAGAAUUUGUUAUAUACAUACCAAUUAUAAGGGGAGUUAUAUAUUGAAAGGGAGAAAAACCCUAAAAAGUGAAUAUAUAUACAAACCCGAAGCUUUGCUACUAGGUCUAGCAGCCGUCAAGCAAAAUAUCUCUGAAAAUAGUUUUGGGGAUUUCUUCCAUUCAUUAUCAAUUGGGUGGAUUACGUAAAGGCCGGGAUCAUAAAGAUUGCGGUUUGGAUUCAAAAGCAAAAUAGUAUUCUCAUUGCUGAGGCUUUACUGUCUACUCAGAUUGAAAUUUUUGUAAUUUCGAAACCUUUUUCACCCCGAUUCGUUCCUCGCACAUGGAUCCAUGGUUUGGAUAGUCGGAAUAUUUUUUUCACUGUGCCAUGGGGGUACGGGUAUUCCAAUAGUGGUAUCAGAGCCACUUGUGUGAUACGGACUCGGGUUUAAAUACUUGGGUGAUACAAUUGUAUGAGAUGCAUGCUUUAUUUUUAUUACGAUUUUUGACUAUUUAUAUCGUCUAAGCAUAAACUGAUUACCGUUCCUUUCGAUAAUUGAUUAAAUGUUAAUCAUGGUGUUAUGGCCUAUUCAGUUUCAUGUUAUUACUGUUAACUUUAAAAAUCUGUAAUGAUGCGACGGUGGUAUUUAUAGUUUCCAGUAAGAGUUAACUGGCUAGUGGAACAAGGGUUGUUCCGAUAUGAAACCUCAAGGAUUCAAAUCCUGAAAACACGAUUCUGUUGAUAAAAGUUAUCAAAUCGUGAGCUUUCAUUUGACUGGGGUAUGCGGUUCCCAUCAUCUUUCAGUAUGUUUUGUAAUAAAUAAAACCUGAUGGGCCAUAAAAGGUUGAAAGGAUAUUUUAUAAUUCAUUUAGCAAAACGUUGAAUGAUGUAUGCUAUUUUUGAAAUGCACGGUGUUUGAAAUGCAUAGUUAUAGCCCGAUGACCCAUUUGAUAAAAUGUUGUAAUUUUAUAAAUACAACCUGCGUGUUGUGCCUUACUACUAUUCUCUUCUAUUUCUCUUCUCACCUUACUCCCUCGUAUGUAAAACGAGUUUCUGAAUAUUGUAAUUUGCAAAAGCUGCUAUGGACUAGACGAGAAGGAAGAUGAGCCAACUAAUGUGGACUGACAGCUUGUGAAACGGCUUACACCUUUAGGUUUCCUUUUGGUUCUCCCAUUGGCUUGGGUUGAACCACCAUAGUUUAUGGGCUAUAAUGCAUUUAUUUAUUGCUUUAUCUAUUCAUGUAUGAGAUGCUAUAGAUGUCCAAAGCAUACAAAUUUGGUAAUAAUAAACCCUAUUAAUUGAUGAGAUCAAUUAAAAUAUUAAAUGGACUGAAGUAGACCAUAAUUGGUGAGAUACAACAACUUUAAUAAAAUCCCUCUAUUUAAAUAUUAAGUCAACAUGGCCUUCCAAAUUUUUCCCUCAUUAAGGCCUCGAUCAAUACUAUGUAGGUUCUGCCAAAGUGAAGUAGUAGUAUUUAUCUUGGUUAAACGCGAAGAAUAAACAAGUGAUAUUCGCUAUUUAAAAAUUGGUUAAUGACUUAACUAGGUUACUCUAAUAGGAUUAGAAACCUAGAAGCAAGUAAUUUGGAUAAAUCAUAAGAUGAUUAGAACAAGAGUUGUUCAUCAAAUUGUAGGAGUUACAUAUGAUGUAAUUAGCAAGUGUUGCUUACCUAAAUAACCAUAAUCUUGAGAGUAAAGCCAAAGCUGACUUAAGAGGAGGUGAAAUAUGGAUCCUUAACCCACUAGAAAUACUUUCAAGAAAGUCUUUCUGAAAUUAAUAUAUGAGGGUUAUUAAUUUUGAAAUAAAAUAGUAGGAACAUCAUAUAAUAAAGUCCUUUUAAUGAUUGAUAUAAACUUGGUAAAUUUAUUCACACGCAUAUUUUAUUGUUGUAGAUAUAUUAUGGCUGCAAACACUAAUACACUCUCAUUGCGAUCGAUUCUUAAGAAGGACAAAUUGAAUGGUUUGAACUUUCUUGACUAGUACCGUAACUUGAGGAUUGUCCUCAAACAAGAACGGAAAUUAUAUGUCAUUGAACAACCACUUCCUAAUGAACCACCCGCUAAUGCCUCGAGGGCUGAUAGAGAUGCUUACAAGAAACAUCUCGAUGACAUGGUAGAUGUUGGAUGUAUUAUGCUUGCUACUAUGAAUCCUGAGCUUCGGAAGCAACAUGAGGACAUAGUUGCUUAUGAUAUGAUCGAGCACCUGAAAGAACUUUAUCAGGGGCAAGCACGGCAAGAGAGGUUCGAUAUCUCUAAGGCCCUUUUCCAAUGUAAGCUGGAUGAAGGAAGCCCAGUAAGACCUCAUGUCCUUAAGAUGAUUGGUUAUAUUGAAAGCCUAUCUAAGCUUGGGUUUCCAUUGAGCCAAAAGUUGGCAACUGAUGUUAUUCUGCAAUCGUUGCUGGAUAGCUACAGCUAGUUUGUCCUCAAUUUCAAUAUGAAUAAAAUUGACAAGACUCUGCCACAGCUGCUCAGUAAGUUGUGAACUGCUGAAGGCAACAUGAAAAAGGUUGGACCCAAGCCCAUACUGAUGGUCCGUAACAACAAGGGCAAGGGAAAGGCCAAAGUUCAGGCAAAGCCCAAGGGCAAAGGUAGGCCCAAUCCUGGAAAAGGAAAGGUUGCACUGAAACCUAAAGGUGGGGUGUCUAAGGAAGGAAACUAUUUUCAUUGUGGUGUGACUGGACAUUGGAAGCGGAACUGCCCUCUCUAUCUUGAGGAAAUCAAGAAGGCCAAGGCAAGCGGAACGUCUGCUUUAGGUAUUUAUGUUAUUGAUAUUAAUUUAUCAAUUACUACUUUUUGGGUAUUAGAUACUGGUUGUGGUUCUCAUAUUUGUACUUCUGUACAAGGACUACAAAGGAAUAGGACUUUGGCUAGAGGAGAUAUGGACCUGGGAGUUGGAAAUGGAGCAAGAGUUGCUGCAAUAGCUGUGGGAACAUAUACUUUAUCUUUUCCUAGUGGACUUGAUUUAUGUUUAGAGGAUUGUUAUUUUGUGCCCAUUUUAACUAAAAACAUUAUUUCAAUUUCUCGUUUAGACAAAAUUGGUUUUGAGAUAAUUAUUAAUAAUAAUUGUUGUUCAUUUUAUCUCAAUAAUGUUUUCUAUUGUUCGGCACAAUUGAUUAAUGACCUCUAUAUUUUAGAUCAAAUAAAUCUCAUUUACAACAUAAAUACUAAAAGAUCUAAAAUAAAUGACUCAAAUCAAACUUAUCUUUGGCAUUGUCGUUUGGGCCACAUAAGUAAGAAACGCAUAUUCAAACUCCAUAAAGAUGGUCUCUAGGAUGCAUUUGUUUUUGAACAAUUUGAAGUAUGUGAAUCUUGCUUAUUGGGAAAAAUGACUAAAUCUCCUUUUACUGGUAAAAGUGAACGAGCUAGUGAUUUAUUAGGCUUAAUACAUUCUGAUGUAUGUGGACCAAUAAAUACACUGGCCAGAGGUGGAUUUCAUUACUUUAUUACUUUCACUGAUGAUUUUAGUAGAUAUGGGCAUGUUUAUCUCAUGCGCCAUAAGUCUGAGGCCCUUGAAAAGUUCAAGGAAUUCAAAAAUGAAGUACAAAAUCAACUAGGCAAAACUAUCAAGGCACUUCGAUCUGAUCGAGGUGGAGAGUAUUUGAGCUUAGAGUUUGAUGAUCUUUUGAAGGAAUGUGGGAUUGUCUCACAACUUAAUCCUCCUGGUACUCCUCAAUGGAAUGGAGUUUCUGAAAGAAGAAAUCGAACUCUGUUAGACAUGGUUCGAUCCAUGAUAAGUCAUGCUGAUCUACCGACUUCCUUUUGGGGACAUGUACUUGAAAAAGCUACUUUCACACUAAAUCGUAUUCCAUCUAAAUCAAUUCAAAAGACGCCAAAUGAGAUGUGGACUGGGAAACGUCCCAAUAUGUCUUUUAUGAAAAUUUGGGGUUGCUAAGCUUAUCUUAAAUGUUAGACGUCUACUAAGCUUGAACCCAAAUCUGAAAGGUGUAUUUUUGUGGGGUAUCCGAAAGAAACCAAAGGAUAUUAUUUCUUUAAUCCCACUGAGAACAAGAUGUUUGUUGCUCGGACUGGUGUCUUCUUAGAGAGAGAAUUUGUUUCUAGAAAAGGAAGUAGGAGAAAGAUUAAACUUGAAAAAAUUCGAGAAUCACAAGAUACCACUGAACUAGAGAUAGAACAACAGUAAAUUCCACAAGAAAUUGAGGAACAAGUAACUGCUGUAGAAACACAAUCACCGCCGCAGAUCUUUAAGAGAACGCCAUACACCUGAGAGAUAUGGAUUUCUCAUUACAACACAUGGUGACGUUCUUCUUAUCGAUCAAUAUGAGCCUAGAACUUAUCAAGAAGCGGUGACGAGCCCAGACUCUGAGAAAUGGCUUGAAGCCAUGAGAUCUGAGAUGGAAUCCAUGUAUGAAAACCAAGUAUGGAGUACGAUUGACCCACUCGAAGGGGUUAAACCCAUAAGGUGCAAAUGGGUUUUCAAAAAAAAACCGACAUGGAUGGUAAUGUACAAACAUACAAGGGGCGAUUAGUCGCUAAAGGUUUUCGCCAAAUUCAUGGUGUUGACUAUGAUGAAACCUUUUCUCCUGUAGCUAUGUUUAAAUCCAUCAGGAUCUUGCUCGCCAUAGCUGCAUUUCAUCAUUAUAAAAUCUAGCAGAUGGACGUCAAAACAGCUUUCCUUAACGGGAAACUUGAAGAGGAUGUGUACAUGACACAGCCUGAAGGUUUUAUCAAUCCAAAGGAUGCUAAAAAGAUAUGUAAGCUACAAAGAUCCAUUUAUGGAUUAAAGUAAGCUUCUCGAAUUUGGAAUCUUCGUUUUAACGAUGCAAUCAAAGAGUUUGGUUUUAUCAAAAAUGAAAAUGAGCCAUGUAUUUACAAGAAAGUUAGUGGGAGCACUAUCACAUUCUUGGUACUAUAUGUGGAUGACAUACUUAUCAUGGGAAAUGACAUACCUACCUUGCAGUCUAUUAAGACUUGGUUAGGAAGUUGUUUUUCUAUGAAGGACUUGGGCAAAACCACUUACAUAUUAGGAUUCAAGAUCUAUAGAGAUAGAUCAAGACGAUUACUAGGUCUAAGCCAAAGUACAUACAUAGAUAAAGUAUAGAAAAGGUUCAACAUUGAAGAAUCUAAGAGAGGAUUCCUACCUAUGAGGCAUGGUAUUUCACUCUCGAAGGAAAUGUGUCCUUCAACUCUACAAGAGAGAGAACGCAUGAGUAAAAUUCCAUAUGCUUCUGCUAUUGGAUCUAUCAUGUAUGCCAUGUUAUGUGCCCGUCCAGAUGUCUCAUAUACCUUAAGUAUGACGAGCAGGUACCAAGUAGAUCCCGGUGAAGGUCACUGGACCACAGUCAAGAAUAUUCUUAAGUACUUGAGAAGAACAAAGGAUACAUUCCUAAUAUAUGGAGGUGAGGAAGAGUUAAGUGUAAAAGGUUACACCGAUGCCAGCUUCCAAAUCGACAAGGAUAAUUCUCGAUCUCAAUCAGGUUUUGUGUUUUGCCUUAAUGGUGGUGCAGUGAGCUGGAAGAGUUCAUAGUAAAGUAUAGAAGCCGAUUCUACAACAGAGGCCGAGUAUAUUGCAGCCAGUGAGGCAACAAAAGAAGCAGUUUAGAUCAAGAAUUUCAUCACUGGACUAGUGAUUGUGCCUAGCAUAUCAGAUGCUAUAGAACUCCGAUGUGAUAACAAUGGAGCCAUUGCACAAGCUAAAGAACCCAGAUCUCACUAGCGAUCCAAACAUAUACUUAUGCGCUACCAUAUUAUUUGAGAGAUUAUCGAUCGAGGGGAUAUAGAGAUAUGUAGAGUAACUACAAAUGACAACAUUAUUGAUCCCUUUACCAAGCCUCUAACACAGCAGAAGCAUGAUCGUCACACUAAGUCACUUGGUAUUAGAUAUAUGAGUGAUUGGUCUUAGUGCUAGUGGGAGAUUGUAAGAGUAUGGCCAAAGAUCAAUCAUGAGAUGGUUGUAAUAACAUACUUGAUUUACCAUGUUUAUUAAUAUAAGGUGUUGCCAUUAUUAUUUCAGUUUCUUUUAUGUAUGUAUAAAUAAACUGUUUUAUAAUAAUGUCCUGAGAAUAAUAUGAUUAUUCUUAAAAGGUCCUUAGUCAAGUAUUAUUGUUGACUAGGACAACAAUAAUGCAUUAAGACUAACAUGUAGUUGAUUGAUGAUAAAGAGUUGUCAUUGAUAUGGAGUGUUAGAAUCAAUGCAUGAAUAUGUGUGUUAAAGAACAACAUAUUAGACUAACCCGCUAUGAGUAUGUUUCUUGGAUUAUUAUGUAAUUGUCACAACAUUACUCAUAGUGAUUAAUAUGUAUAUGAUCCUCAGACUUGAGAUAAUCAUUAUCCCAACAUCGUGAGCUGUAUAUUUUGAUAUAGUCAAACGUACACUAUAACUGGUUGUUUUAUAAAGGCUGAUUUUGGAUAUACCACAAUCUAUGUAGAGGAAUUUGGUUGAUCAAUAUAGGAUAAGUCCCUCUUACAUAAUGGGAGUAAUAUCUUAGGCCACUUGAUUGAGUGAGACUAGAAAUGCAUGGCCAUGCUCAAAUAAGUUCAUAUGAAAUGUCAUACUUAUUUGUGUAUCAUAGUCUACUCAAGGUAUCAAGAAACAUGGGAUGGAUUAUGCAAGUGUGACUAUUCCAUGACUUGUGUCCAUUCCAGAGAUAAAGGACUUAAGGAUUAAUGCAUGAAAGGUUAAUCACAAAAGGUUAUGUCGAAUCAUGACUUCUUGUAACUUAGGUAGCAAUGAUGCAUUGCUAGAUGCCACUCAUUAUUUGUAACAUUAGAAUCGUUCUAGUAUUACUGCUAACGUUACAAGAACCUAUAGGGUCACACCCUAUGGUUGAAAUGAACGGAAUAAAACAUAGUUGGUAUUGUGUUUGGUUGUCACAUGAAUUAAAUUAAUUAUAGAAUUAAUUUAAUUAGGCAAUCAAAUAUCGAACAUAUUAUAUGUACAAGGAUGUUGUACACAUAAGGAGAACAUAAUUCUAUUAAUAUAUGAAUUUGGUUCAUAUAUAAAUUUAAAUAAAUAUAGUUUACCAAAAUCUUUAUUAUAAUUAUGUAAUAAUAAUUUUCGGUUAAAAUAUUAUUAUAUUUAUUUAUUUUAAUUAUGAUUAUUAUGUUCAGAUUAAAAUUUAACAAAUUAAGAAUUUGUUAUAUACAUACCAAUUAUAAAAGGAGUUAUAUAUUGAAAGGGAUAAAAACCCUAAAAAGUGAAUAUAUAUACAAACCCGAAGCUUUGUUACUAGGUCUAGCAGCCGUCAAGCAAAAUAUCUCUGGAAAUAGUUUUGGGGAUUUCUUUCGUUCAUUGUCAACUGGGUGGAUUAUGUAGAGGUCGAGAUCAUAAAGAUUGUGGCUUGGAUUCAAAAGCAAAAUAGUAUUCUCAUUUCCGAGGCUUCACUGUCUACUCAGAUUGAAAUUUUGGUAAUUUUGAAACCUUUUUCACCCCGAUUCGUUCCUCGCACAUGGAUCCAUGGUUUGGAUCGCUGGAAUAUAUAUAUAUAUUCCACUAUGCCAUGGGGGUACUGGCGUUCCAACAUAGUUUUCAUCUAAUUUACGAGAUUAUUCAUCUCCAGUAUACGUUUCAUAAUCAAUACCAUCGAUAUGUUCAUCUAACAUUUUCAACUAUAAAACAGAACCAAGCAAUUAUAUCAGCAUCCGAUCCCGACUCAAGUUUAACAUAGAAAUGGCAUGUACUUUUAGAAUCUUUUCUAAACUCUAUUUAGUCCUAGAAUCGACUAAACCUAAGUAGCUCUGAUACCACUAAAUGUAACUUCCCCUAACCCCGUCCCGUUCCCAGAACAAUAUUAUAGAGCAUUACCGAUCAUUACAAUACGUUUGCAUAUAAAAAUAAAUAAAUGCAAUACUAUAUAUCUAAUCAUAGCUUUAAUGGACCCACAGUACUUAUUAAGUAUAAAUAAAACAAAUCGAGGCUCGAUUGGGAGCUUAGAACAUUUUUCGUGCAAUUUUAAAUUUUCUUCUUUUGAACAGUACCACACACCUGUGUGGCUAAUAUAACACGCCUGUGUGGCUUAGGACACGUCCGUGCCCUUAGCCCGUGUGCAACAUUGAAUUUAAAACACGGCCUUGACACACGCCCGUGUGUCAGGCUGUGUGGACUCAAUAAUGAGCCUUUCACACUUUACUAGCCAACCCUGCAAAAUUUCAAUCUACAACCAAUACAAAUAUUUUAUAUAUAUAUACUAUCCAAUUUUAGCAAUAAAACAUACAUCCAAUUUGCCCUCAGUGGUACCACAAUUUAUAUCAAUUAAACAUUAUCAUACAAACCUAAUUAAUUUUCUUAGGUUUAGUUACCAAAAUUUACAUGUUUCAUACAUAAUUCAACAUCGUUAUAUCUUUCAUUACCAUUUACAAACAUUAACUUAAUGAUCUAGGUACAUGCCAUUAUCAACAAUUAACAUGUGUUACUAAUGUAUGUACAAUAUUUAUUACACAUGUAUUUUAUUUUUACCAUACACUUGUCUUUCUUUUAUUUAUUUAAUAAUAGUUAAUAUAAUUAAUUUAAAACCUUAAACAUAUUAGAAUCCAAUAAAAAUCUUAGAUUUUAUCUAAGUUUGUCGCCUCAUCUAUAGUAUAUUGGCUUAAUUUCCAUUUUGAUCCUUUUUAUUUUCUUUUAAUCUACAAUUAAAUUUUCACACUUCAUUCAAUUUAAUCCUAUUUCCUAAUUAUCCUUAAUUUAAGCUAAUUCACUUCAUUAAACUUUAAUUGACCACUCACUUAACCUCAUAAAUAUUUUUAAUAAAUAUUUACGAGUCCAUUUUUCAGAAAUAGAGACCCGAAAAUAUACUUCUCCGAUAACCAUAAAGUUCGGGUCAUUACACCUAUGAUAAUUUUUCCUUUAGACCCAAAAUUUUAGUUAAUAAAAGUUGAACCAAGUAUUUUGUAAUUGGUGAUGUCAUAUCCUGUUAAUGUAGCAUGCUUCCACCCACCUAUAGAAAGAACUAUAAUCUAUUGUAAGAUGGCCAUUCAUGCAACAACUCGCAUGUCUGAUGAACAGGCUAAAUGCUAGAAUUGUGCACUUCCAGUUGGUGGAUUAUCAAGCAAAAAGACUUUGGCAAAAAAUGUGGCGAACAGUCCAAGUGUAAGGCAUAAUGGCGGACAAUCUAACCACCAACUGCCUUGAAGCUUUUGUUACAAGCUAACAAGUUUUCAACUUGUUCUAUAAAGUUGCAAGAUUAUUUUAUUUAUCUUUAUUUUGAUAGGUUAAUGUAAACAGUGUUGAUUAAACAAAAAUCAACUAAUGAGUAGGUACCAUGUAUUUAGACUUACCAACUUGUCAAGUUGUAGUUAAUACUUUUCUAUUUAAAGCUAUAUAUUUGAUUGCUAAUCUUUGCUUUGUUUUCUUUUUCCUUUGUAUCAAAAACCAACAAUUGGUACCUAGAGCCAGUCAUUUUUUAGGGCAUUUGAUUUAUCAAAAACCUAUGUUUCUUUGUUGUUUUGUAAAAAUGUCUUCAACUAGUUUUAUACCUCAUGCACCACUAGUUUUUAAUGGUGAAAACUACCAUAUUUUGGUAGUCAAGAUGAAGACCUACUUAAAAUUUUUUAACUUAUGGGAGGUUGUGAGUGCAGAUGUAGAGCCACCAUCAUUAAGAGCCAAUUCGACUUUAACAUAGAUUAGGCAGCAUAAUGAUGAUCAUGCUAAGAAAUUCAAGGUAAUUUCGUGUCUUCAUAAUGGUGUUUCUGAUGUGAUUUUCACGAAAAUUAUGGCCUAUGAGACUCCAAAACAAGCUUGGGAUAAGUUGAAGGAAGAGUUUUAAGGUACAGACAAAACAAGACAGCAACAAAUUAUCAACUUGAGGAUAGAUUUUGAGAACCUAAAGAUGAAGGAGUCUGAAACUAUUAAACAGUAUUCUAACAAAAUCAUGGAUGGUAUAAACAACAUAAGAUUUCUUGGAGAUUAGUUUCCUGAUAGCAGAGAAGUUGAGAAGGUGAUCAUUACACUUCCUAAGAGGCAUGAGUGAAAAAUAUCCUCUCUUGAAGAUUCGAGAGACCUAUCAACAAUCUCUCUAUCAUAACUAAUAAAUUCAUUGUAUGCUCAAGAACAAAGGAGAGUUGCAAGGUAGAAGAAGCAUGUUGAGGGAGCUUUUCAAGCAAGAAAUUAGGAAGGCUUGAGCUCCUCUAACAAUAAAGGAAAGAAAAUCAGGUAAAAAAGACAGAGAGGUCGAGGAGAGAAGGUGUAAAGAAGAAAUAUCCAUAAUGCUCUCGCUAUAAAACGAUUACUCAUUGUGAGAAGUUUUGUUGGUUCAGACCAGACAUACAAUGCAAAACUUGCAAGCAGUUUGGACACGUAGAGAAGGUUUGCAAUAAUAAAGUGUGAAAACCCAACAGCCACAACCACAUUAGAAUAUCCAGGCUUAAGCAACUAAGAGAAAUCAUGCUUAGGAGGAGCAAGUGUUCGUAACCUCUUGUUUUGCACCUAAAAACAAAAUCACAAAAGGUUGGCUAAUCGACAAUGGAUGUACCAACAUAUGACCUCAAAUGAAGCAUCUUCAAAAAGAUUAAUAAAAGUUGCAUUUCAAAAGUGAGGGUUAGAAAUGGCGAACUCAUACAAGCCAAAAGCAAAGUAGGUGUACUGAUCAAUAAGUUAUCAGGUACAAAAGUAAUUUCAGAUGUUCCUUUAGUACCUGAAAUAGAUCAUAAUCUUCGAUAAAGAUAUGAGGCUUUUUUUGGGGACUUCUAAUGUUAGAAAUGUUAGUAAAAAGGUAUAUGAAUAGAUUUUGAUGUGUUUUUAUGUUCUAUAUCAAUGGUUCCUGUUGAUUGCUUUGCGAUGGGUGAGAAUCAGAUGAGUCUCUAAACUGACUUUUGUGUGUAUUAUUCAUACUAGAAAAGCUGUAAGAAAUUGGUUGGAAGGUGAUGUGUGGUCUUGUAAGUUACAGUAUGUUGUGUAUGUGACUUAGGAGUGACUAUUAAAGGAUAUAUAUGACUGUGUCAAUGUUUAUUAAGAAUAGAAUGCAUAUCUGGUAUGAAUAUGAUAGUUCUAGUAAGGCGAUAUGAGGUAUGGUUGCAUCUGAAUGUCAUGAAUAUAUAUGUGUGUGUCUUUGAUGUAUGCUAUGAGGAAUGUUUUUUUAAGAGUAAGUUGUUAUUCAAAUGGUGAAUUUGGAUCAUGUCAGUGCAUGUAGAGUAUGUGUCUGUCUUCGCGGUAUUGUCUAAAGGAGUCUGUUAGGACUUUAAGUACAAAUUCUGAAAAGAAAAUUCCAUGCCUUCCAAAAGGAACUAAAUGAUGGUAAUUACCCAAUGGGGUUAUCUGCGUAUCCCAGGAUGAUGAUAGGAAAACCUCACGCAAUGUGAGUUUAAGAAAAUCCAUAUGUAAACACGUCAGGAAAUGAAGCCUUUGUAGAUAACUUUAAAAAGAAAGCCUUUGUGGCUAACUCUGAAAAGGAAGCCUUCAUGUCAAACUCUGAAGGAAUAGCCUCUAUGGUAAGCCUUUGUGGUGUAAUGUAAAAGGAACACCUAUGUGGCGAAUUAUGAAAAUAAUAGCCUUUGUGGUGGAUUAUGAAAGAGCACCAUUCAUAGCGAAAUUCGAAUGGGCUACCCUUGUGGCAUGUCUUAAUAAAGCUCUUAGUGGGAAAUGUUUAAAAGAUGACCCUUGUGGUAAUUUUUGAAUUAAGCUAAUUGUCGUAUUCAAUUUGGCUUUCAAAUGUAUUCAGAACACAAGCAGCAAGGUAUAAGUUAUCUAUUAAUUAUACGGUGAAGUAUCACAUAAGACUAUCAAUCGAUUAAAAGUAUUGAAUUGAAGAGAUAUAGAGAAAUGAGGAAUUAGUAUGGGAAGUGUAUUCAGAAUAAGGAUUUGAAAUUGUACGUUUGAAGAAGGUAUCUGUCAUCUAUGCACAUGGUCAUACUUGAAUCAUGGUGAAGUGAUGGCUUAGAACUAAGUAUGUUACAGUAAUAGUGUGUUGGUUAAGUUGAUCUUGGAAAGGAAAUGAAAAAAUACUUAUAAAUGCUCGAACGAAAGGCGUGCGUGAUGUAUCGAAUACCCCAAUGGAAAAAGAGUUAAUUUUUGAGUAAGGCAUGAUAUAUAUAGUGUAUGAAGAAUGGAAUUUGACGGAAGCAAUCGCCAAAGACAGGUUUUGAGAGUAAAUCCUAUCUACAAUUGAGAUUCUUAAAGGAUAGAAUCAAUCUUUUAAGAUUACAAAAUCAAGUCUUAUCAUGUUACAUAUCUUCUAAGAUUGGUUUCCUUAUUUGCCAAUAUAGCCCAAAUUUUCCAUAAAUGCUUCACUGGACCACCAAGGCUUCAAGGAGACAGGCUUCUCCACAUGCUCCACAAAUUGAGCCAAUUCAAAUGCGUCGAAUGAGCCCCAUUUCAUCAUUUGACCUCCAUGGAACAAUCUUUGCACAUUCAUCACGGGCUCUGAUCCGCGGCCUAUGACAUAAGCACAUAAAUGUUUAGUAAGUUCAAUUGGCAAGUAUUAUACUUACCUUGCUAGGUGGACCUACAAAUUCAUUGCUCAACAAGCUUCAUAUUCUCAUGUUAGUUACUUAGGAUAAGAUAAGGCAAAUGUAUAGGUAACCAUGUUCAUUAAUACCAUACAAGCAAAUUAUAACAUGUCCAAUAAGUGUUCAUUAUAUUCUAUUGAUCACAUGUGCACCUAUUUCCAAUUUAUUACAACCUUUCAAUUACAAUUCACAAGUUAAAAUAAUCAAGUUCAUACCUUUUUCAACCUUAAUUAUUUUAUUUAACCAUUUCUUGUCUGAUAUCAAUUUUGUAGCCCAUGUAAUCUUAGUAAAAUAGGACCCAAGUACUAUGAGAAAACCAAAAACUGUAUGAGCAUCGAAGUGCUAAGCUCGAAGACUAUCACAUAUCAUAUCAUGUAGGCCUCCGAAGAGGUAUUGAAAGUCUAAUGGUCUACAACAAAUGUUUUACCAAGGGUAAGAUAGAACUAGGUCUUCAGAAAACAAACCACAUACCUCUGAACCUCACACCACAACAAAAGUACUUAGGUGUAAGGCAUGAAGGCAACGUAUAACAAAUAGGCUCAAAGGCGACAUACACAUAUAACCCUAAUUGACAUGCCAAUCAUAUCCUAACCUUUCUACCAAGUUUACAUGAGCUAUCAUUAACAUAUUAAAGAAUUCACAUCAAGUACCAUUAAAGCAAUUUUUCACAUGUAUUGUCAUAUUUCCAUAAUGCCACACUUUAAUCACAAGAGUUAAAAUCUUCAACUGAGGUUUUCAUACCACAUGAAUUUACAUGUUUGUUCAUUCACAUUAACAUGGUUACUAAUCUCAUAAUCAUACUAAAUCUUAACUUGACAUAGUCAAUUACCAUAUUUAACACCUUGUUUCAUAUUUAAUUCUUUGCACAACAUGGUUUAGUCUAUAAACAUAUUAACUAGUAUAAUCCAUUAAGGUUCUGUUAAUAUACUUGUUAAUUAAUCAUCCAUUCUUGAUCUUAGCAUGUUAUAUUCAUUAUGCAUCAAAUUAAAUGUUGUUGAGCUAUUUAACACUUAUAAACAUUGUACUAAAAACACAUAAUAAGCAAAUAUUAUAAGUUCAAGUGAACUUACCUAUUAAGAUAUGGCUAAAAUGAAUGAAAGAUCAUUUAAUGAUCAUCAAUUUAAAUUUUCAUUUCCUUAACUUAAGCUUCAUUUGGUUAGCCUUAUUCUACUCAAAAUACAUACAACACAUACAAGCAUUGAAUUAAUAAUUUGAAUCUCCUUUGGUUAGUCUUACAAGCAUUGGAUUAAUUGAAUUCAACACUUGAUAGCCAUAUAGUGGCCACUUUACUUGUUGAAAAUUCAAGAAUGCUUAACCUUUGACGCAUAGACUUUUAUAUCCAAAAUUGAUAUAACUCCCAAUUUUCCUAUUCAAUUUUUUUGUUCCAACUUUAAAAUUAUAAUUUUAAGACCUCAAAUGAUCCAAAAACAUGUUUAAACUCCAAAGUUCUCAUCAUUAUCUCUAAGGCUUCUUAAGUACUCAACAAUGUUGGUAUGAACAUCCUUCAUACCAAUUUCUAAUCUACCUUCUUUUCUAACUUACUUACACUCUUCUAAGUUCAUCCCAACAAAAGCAUUGAACUAUCAUGAUCAAGCUUUAUCUCUUUAAGUUCCAAGCAUUCAUCUAUGAUUAUCUAAGGAUUUUUCUCAUCAAUUUUAACAUCGAAAUGAAUGGGCUCAUGCUUAUCUAUUAUUUUAUGCUAUCAAUUAAACCAAAAUUCAAAGGAAACUUAUCAAUUUCUUGAAGAGCAGCUAACGGCACCAUGAAAGCUCCAUGAAAAUUUCCUUUUUCUUCUUUGUUCUUAAACGAUGGAGAAUGGAUGAGGAUGACCAUGUAAUAAGCUUAUUCUCUCACCCACUAAGCAUAUAUAUACCUAAUUAAUCAAUUUAUUAACCUUUAAUAAUAAUCAUCCAAAGUUGGGAUUUAAGCAUGACAAAUUGAGCGGAAAUCUAUGGCUUUUGCCAUGCUUCUCCACUAAGUAAAUAAAUGAUGGUUUAUUUGUCAUUUUAAGGCAUUUGAUUAAUUUUUCAUCCAAUCCUCCAAACCUUGCAAGUUCACAUUUAGAUCUUAUGCAUCAAUUAUUAAUUUAUCAAUUUAAUCCAUUAAUAAUUCUCGACAAUAUUUCAUAUCUACCUCAUUAACUUCUCGAUUAAUAAUAAAUUUUCGAAACGGCUUGAUUGAGAAAUCGAAUUAUUCCUAGCACAGCGAAAAAUGGAUCAUCAAACUAUUUUAAUUUGAUUUAUUAAUGUCUUUUCCAAAUUCGUAUUUAAUUAAUAAAUAUUCCCCAAUAACCAACACUCGACAACAGUCAUUUUGGUAGUUCAUUUGAGUUACUUUGCCAUUUCCCUUUUGCUCGGCUUGUCCUUUUUUUUUUAUUUUUCUGAUUACCUUGUUCCCUUUGACCACCUUCAUUAAUUGAUAAUUUUUCCUUGUAUUAUAGGAGAUUUAUAAAUAUUCAUAUUGUAGCAAAAGUAAACUCAAAUUUAGAGUGCACAAGGAAAUAGUCAAAUAUCUCAACUUCAAAAGCCUUUAAUUAAGCCACAAUGUGUUCGCGCACUCUAUUAACACUAGUGAAUUUCAUUAAUAAUAAUUUGAGUACUAGCUAAAAUUUUAUCCCAAGAUUUAAAUUGUCUUUCAAUAAAUCCUCGACAUUUUUGUGGUUGUGGUCUCCAAAUACUUUUGUGAUCAUCCAUAAAGAACAACUUCAGCACGUAAUUCAACUUUAUGAAUAGUCAUCACUAAUUAAAUCAUGCAUAUUAAAUUUGAUAUCAGAAAAGUUUACAAGUAGCUUCAUAAAUACAUAAUUGUGAUAUAUUUGAAUGGUUUUCCACCUCAGCAUAAACUUAUUUUAGAGUAAAUUUGUAUGCGUUUUAGUCUUGUUACAGUAUCCAAGCCUAAUGGCAAUACCUUAAUAGUAAUUAUUCUCUCUAUCUAGUACUCGAAACUGGUUUUAAAUAUCUUCCAUUCAUUCAACAAAUAGUUAUGGUCUAAAGAAAUUUCUGGAAUUCAUGGCUGCCUACUUGCGAGAGGACUAAUGAAAUAUGCGAUGCAAGUUGAUGAAAUCUUAUAAUUUGUAAUAUAAAAAACAAAAACCAUACCUCCUUAAUAACAUAAAUAACACGUUCCAUAAUCAACAUCUGAGAACUUAAAACUUAAUUGUAAUGUUGGCUGAACCAGACUCAAAAAGGGGAGAAAAGAAAAAUAAGUCCGAACCUGAAAAAACUGACCGUAUAGAAAACCCUGACAGGCAGAACAGUAGCAAGCAACAUAAAACCAAGACAUAUUCACUUAAAGCACUUGGCAUCCAAGAGAGGCUCUCCCUCAAAUGGCUCGCAGUCUUCAAUCAUCUGAUUCACCCGUUCCUUCUGGGAUGCAUCUGAGAGGUCAACCUUCUUCCACUCGUAGAGUUCCAUGUCAUAGCACUCGUCAAUCACAAAUUGAGGAAUCUCUUGCCCACGGAAAAGCCAUAGUCCUUUCACCUUGAAUGGGGGGUUAGCACCGAUCACCAACAUCUUCCCAAAUGCAUACUUGCGGGCCAAAUCCAUUCUCUGCAGGAAUCCUCCAACCUUGUUCAUUGUGACAAAUGAAACUGUAUUCUCCUCAUUGUACUUGUAGUCACAAAACCACAGUGAGUAUCCCUCGGGAUCAUACAUGUCCCAGAAUCCUGACACGAAUCAAGUAUCAGAUAUCACAAGUCCAAACAUUGCUUUUAAAAGGGAGUGCUACUGUGAAAACAACGGGAAUACCUUUAAUUGCAACCUCUCGGAAAUUGGUCUUUGUGUUAGAGUAAAGCCUUUUCCAGUCAUCCAGUACCAUCUUACUUGGAGGCAGCAAAUCAAGAGGAUUCUUUGGUUUGGGCUUUGGUGCCUCCUCCUCCUCAGCGGCCUCUGCCUUUGCUGCCUGUUUCUCAACCUCCUUUUUGGCUUCUUUCUUUGGUUCAGCCUUUGGUUUAGUUUCUUUUGGCUGGGCAGCAGGCUUCUUUGAAGGAACAGGUGGUAGAGAGACUGCCUGCUUCACUUCACCAAGAAUCUUCUUGAUUUUUGGCUGAUUAACCAAGGUCCAAAAGUACCUCUCAACAUGAGGGAACUCCGAGGUAAAACUCUUGGUCAUGAUCUGGGAGAAACCCAAGUAGAGGUUACAUGUCAUGAUAAUGUCAGCAAGGGUGACAAAAUGUCCAACAAGAAAUGUGUUGGAAGCAAGAUGAGUGUUCAAAGCGCCAAGGGCUCUCUUCAAUGCAGCAAUAGCAGCUUCCUCAGCCUACAUGCAAAAUACAAAUAAGAGAUUAAAAUGAAAUAGAUGGGCAAAAUCAUACCAUUGAAGUAAUAUGAGCUACUACUGAAUUACAAAAAUAAAAUUUAACUCUUAAUAUAGACUAAUAAAUACAUCAGAAUGGGGAGAAAACAGCCUAAUCUUUUAAAAAAUAAUAAGGAGAAAACCCAUGCCUACUUGAUUAUCAAUUCAGUGGGCAUUCCCUUCUACCAAAAUUACUUAAUAGUGCUUGAGUUUCGUUUCCAGAAACUAUGCAUGGGAAAACACUACCACAUUAAGCAUGUACUAAAUGUUGUCUAACUAAUCCUCUCUAAAAUAAAUAAAACAAGAAUCAUAGACAGGUAAUCAAUGCCAAUUUUCCCUUCACCAUUCCCUCAAUAUUUUGUAUUUCGAUGACUAAGUUGCCUUAUUCCAAUUUUAACAGGGGACCUAUUGUCUUAUAAUUAGAAAGAAACAAAGACUAAGUAUGGCCCCAGCAAAUCAAGCCCAAUUAAAAUGACAAAAGAAUCUGCGAGGAAAGACAGUACAACUUACUGGAGGAAGGUAAACACCGUAACCAAGUCUUGGAUAGAACCAUUUUGCAAUAUUAGCAUCAAUUUCCAUGGCUGCAAAAUCAAUCCAUUGCUCGAUAUGACCCUAAGAAAGCCAAAGUAAGACAUACAAACAAUUACUUCCAAGGUUUAAAAUAAACUUAACUGAUGACAGAAGAAAACAAGACCAUUGUACUAUAAGAAUCUUACAUAAUCAAUCAAUGUAGAACCACAUAUAGGGUUGUUAACCUUUAAGCGAGCAACUGCAUAGAAAAGUAUACCAAUAAGUAAACAAACAUUAGAGGAAGAAAAUUUAGGAUAUGGAGUCAGCAGAUCUUCUCACCAUAACGAGCAAUGGCAUUGCUCUCAAAUACAGGACCCUCAGGUGUUUCCAACACAGGAACCUAGAAGAGUUAUAAAUAUCUUCAGUGAACUGACCUAGAAGAAAGGUUACAUAACAUGUAUAAAAAAAAUCACUAGUUUAGAUCUAUUAAUAGGAGUUACAAGGUCACCUUCCCCAAAGGGUUCAUCUUGAUGAACUCAGGAGUCUUAUUUGACACACCCAUCUCAAAAUUCUCAACCAUUUUGACCUGCACACCACUAUAUUCUGCAGCAAUGAGUGCCUUAAAGGCAUUUUUGUUUGUUUUUCCUGCAUGCAAGACCUGCAUGUAAAUCAACACACCACAUUGAUUAGAAGAACCGGUUGAUUAAGAAGUUGAGUUGAAUGUCAAACACCAGUCACUCCCUACAACUAAUCCAGUAAAAUCCUGAAAUUGAUCCUUUUCGCCCCAUAAAUUCUCUUAAAGACCAGUCACUUUACAUUCUAAACUACUAGACGGUACUUAGCACUUCCAUUUACCAUACACAAUUAACCUAAUUGACGUAACACCUCGCCAUCUAUCUUUCUUCUGGUCAACGGAUCCCAAUUGAAUCGAAGGUGAUAUAGUUAAAAUCAAAAUAUUUUUUUAUCGUUACUAUUAGUAUCUACAAAUGCAUAAACUAUUACAUUGAUUUAGAGAGUAACUAUAUAAAACAUAUUCGAUCUGCCACUUCCUUCGCAAUGUAAAAAACUACUUACAAAUUUCACUUUCGAAUUCUAUCUGAAAUAACGCCCACCUAAUCAUUUGGUGUCAAUUCUUUCAACAGUUAGACUACCACAAGAAACGAAACUAGUCUAUAUUCACACAUAUAAACCUUACCAGAGCCAUUGCUUGAUAAAAAAGGGCGCUACAAUUUGAAAAUUGAGAUCUGGAAAAUGAAAAAAACAGAAUAAAAUAAAAGGAAACAGGAAAAAUCUACAACGAGGAGAGCUUGGUUCCUAUGAAUGAAGGAGAAAAAAGAGAGAAGGAACCUUGCAGGCGAAAUCGCAGCGAGCAGGAGAGGCUGCGGGAAUAAGAGGGCGAUAAAUAUAAAAGAAGGGGGGGCACUAGGGUUUUUGUAGAGUGGAGUGGGUGUGAUGUGGGGUUCUUUAUCGGUUCGGGUUCCGGUUUGAAUCCAGAUUUACUAACCCUCCUUUUUUAGGUUUUUUAAGCGUGGCUUUGGUGUUGCAAGUUGUGGGUAUUACAAGCAUCAAUUUAUGGAUAUCCUCUUUUAGGUUAAAAUAUGCCUAUAGUCCUUGAACUUUUCAACCAUUAAAAAUUCAGUCCCUGUACUUGUAUUUUUAGGAAUUUAGUCCCUCUAUUUUCCAAAUUUCAAAAUUUUGGUCUAACUAUUAAUACAUUUAAUUUGUUUGGUCAAAUUUGUUGCUAUGACAUUUUGAAAUAAAAAAAAUUACUCACUUGAUAACCAUGUAAUUAAAAAAAUGACUUUACAAUUAACUUGAAUUUAACAAAAAAAAUUAACAAUAUUAACAGUUAGACCUGAAUUUUAAAAUAUAAAAAGUAGAGAGACUAAAUUCUUAAAUAUAUAAAUAUGGAAACUAAAUUCUUAAUUUUUAAAAAUUACAAUAAUUAUAUGCAUAUUUUAACCUUUCUUUUAAUUAUUUUAAUGGAAACUAUGAGUUUUUUUCUUAAUUAUUUUUCAAAAAAAUUUCAAUCAAAUAUUAUCAAUUUUCAUUUCAAUAGAUUUAACUAUGAAAUCAAUAAUAAUUAAAUAAAAAUAAAAAAAAUAUAAAAAAAACACUUAAUUAUUGAACCAAUUGAACGAUUUCUUUUUUCCUAUUUUUUCCAAUUUUUCAUCAGUUUACAAUUAUGUGCUCUGUUUGCAACAAACCAAUGUAAAUAAAGAAACAACGGCUCUUGCUUGUAUAUAUUAUAAAUAGGUAUGUUGUUUUUUAUUCAAUGUUUUCUCUUUUAAUUCGCCUAUUGAACAUGUUGGAAUAAGUAAUAGAUUUUUUUUAUGUUUUUUCUAUUAGUUUUUAAGUUAUUAGUGUUAGAAACAUAAAAUAAAUCUAAAUCUUAAUAAAUUAAGAUCUAUCAUGUUAAAUCGUUAAGGAUAAGUCAAGAGCAAAACUAAAUACAAAAGCGUACUUAAAUUCAUCGAUUUCUUAAUAUCUAAAUAUUUUACAAUUUUGAUCUUUCAAAUUAGCACAUAAGAAAUUUUAAGGAGGUGACUCUCUCUUUUCUAAAGAUGGGAUAUUAGAUCUAUUAACAAUUAAAUUUUGUAGCUUUUACGAUUUAGUCCUUUUUUUCUUAAUUAACUACUUAAACUAUAAAAUUUUUAAACUAAAAUUUAACACGACUCUAUUAGGUGCCUAACCCAUGUGCCAUCAUUGACACUACAAUGUAAUUCACUUUCAUAGUUGCUUAUGCAAGAUACAAUUUACACAUUAAAAUUCUACAUUCAUUUCAUUUCAUAUCAUAAUUCAACAUAGUGUCAUUGUAGUUUAUUCUUGAUCAACCAAUUCAACUUAAGUAAAACAUGCAUACUUCUAUAAGUUAUUUAAACACAAUAACACAAGUUAAAGGUAUAACUUGCACAAACCAAGUACUUAUACAUCCUAUCCAAAAUGAGUCCUAUUACAUGCCAUAUAAACCAAACCAAAAUCAAAGUCUACCAAAGAUUCCUAGAUAGUGUAAUUCUCUUGUUGACUCGAUCUUCCGAGCCCACGAAAACAUAAUCUACAAAAAAAAAUGAACCAAAUACAAGUAAGAUUACAUAAAGCUUAGUAAGUUUGUUUGAAUAAUCAAUAAAAUUUACUAACUUAAACAUGAUAAAUCAAACUUUGCAUUUAGGCACUGAAAUUCCAGAAAAUCACAACUUCCAUCAAAUGAAUAAUAUUCGGAGCAUUAUUUCACAAUUCGUUUCUCAAUCAUUGGUACAGAAAGAUCUUAUUCAGUAUAAUUAGUGGAUAUUGCUCAUUUUGAGCAAACAUUCUGUAUAAUCAGUGGAUAUCGCUCAUUUCAGCAAAAAUUCAGUAUGACCAGUGGAUAUCUCUCGUUUUAGCAAACAUUCAGUAUAAUCAGUGGAUAUCUGUAACACCCCUAACUCGUAUCCAUAGCUGAAACUGGGUUAUGGAGCAUUACUGGAGCUUACAGAUUAAACAGACGGAAAUUUCAAACUUUUCAUAUCAUCAAAAUAUAUCAUCAAAGCAUCAUUCAAAUCCAAAUUAUAAACAUACCAAAUUCAAUUCAUUUUGCCAUGUUCAUAAGCACUUAAACAUCAACUUAAUUUCACAUGCACAUAUCUAGAUUUGGUUUAAUUUACCAUGUCAUAAUAUGGCUUCAAAAACAAAUACAUGUUUAUAUAUAUAUACACCAAACCAAUAUUAAACUUAUAACCUUAUUUACAAUCAAUCCACAAAAUAACUAUUAUUUAGACACCCUAGGUACAUGCCGACACAAAAGAUAGACAUCACCACAUUUGAGUUCGGGAUCAUUAUUGGAUGUUAAAUCGGCGAUCAAAAAGUUAAGUACCUAACCUGCACAUGGAAAACAAAACCGUACGCUGAGUAAAACUCAGUGGUAUUUCUAUAAUCUGAAUCUUUAAAGACAAGAGAUUACAAAUGUAUAAUUGAAAAAUAGACACAUAUUAAUAUUUAAAAAAAUCACAACUACCAUAUGUCAACUCUUUGAAUUCAUACAUAAUAGCAUAUCAUAUUUAAUUUGUUUCACAAAUAUCCCAAUUCUCAUACUUGCAAUAUAAAUAUCUUUUCACAUUUGAUUCACAUUUCAUUUAAACAAUGACAUUAUCAAUUCCGUAUUCAAUUCAUGAGUAUAUAACUCAUAUAUUUCAUGUAUCUACAACAUAUUUCACAUUUUAUUUUCAGUUCACUAUAUCACUUCCAUUUUUCAUACCAUGUCAUUUCAAUAUCAAUUAUAGAACAUUAUUAUUUAUUUACCCCUAUUAACACGACUUGGACUUGGACGAAUACACAAAUCCAACCAACACACCAGUUUGGCACCCAGUGCCUCAUGAUAAAUCCGAAGUAGUAACUGCACCCAACGUUAUAUAAAUUUGACACCCAGUGUCACAUCGGUUAAACCGAAGUAAAUUGGCACCCAGUGACUCAUCGACUCGAAGUUAAAGAAAUCCCUGAACUCUUCCUAUCCUAUGGCAUGCCAUUUAUAUUCAACUCAGCCCGAUACAGUUAAUAGGGCUCCAAUUCACUUUCCAAAUACAACCAAUAUCCAAUUAUCAUAUUUUCACAUUAUUAUAUAUAUAUUCAUAAUUUAUAUAUAUCAAUUCUAUCCAAUUCAAUCAACUUUAAUUCAAUUCAAUAAUCAAUACAUUCAAUAUGUAUCUACCAAUUCAAUCCAUUUCAAUCAAUUAUCAAAGUCAAUUACUCACCCCUCAAUACUUACCAUAUGUAUUAAAUUGAAUUAUAACAAUUAAUAACUGGGUUCGGAUUAUAGAAAUACAAACCAAGAAUUCUGAGCUAUUCGACGUCGACUUUAUCUUUCCCUUUUUUAGUCGAGGAUUCUGGUAGACAUUAGCUACGGAAUUAAAAAAACUAAAAUUCAUCAAUGUAACACAAUUCAAUUUUAUAUUGAACAUUUCAAUUUUUUACUCAAUAUUUGCCUAAAUUUCAAUUUAGUCCCUAAACGAGACUAAUUUUUAUUCUUCACAUUUAAUUUUAUAUUUUCAUACAAAUUCCACUUUAAACUAAAUUUAACUCCCUAUUUUCACUUAAAUCUUUAAAUUUUGAAUUUUUCACAAUUUAGUCCCUAUUACUCAAAAUUUACAAUUUAUUUUACAAUUUAAUCCUUUUUCAUUUCUAGCUUAAAAAUCUAUCAAUUUAAUCCCUAAUAUUAAAAUUUGUCAACAUUAAGAACACUUAAAAACUUAAUAAUUGCUAAAAUUUCGACAUGGGUCAAGUAAUACUUAACAUCGAGAUUCCAAAAACAUAAAAAUUACAAGAAAAUGGGCUAAAUUGACUAACUAAUUGAACUUUGAACAAUUUGAAACCCUAGCCUUGCGUCUUUCUCCUUUAUUCUUUCUCUUUUUUUUUCCUUUUUCUUUCUUUUCUUUCUGGUUUGUAUGGCUUUCUUUCUUUCUUUCUUUCUUUCAUUCAUUCUUUUAAUACUUUUGUUUUAUUAUAAUUAAAUUAUUAUUAUAUAAUAUGAUAUAUUUACUUAACAAUUAAGAUUUCAUAUUAUAAUAUAAUAUAUAAAUUAAAUUUGCAUAUAAUAUAUAUCACUAACCGUCCCACUUAAAGAACAAUAGUAAAAUUGCUUCUUUAGUCCCUUUAAUUAUUCUUUAAUCUAUGAUUCAACUUUCACCCUGUAUGCAAUUUAGUUCUUAUACCUAAUUGUAACAACCCAUUUUUCAGUGAAAAUCGAAACAGUGGUUUCAGGUCCACAAAUUCGAUCCGAAAAUAAGAUUUAUUUUUAUUUUAUUACAUGGUCCGUAAUAUGCUAGAAAUGUCAUGUGAAAAUUCUGAUAAUAAUUUUUUUAUCAAUUUAGUGCUUAAUUACGGGAUGGACUAAAUCACAUAAAAUGUAAAAGUUGAAUUCUAGUAGCUAGAAGGAUUAAAUAGCUAUGGAAUUCAAAACUUGAGGUCCUUAUAUGGUAAUUAAACCAUUAAAGAAAAGUAUAUAGAUAUUUUGGUGACUCAUCUAUGGAAAUUUAAAAAAAAGGCAAGGACUAAAUUAGAAUUUGAAAUAAUUUAAUUAAUUAAAAUAUGAAAAAGAAAAUAUCAUCUUAUUUUAAUCAUCUUCUUCCCCAAAAAUACAUGGAAACCCUAGGAGAGAGAAGAAACUUUCAUGGCUUAAUUGGGUAAGUUUCCUUGUCCCGUUUUAGUAAUUUUGAUAUUUUUGAAACUAGGAUAGCUUAAUCUAUCUAUUUGGGGGAUCAAUUUGAGGAGUUAUCAAAGUAUGGAAAUUAGGUCAUGGAUGUAUAUGCUGAAAAUUUGAAAUUUAUGGUAUAAUAAUCAAAGAUUGUUGAUAGAUAAACAACUUUUACAAAGUGAUUUUUGAUUAAAACAUGAUUUAGGAACUAAAAUGUAAAGUUGUGAAAAUUGAUGAAAAUUUUGAAAUUUAUAGAAAAUAUGUGCUGUAAAUUUUAUGUUGAAAUUUCGGUUAGGCUUGGAAUAGGGAGUAAAUUGCAUGAAUUUUAUUUUUCGAGCCUAGGGACAAAAUUAGAAUUUAUGGAAAAAUGAAGGGCAAAAUGGUAAUUCUGCCUAGGACGUAAAUUGAGUCCAAAUGAAUAUGAAAUGUGUGAAAUUGAUGAUAAAAAUUAUUUAUAUAGAUACAGACAACACAAAUUUGAAGUUAGAUCGAGGAAAAGAAAAGGUUUCGGAUUAGUAGAUUUUAUACGCGAACCAGUGUCGAGGUAAGUUUGUGUAACUUAAUUGAGCAUAUAAAUAUGUUAACUUGAAUGUUAUGUUUGUAUCAAAUAUGAAUUAUAUUUAUGUGAAUUUUAUAAAUGUGUGAAAUGAUUACAUGUUCGGGAAUAUUGGAAAAAGGGUAAAGUCUCGUUUGAAUAUUGAAUUUCGAUGGAUAAAUGUGCUUUCCCGAAAUGAAUAAGGCACUGCAUUUGUUGCGACGGGAUUUAGCUCGGAUGAGUAAUCCUAUUGAUCUCAUUAUAGAAAGGAUUUAGCUCGGACGGGUAAUCCUGAUAUAAUCUCUCUCGGGCAUAUGUUACAAUUAGGGUUUAGCCUGGACUGGUAAUCCUAAUUGAGCUCUUUUGAGCAUAUGUUACAUAAUGGAUUCAGCCUGGACUGGUAAUCCUGUAAUACGAUAUGUGGCUCGAGAGUGUGGUCUUGUUUAGUGCCCUAUGGGUACUUUUGAAUAAGAAUUGAUGGGUUAUUAAUCGUACACCUCGAGUAUACUACUUGAGUAUCCAUUGGAAUUUCAAUGAUUCAACGGAUAAAACUAUUGGCAUGAUAAGAGAAUUAUGAAAUGAAAUGACGAUGUCUUGAAAGAAUAUUGCAUGAUGAACUCAUCUAUGUUUACUUGAUGUAUAUGAAAAUUUUGUGACUAACAUGUUUGAUUGAAUGCGUGUGUUUAGGAAAUUUUGCCAAAUUGAUGAAAAACAUGAUAUUGUAUACUUAGAUUUAAAAUGGGAUUGGUAAGUUUAGUUUCCGUUAUACGAACUUACUAAGCAUGUAAUGCUUACUCUGUUUUAUUUUCCCCUAUUUUAUAGUGCUCAGAAGCUCGUGAAGGUUGGAGAUCAUUGGAGCAUCAUCACACUAUCCACUAGCUUAAUUUGGGUAUAUAUAGUAAAAUCAUUUUGGUAUAAUGGCAUGUAUAAGCUAACUUGGCCAUAGAUGGAUUAAAUAUGUGGUUUGUAAUAUAGCCAUUAGAAUGUUAGUAAUAGUUGUUUUUGAUAUACUUGUAAUGUCAUACUAUGGUAGUUACAUACAUGUUAAAUGGUUGUUUAAAUUAUGCCUAACAUAUGGAAUAUACCAAGGCAAGAUUAUAAACAUGUAUGCAUGUAAUGAUAGAGUUUGCUUAAUUUGAAUGUUUGAAAUGGUUGGUAUUUGGAUGUGAGUUUAAGUGUAGGUCAUUGGUGUGAUUUUGGAUGAGAAAUGAAGCUAGAAAUGGCUUUAUUUUGUUCAUACGGGUGUGUGUCUAGGUCUUGUAUGACAUACGACCUGGUACAUAGGCGUGUGGUUAGGCCAUGUGUCCCCUACACCUUAAAUUUGAGAAACAAAAUGCUUAGAAUUGAGCACAUGGGCAGAGACACGGGCAUGUGUCUCAGCUAUGUGUGCUACACGGCCUAGAACACGGGUGUGUGUCUUGGCCGUGUAAAACCUGCACCUAAUUUCGAAAGAAUUUAAUUAACCACACUGCCUAGCACACGGGUAUGUGGCAUAGCCGUGUUCACAAGUAAAAAAGUUACAGGGUCAAACACGGCCUGCUGCACGGGCGUGUCCCUUGGACCACAUAGGCGUGUCCCAAGGUCACACGGGCGUGUCCCAAGGUCACACGGGCGUGUCUCUUGGACCACACGGGCAUGUCCCUUAGACCACACGGGCGUGUAACUUAGAAAAUUUUUGAAAUAUCGCGGAAAAUUCUUAGAGCUUCCGAUUAAGUCCCGACUUGAUUCUAAUGCUUAUAUUGGGCCUCGAUGGUCCAUUUAAGGGACAUUUUGAAUAAUCUUGGAAAAUGAACAGUGAUUGACAUGAUUUAUCUGUAAAUGUUCUGAAAGUUCAAGUAAUGCUCCAUAACUCUAUUCCGGUGAUGGAUACGGGUUAGGGGUGUUACACUAAUUACUUUUAAUUCAAGCAAAUUCACUUAACCGAAACCUAAUUAACUACAGAAUAAAUAUUUACGAGUCCGAUUUACGAAAACAGAGUCCCGAGAAUGUAAUUCUUUUUCAAUUUGGUCAUUUUUAAUUAAUUAACUAUCGAAAUGUUAAAAUUUCUUAACGAAACUUUAAUACCACUUUAAUGACACUCCGUAAAUAUUUAUAAAAAAUUUACAGCUCAGUUUAUAAAAAUAAGAUCCCGACACCUCAUUUUCUAAAACCACUUGAACUUAAUAAAUCACUUAUAUAACAUAAAUUAUCAAAUUAAAAACCUUUUUAAAAAUCACACUUGUCUCGUAAAUAUUAAAUAAUAAUAUUUAUAAACUUACUCGUCGAAUUUGGUGGCCCCGAAACCACUGUUUUUGACACCAUUGAAAAAUGGGCUAUUACAAUAUCUCUCGUUUGAGCAACUUUUAGUAUAUAGACAUUGCUCUUUUGAGCACGGUAGUAUAAUCAGUAGAUAUUGCUUGUUUGAGCAACUUUCAAUAUAAUCAGUAGACAUUGCUUUUUUAAGCACGUUCAGUAUAAACAAUAGAUAUUCCUCGUUUGAGCAACUUUCAGUACAAUCAAUAGACAUUGUUCUUUUGAGCACGUUCAAUAUAAUCAGUAGAUAUUACUCCUUUGAGCGCAUUGAAUAUAAUCAGUAGAUAUUGCUUGUUUGAGCACAUUUAGUAUAACCAGUAGAUAUUUCUUAUUUGAGAAACUUUCAGUAUAAUCAGUAGACAUUGCUCUUUUGAACACAUCCAGUAUAAUCAGUAGAUAUUGCUCGUCUGAGCAUAUUCAGUAUAAUAAGUAGAUAUUGCUCAUUUGAGCAUAUUCAGUAUUUAACCAAUUCACAAUGCUUCCCACACAAGCUUCAGAGUGUUCGCAACAUAUGCAGGACCUCAAGCCAUCGUUACAGUCCAUAUCACCGGCUCAAAGCCUUAUAGUAAAUCACCUACCCAAUGCCUGAUAGAUAAUUGAUAUUCCAUUUUCAUUUUCAACAUCAUACCAUUGUACAAUAUAAAAUUUUAUAAAAUUAUAAUAACAUAGAAUAUAUAAGAAUCAACAUAAAUAUUAUAAACGUGCGAACUUACAGGAUUGAUUUAUAGCAACGGCUCAUAGUAUCUCAAUCAAUGAUCGACGUAAUAUCAAUUCAUUAUUUCCGUUUCAAAUUACAUACAUCAAUAUAAUCUAACAUUAUGAAAUUAGAUUAAUAUAUUACAUUUAAAAAUUAUACUAAAAUUAAAUUGAGCGAACUUACCAAACUAACUGCAGCAAUAAUGGAAGUUCAGGUACUAUUCAGUAAUUUUAUCUUUUCCUCAAUUAUUAGCUUGUCCUUGAUCAAAAUAAUAAUUUCAUUCAAUUAUAAAUUUCCAGCAACAUAAUUAACUAUUUUAUGCAACUAAAUCCUUUUUGAAAUUUUUACAAAUUACCCCUGACAUUUUACUUCUAUGCAAUUUAAUCCCUAAGCUCAAAACUUGCGAUUUAACUAAUUUUAAUCAAAUUUAAAUUCAGCUGAAUUGUAUAGGGCCCCAUACAACCCACAAUUUUUUAUUUCACAAAAAUUCCUGUAAUUUUAUCACUUUCACGGCUUAGUCCUUAAACAUUAAAAUUAUCAAAAAUUACUUUACAAAAUAGUCCUAUUUAACAUUCAAGUUUUAUAAUCUACCAUAAAACUUUAAGAAUAUCGAAAACUGAACAAUAACAUAAUCCAUAAUUUUUAAGCAUUUUGAAAACAGAGAAACGAUUUAGCUGGACCUAGUUGCAACGAUCUUAAAAACAUAAAAAUUAUAAGAAACCGAUUAAAAUUGGCUUACCAAAUUGAAGGACAAGCUUGGCCGAAGCUUCCAUCACCUCCAAAAAUGGUGUUUUGGCAUUUUUAGGAGGAGAAUCAAAGAAAUUACAUUGUAAUUUAGCUUUUAUUUUAAUUAUAAUUCAUUUAUUUCCAAAAUUAUUAUUAUAACCUUUUAAUUAUAAUGUAUAUAAUUUAUAAAACAUAUCCAUAAAUGAUCGAUAUAUAAGUAUAUGGUAUAAUUACCAUCCAAGAAAGGUUUAAUUGCACAAUUAGUUCUUUAAUUGUUUCAAAUUAUUGAUUAAUUAAGUUUUAUUUCAAUUUAAACCUAAACUAACUAGGACUAAAUGAGCAAAUAGCUAAAAAAAUUAGUGGAUUUAAUCAUGUCACCACCGCAUGGACUUUUUGACCAUGGUUUAAUCACCAUUUUGGUCUCUUUAGUAGUUUAAAUCUAUAGCAAUAAACUUUUACCUCUUUUACAAUUUAAUUUUUUUACCUUAAUUAAUCAAUUAAUCAUAAAAAUUACCGGACCAAACUUCAAUUCACCUAUAAUAAGACUCUCUAAAUGUUUAAUAAAAAUAUUUAUGGCAUUAAAUUACAGAAACGAGGUCCUAAUACCUUGUUUUCAAUAACCACUUGACUUUUGAAUCGAACCACCUAUACUAACUUUUAAUUCAUUAGUUAAAAUUCCUCAAAUUAAAAUUCAAUAUAAAAAUAACUAUUGACUCGUAUAAUUUAAAUACUAAUUAUACGAACUCACUCAUCAAAUUUGUGGUUCUGAAACACCGUUUUCGAUUCUACUGAAAAACAGGUUGUUACAAUUGCAAUCACUAAAACAUAAUUGUAUAUGUCCGAUUGGUCCCUCCGCUAUCUCAACAAAAGCUCGACUAGAAUGCAUUUGAAUCAAAAGAAAAUUCUAGGACUUUAGGAAUACUUUAAUUGAGUCGAUUUAUUUGAUGUGCAAUUAAAUUAUGUGGUCCUGAGAAUUGUUCAACUAGAGAUGAUGAGUCACAACUAACUAAAAAUACGACAAAAGCAAGUGCACCUAUCGAUAAAUAGUAUAGCAACAAUGAAUAGAGAUAUCGUAUCCACGAGGAUUAAAAGUACUAGUAAUUACUGUUUUCCUAUUUUUUAACCGUCAAAUUGGAGUGAUUGGUUUAAGCUAAAAUAUAAUAAAUUAAUUAAUUAAAGAACUCAACAAAGAAUAAAAUAAGAAAAUAAUUAAAUAAUAACCAAGAAGCUAAAUAAUACCCAAGAAAGAAUCAAUCUAAACUUCAUCUAUCAUUAUAAAUCUGAAUUAAACGAUUUAUUCACUUGGUAUCUUGAUCUGUAGAAAUCUCUAAAUUAUGCUAUCAUCUCUUUCAAGAGUAAAAACAACUAACUCUAGAUUGAUUAAUUGAAAUUCCUUUCUAAUUAAAACUCCUAUUAUUGCAUUAACUCGAUUUAUGGAUCCUCUUAUUAGAUUUGGCUCUAAUCUAGUAGAUUUAUGUCGUCCUAUUUCUAGGAUUGCAUGCAACUUCACUCAAUUUUGUUAGAUCUACUCUUAAACAGAUUUAAGCACAUUAAACAUGUAUUAAUAUUCAGGAAAUAUUAAAAACAAGAGAUAAGCACACAUAACUGAGAACAAAAAUCAAGUAUUUAUCACGUAAAAUAGAAAUCAAAUAAUAGAAUUCAUCAUAGGAUUCAUCUUCCCUAGGUAUCUAGAGAUUUAGUUCUUAAUUGUAAAUAAAAAUAUCUCAAAGUCAAUAUAACCACUAAAAAUAAAGAAAUUAAAAGGAGGUCUUAAAUCUUUGAUGGAAAUAUACUUCAGAGUUGGCUUCAGUGGUGUUCUGCGAGUUGUUUUCUUCAAUAUUCUCUGAUGGCUUCCUAUUCUCUUCUUCUAUUUAGUACUUAUAGACUUUAAAAUGCCCGAAAAGCCUAAAAAUUAUGUUUUUUUGCAUGUUUUGGAUACGAAUUGCGAAAUCAACACGGUCUGGCACAUGGCCGUGUGCCAGCCUGUGUGGCUCACACAGCCGUGUGUCCAGCUCGUGUGGCUCACACAGCCGUGUGUCCAGCCCAUGUGAGAAGGCCCAACCCGUGUGGCUCUUGAAAUCUGCUCUAUUUAUCCGAUUUUAGCUUAUUUUUCGCUCAUUUUGCUCUCAAAUGCUCUCCUAAGUAUAGAAACAUGAAUUUAAAGGAUUAGGAGCAUAAAAUUCAUUAAUUUACAUAAAUAAUCAUCCAAAAACGUUUUAAGAAUGAGAUUAAAAUAUGUUACUUUUAUCACUUAUCAAGAGAAUUUUAUUAAAAAAAUUUCUUGGAAAAUUAAUUUGGAAAAUCUAAGUGAUUUUUGAAAAAAUUAAUUUUGAUAAAGUAAAACUAAAUUAACUAAAUCAACUAAAAUUAAUAUGAUAUUUUUGGAAGUUAAAUUUCAAGUCAAACAAUUGGCCAAUGGGUAAUUGAACUUGAAAAUUGGACUUGAGAUCGUAAAUUGGGCCCAAGAGCCCAAAACCGAAACCAAUACCCAAAAAUUGGUCAAACUAGGCCUGAUAUGUGAAACCGGACCGACAGUCCAAUCGGUGGUUAGACCAGAUUGGUCAGAUCGUCAUUGACUCGGAUCGAACCAAGAGCAGUCGAACUGGCUCAAUGUGCUGUAAAGGUGUCGCACCUGCAUCACUGGACACGGCGGUGCCAAUCGCUGUGAUGGCAAUGUCCCGAUAGUCUGCGACAAUUGGUCGUCGGUGGUUGAGCAGUGGAAGAGUUACACUCCUAUUGGGACUCUACUAGAGAAUUUGAUUUCAAAAUAAUUAUUCUAAAAAUAAUAUUAUUUUAAUAGUUUAAUAUUAAAUUAAGUUUAAUACUUAUCUAGAUAGUAUUUUAUUAAUUUAAUAUUAAAGUGAUUAUCUUAAUAUUAAAUUUAAUUUAAUGUUUAUCUUGUAGAUAAAUAUUCUAUUAUUUUAAUAAGAUUUAACAUUAAAUUUAAUCUAAUAUUUAUCUUAAUAAAUAUUAUAUUAAUUUAAUAUUAAAGUGAUUAAGUUUAACCAUAGUUGAACUCUCUAAACAUUCCCUAUAUAAAGAGAGCCUUGAGUCAUUAUUUACACACACUUGAAUCCAAAAAAAAGUUGUAGAGAGAAAAUUCUCUGAAGAGAUUAUUCUAGAAAAUUUCUAGAGAUAUUUUUCUGAUUUACAACUUGACCCAAAAGUUUAGAGAAAUUGCAGAAUUACCCCAUUGGUAAGUUUUGUGAAAAAUUUUCUGAUUCGAAGCGAGCCUACACUCGGCAGACGUGAGCUUGAGGAUAGCGUAGAAACUACUCGGUCGAAGCACUCAUCCUAGACGAAUCGAAAAGGUACAAAUUUGAUUAAGUGUUUAUUACUUUAAAUAUCACAACCAAGAUCUUGUUUUAGAAAAAAAUUAAAACUUUGGCUUUUCCCUAAAUUUAUUUUCCAUUGGAUUUUCCAAACUCGUUUUUUCCAACAUGAGUAUGUAACUUUUAUUCUCUAAAGAUAUCUCAUAACCCUCUUGGCUGUUAUCCAAUAGUCUACACCAAGAUUGCUUAAAUAUCUGCCUAACAUCCCAACAAUGUACACAAUGUUCGAAUGUGUACAUACUUGAGCAUACAUUAGACUCCCCAUACUUGAAACGUAUGGAACCUUGCACAUUUCUUUACUCUCAAAAUCAUUCUUGGGGUAUUGGUUAAGACUUAACUUAUUAUUGACAAACAGUAUGUCAUUAACAACCAAAUAUAGAAUCUUACUCUUGCUGAACUUUUGGUAUAUAUAAUUAUCGACCAAAUUUAUCUCUAAACUGAAUGAGAUAAUCAUUUGGUAAAAUUUGUAAUACUAUUGACGGGAAAUCUGCUUAAACCCAUAGAUGAAGUUCUUUAAUUUGCAAAUCAUUAACUUUGCAUCACCAGACACAAAAUUUUUUAGUUGCACCAUAUAAAUGUAUGAUCAAUUUUAACAUUGAGAAACCAUUAACUUAACAUUCAUCUGGCGCAGUUUAAGGUCAAAAUAUUUCACUAAUGCCAUUAUAACCUUUUCUCUAGUGGACCUUCUUAAUGACAUUUGUUCUUGAGGCUGUUGAGUUUGUUCUUUAAGAACAAUUACCUCAACUUGAAUAAGGAGUUGUUCAAUAUUGUCUUAUUGAGGUUUUGGAUUCACUUUUUGAUUAAUAAUAGGUAUGAUAACCUGAACAUUGUCAAAAAUGAUAACAGUAACUAAGUUAGAAUCUAAUUCAUCCUCAAAAGCAACAUCUCUAACCUUAUUUCUCCUUUCAAACUCAACAUCCUCAAAAAAUGUUGCAGUUCUCAUCUCAAAAAUAUUCCUAAUUGUGGUUGUCUUUAGAGGCACUGCCCAAAUGAGCACUUUCAGACUUAUCAUGUUUCAACCUUUCUUCCUUUUGCACACAAUGAGAAAUGGGCUCAUUUAGAUCCCAUUGCUCCUUUUGACAGUUGUAACUAAUUUUAAAUUGGUUAAACUAUGCAAGAAGCAAUACCAAAACCAUAAAAACAAGCAAUUCCUCAGAAAGCUUGAUUUUAAGUACCUUAAGUCUUGAAGCAACAUGGAACAUCUCCAUAAUGUACUCCCUCACAUUUCCUUGACUCAUAAACUUUAUAAACAUCAAAGAAGUCAGAAGUAAUAUCAUCUCAACCUUAUCGUUUUUAACAAUUUCUCAAUUUCGUCAAGGAAACCCUUGGCCUGAGUAAUUUUUUUAGAUUUUGUGUCCCUAAAGGCUUCUGGAAUAUUAUGCUUCAUGAUCAUUAGACUCACGUGAUUUGAACCAUCCCAUGUCUCAAAAUCCCUUUUAGCAUCAGGGGUGCUUUCCGUAUUGUAAGGUGCGAGUUUUUCUUCCCUUAGUGUAAGACCUAUGUCCAUAUAACCAAGCACUAUAAGUGCCUUUUCAAUUCCUUGAAAUUAGUCCUAUUAAGCAUGGAUAUAGAAUUUAUAUUAGCAGAUAUUAUGGCAGCAUAAGAUGAACUAGCUAAAUAUGGAACAGAAUAGAUAAAAACAAGCUCACAUGAAUAUUCAUAUUCAUAAGUAAACAAUAAAUUCAAAAUAGUGGCUUCAAUACCAAGAUACUGAAUACUACAUUAAUAUCAAGUCUUUGGACAGUAAUAUUAACAGUAAGCGAUACUCUUUUUGUAGCAAUCAAACAUUAACAAUAAAUUAUGUCAAACAAUGAAUCAAUCUUUGAACUAACUUAUUGCUCACAUAAAAUACCUUAUAAUUGUCACACAUUUAUCACCACAGAUGUGUUGAAAUUAUACCAAAUAUUAACUUACCUUUGGGUCAAUUAAUAAACUCAUGAAUCAUAAAAACAUAUAAUUAUCUUGAUAUUUUAAAUAAACUAAUCUACGUAAAAGAGGUCACUUUGGUGGCAUUUUGUUUCAACUAAUCUAUUUAAAAUAUUAGCCUAAAGCCAAAAUCUAAAUUUAUUUGUUUCAAAAUAUUUCAAAUUUAAACCAAAAUAAUUUGAAUAAAGGUAAAUCUCAUCUUAAGAUAUCGGACACUUCAUUAAUAUUUCAUCUUUGGACAAAAUAUUAACUUGUAAGUGAUAUCUGAGUAUAGUAGUCAAACACUGACAAUAAGAAAUUAUUUUUUAUUUUAAUUACUUGUAUUUUUAGCUUGUAAAUAGGCUUAGCCACCCACUCAUAUCAUCAUGGGGUGAAAUAUAUUUUUCAUGUGAAAUUGUGUUAAUUUUUUGUGAAAUGUAAAGAGUAUUUUGAGGAUUAAAGUGAUUUGACUCUUAGUUUUUUUAAGUUUGUUACUUUCUAAGCGUUUUGGAACUUCAAGAUUUUCAACAUGAAAGAACUGAGUGAUAUUGUUAGAAAGUUGAGAAAUGCCAAAAACAAUGAUACAAGCAAUACCAAUUGCUUUAGGCACUGAUGAACAACAAAGAUGAACACAAUAAUAUGUUUAUGCAGUUCGAUUUUCCUCAUACAACAAGUGAUUACAAGUUCUGACCCCUAUCGUAUUAGCAACCUCAUUAUUGCACUUAAGAUUUGUAUCACUCUCUUCUAAGUUUUUAGGAACUUAGACUGAAAACAAAGUAAUUAACUUAUUUUUAAACUCAGGGUCCGUUUGUUUACAUGUAAAAGGUUUUACGAAAAAUGUUUUCUGCAUUUUUCUGUGUUUGUUUCACAGAAAAUAGUUUGGUCAACAGAAAAUGACUUAUAUGUCAAGGUAAAAUAAGCCCUUUUUCUUGUAAAAUGACUUGCUAUUUUGAAAAUCGUAAGUCAUUUUCCGAAACAGAGCUCAUCUAUAGAUAAUUUUAUUUUUUUAUAAAAAUUAACUUAAAUCAAGCUUAAUAUUAUUAUAUUGAUAAUAAAUUUUAUUUUUAUUUUUAAAAAUAUUUAAAAUAUUAUAUUUUUCAAUAUUAUUAAACAUACAUAUUUAAUUACUUAUAUUUAGUCAUAUAAUAAAUUAUUAAUAUAAUAAAUAUAAAUUAUUAUUUUAAUAAAUUAUUUAAUAUUUCAAUUUUAUUUUAGUAAUAAAUUUUAAAAAUAAUAAUUUUAAAUAAUAUUAUUCACAUAUUAUUGAAAAUAUUCAAUAUUAAUAUUUUAAUAAUAAAUAUUUAUUACAAUUAUAAAUAUAUUAAUAAUAAAUGUUUUGUAGUAUAAAGGAUAAAAUAUGUCAUAAGUCUACGUACAAUUCACAGACUUGUAAUUUAGUCUUUGUACUUUUAUUUUCAAGAAUUUAGUCCCUUUACUUUUCAAAUUUGAAAAUCAAAUCCAAUUGUUGACAUCGUUAUUUUUUUUAAUUUUGUUGAUGUCACUUUUUUAAAUAAAAAAUACUCACUUAGUAGUCAUGCAAUUAAAAAAUGACGUAAUGAAUCUGAAUUUAACAUAAUAUUUUUAAUAUAUGAAAAAAUAAUGUAAAAUAUAAGAUUAUAGUUAAAAAUAAAUUCAAUUAAACAAUGAAAAAAAAAGAAAAUCUCAAAUAUAUGUUUUUUUAAUUGAAAACAACUUUUAUGAAAUAUUUUUAAAAAAUCUAGCAAAUAACAGAAAAUAUUUUAUAUAGAUUCAUCCAAACACCAAAAAAUAUUAACUUUCCAAAAAUUAUUUUUCGGAAGUCAUUUUCAAUGAAACAAAUGGAGCCUCAAUGCACCUACAAUUACAAGUUCUUUAUUGAACAAAUAAGUGCUAAAAUUCUUUGUACAAAACCUAUACAAAUCUCAAGUGUAUAAACUACUUUCGAUUUGCUAACAUACUAGAUCAAUUACAAUCAAUCUUCCCCAUUAAACUAGCAGGAUAAUAAGCUCAGUGAAUAUCUUCAAUAAGUUCAAAAUAAGUCUUCAAUAUUCAAAAUCUAAUCCAAUCUCUUCAAAACAAGAAAGUCGAUUUGCUUGAUCUAAUCCAAACCAAUCUUUAAUAUAUGUUCGUAUAACAGGUUUGGAUAUCAUAUAUGGGCUUACACACGUCCAACCUAUAACAGAUCUAGAUAUCAUAAAUGGGCUUGCGCAUGUCUAGAGUAUAAAAAAAGAUCACUCUUAUUUCUUUGCAUUUAAAGCUCAAACUUGCCAACACACACCUAUUAGAAAUUCACCAAUUAUUUGUUAUUUCUCCUUGCAUUUUAAAGAGUGUAGUUAAGGUUUUUUAGAUAUAAAACCAUAAGGAAUUAGAUAAGUUCCAAUUGAGCCUAUGUAAAAGCUAAAGGGUUUUUGCUAAGAUAUAAAAAUUAGCGGAAAAGUUUUAUAUUAGCCUUAUUAAAAAAUAUAGGGAUUGUAAACAUUAAGAUAUUUUUCUUAGAGUAUCAAUGUAGUAGAGAUAAACAAUUAAGGAUGAACCACUAUAAAUUGAUUGUCUAAGAUUUUCUUUCUUUUUAACUCUUUUAUUUUAGAAAAGUUUGAUGAAAUUUUAAAUUAUUAAUUCAUCUCUCUUAGUAUUUUUAGGCCUAUCAAAAUAUACGAAGAAACUAAUUAAUUUUUAAUAAUUUUGCAAGGGUUUAAUUAAUGUUUUAUAUAUUUUCUAAUGAGUUUUUUUAACAUUUAAGCCUAAAAUUUUUAAAACUGAUUACACAUUAUGAAAAUAAUUUUAAAAUUUAAAUUAUUGAAAUUUUUUUAAGAAUUACAAAAAGUUAUAAAAAUUAAAAUUAUAAAAUUUAUCAAAAAUAAUAACUGUUUAUAAAAAAUAAUAUUUUAAAAAAUAAAAUAAAUAUAAAUAAGUAUAGAUACCUGUUUUAUUUUACAAGAUUUUUUGGUUUUAAUGAUAAAAAAAAAUGAAAAGAAUGAAAUGAGAUAUCGAUCAGUCGUAUGUGGAGAGUUGAGUGAGAGGUUUGAAUGAUGAUGUGCUUAGUGCUUGGAACAAUUGUUUUAGUUGAGGAAUUGUGAUUCAAUUGAGGUCUAUGAAUCAUGAUUUGUAUCAAAUUAAGUACAAUUUUUGAACGAUGGACUUAAUUGAUUUUCUAAUUAUUUUCAAAAGGCUUAUUUGAUAUUUUAACCAAUAAUAAUAAUAAUAAUUAAAGUUGAAACAUUUUUUUGACAAAUUAUAAAAAUCUGUCCAUUGUUUUUAGUUUUCUCUCCCAGAUUCAUCCUUCCGUCCCUUGGAAAUACAAAGGACUUCGCUGCUAUUCUCAAUUUCAAUUUUUAUCCUAAAACGCUUAGAAAAAAAAAAACAACUAAAAAGAUGGCGAGGAGACCGGACGAGGAAUACGAUUACUUGUUUAAGGUAGUACUAAUCGGCGAUUCUGGCGUUGGAAAAUCUAAUUUGCUUUCUCGAUUUACUCGGAACGAGUUUUGCUUAGAAUCUAAAUCUACCAUCGGCGUCGAAUUCGCCACCCGCACUCUCCAAGUAAUAAAUCUCCCCUUUUUCUUCUCUUUUUUUUCGUUAAUUUAUUUGUAUAUCUGUAAUGAAGUGUAAUUUUGGUUUACUUUAGAUGCUUGGAUUUAGAUCAAUUAUUUCCCGUUCUUAACGUGCGGUAGAUCUGAUUUGUUCGUUGUUUAAUCGUUCUUUUUAAUUUGAAUUUCAACUGCUUUACUUUCAAAAAAAAAAAAUUCUCCAGGUUUUUCUUGAAUGUAUGAUAUUUUAGAUUGAGCCAAUCAGUGGUCAUAGUAUUUGAAAGAAAAUGGAGUUCACUCCUGAUUUUGAUAAUCUUUAGUAUUGAAUUGUGUUGAAGCUAUGUGAGACAUGAAUAAAUAUGUAAAAUUUUUCUUUGAUUGUGAAGGAUUUGAUAGACGCCUAUUUGGCGGUGGAUUUGAAAUAACUAUAUAUCAUUAAAUAUUUGUUAAUUAACUGAAAUGAAAUUAGGUGGUUAUCGAUUAAAAUAUACGUAGUUCAUUUGCACGAUCUCAUAAGUUUGGACAUUUGGAUCAAGUUUGAAUUUCAGAGUCUAUUUGAAUCCGCUCCUGGCCCGAACAGAACUAAUCCUAGAUUACAAAACGAAUGAUGAUACUUGUGGUUAUACCCAAAAAAAAAAAAAAAGUGUGACUGCUAUCGGAUUAGGUGGCCGCUGGUGAGUUUAGUCAUGAGUUACAGCCCUUAGAGGGGAUGAUUAAAGGGCAACAGGUUCCUGGCUGUGCCAAUCCAUUUUUCUUGAUGGAAAAUGUGCGAGUUUUCUUGGUUAACUGAUAUUUAUGACUAAAGGGUAUCUUUUUAAUGCCAAAAAUGUUGAAUGGUGGAAUAAGAUAUUAGCUAAAUUUAAUUAUUAUAAAUAGACAUUUUAGUUCUCGUAUGAAAAUAACUGUAAAAUCUGAAAAAUAAUACAUUGUUAUUUGUACUAACUUGGCUGUUUUGAUCAAACAAGGUUGGAAAUGUUCAUCUAGAUCCAAAGUCGCAACCUUUUAAGAGUUGCACACAUGUCAUGUUAUUUCGCUCAGUCUACUUGAUGGCCUACCUUGUUACAACUAAUAUAACAUAAAUAAGUUUAGAUUUUAGUCUUUUUGUUUCUCUCUUGUCGGAAAUGACUGAAAAUGUGGAGUUGGUCUUUUUUACAGAGAGAAUAUAGGUAAUGUCUAUUUCUUGGAGAAAGCGUCGAAUGUGUUUCUGGUCUCUCUGUUUGCCUUUUCCCCUGCAUGUUAGGCAUGAGAAAUACGGUUACGGGUCUGGUUGUUAUAAGUUAAAUGUUCUUAAUACGGCUUCUUUCAGGUUGAAGGGAGGACUGUGAAAGCUCAGAUAUGGGACACUGCUGGUCAGGAACGGUACAGAGCAAUAACCAGUGCUUACUAUAGAGGUGCUCUUGGAGCUCUUCUGGUGUACGAUGUUACCAAGCCAACGACUUUUGAAAAUGUGAGCCGAUGGCUGAAAGAACUCAGGGACCAUGCGGAUUCUAACAUUGUAAUUAUGAUGAUUGGGAACAAGACUGAUCUGAAGCAUCUCCGAGCAGUUGCCACAGAGGAUGGUCAAAGCUAUGCCGAGAAAGAAGGCCUUUCAUUUAUUGAGACAUCUGCACUAGAAGCAAUAAAUGUUGAGAAGGCUUUCCAGACCAUUCUCUCUGAAAUAUACCGCAAAAUUAGUAAGAAGUCACUUUCUUCAGAUGAGCCAGCACCAGCAAGUAUUAAAGAAGGGAAGACCAUUGAUGUUGGAGCACCCGAAGCCAACACCAAAAAGGCUUGCUGUUCAUCAUCUUGAACAUGUUACAAUUUUCAUUCCUUUCUUUUGUGUAAUCAAUGUGUUGUAUUGUCAAGACAUUCUUCUUGUUGCUAUUACGUUAUUUUGUAUCAUUACAAACAUUUGAACUAUUCAUGUUCUUGUGUUGUUGUAAGUUAUUGAUUAUUUUGACAUGGCUGUAAUUACCAUCUCCUCUGUCAAUGAUCUUAAGGGGGGUAAAAAUUUUCGACUGUUUCAGAUACCGGGAUUUUAUCAUCAUUUUUGUGAAGGCUUACAGGUUAAACAUUGAAGGUAUUGCACCCACUAAUCCUCAGUUGUCACUCAUGCAUUUCCUGUGGUUUGAAUCUUUUUGUCCUCAUGAAUACCAGAAUAUUAGGAAUUACUAAUAAUGGUUCCUGCACUCAAGUUCAGUCCUUCAACAUUUUGUUUUUCAGCAAAUACGGUAUAUAAUCUAACGAAAAUAUAAGAUACAAGGAACAUGCAUUGGUACUUCAACUUACACAGAAAAAGUUCAAGUAGGCAGCAUUUUAGUUUCUGAAACGUUCAUAUGAUAUGCAACAUGUUUACGAUCUAAAAGAGUUCCGGCUACUAGCCACAGCAAUUGUUCUUCUGUUCGAUCGGUUGUCCCUUCAUUUGAACAGUUCCGGCAGACUUGUUCCCAGUUGGCUGGUUACCCAUUCUGCAUAAAAUUGGAUAGAAAACCAGAUAGGUAAACUUCGUAAUUAAAGAUAUGACAUAUAAAAGAACUAGAAAUAAAUAGAAAGUGGAGAUUUUAGACAAUAAAUAAUGUGAACGAUUUUCUUAUGAACGUCUGGUGAACUCCAGACUAAGCUAGCAAUGUGAAAGAUCAAUUAUCAGAAGCAUGAUCAUUACAUUAAAUACUCUGUGGUGCAUUAAGAACCUAUUGGUGGGUGACCAAGACAAUUGUGACAUCUUACCAGAAACAACAUUCAUUUAAUAGCAAAUAGGUAAAAAGAUUAUGGAUUUUGAAAGGAAAAAAAAAAAAAAAAAAAGGAAAAGUACGACAGAGUGGAACUCAUUGUACUUUUUCUUAAUCUCGGCAGCCAUGGUUAAGAAAGCCUGCUCUACAUUGAUUGAAUCUUUAGCACUUGUCUCCAGGAAAGGAAUCCCAAUUUCAUCUGCAAAUGCCUGUAGUUCAAUGAAGAACAGAAUUGCAAAUUAAUCAAAUUAUGAUUGCCUGCAGUAAAUUAUAUCUAAUCACCAGCUGCAGAUUACAGUAGUGUAACCAAACUGUUAUCUUAUCCAUUCAUAACCAGCGAGAAAUUUCAAGAGGACCUAAAGCAUCUAGAAAUCUCAAAGAGAUUAAAAACCUUCAAGGAACACCCCGGGUAAACAAGACAAUUAACUGAUGAUAACUGUCAUAACAUUAAAAAUAAUAAAACAAACCUUCGCUGUCUGCGUGUCGACAACCUUGUUCUCAACUAAAUCACAUUUGUUCCCAACCAGAAGCUUACAUACACUGUCAUUAGCAUAUCUGUCAAUCUCGUUCAACCACUGCUUGACAUUGUUGAAGCUCUCCAUCUCGGUAACAUCAUAGACGACCUGUUGUAAUACCAACAAAAGGAUUCUGAGACACUUAACAGGGUCAGAUAUGAAAUAAGAAAGUAAGAUGUUUAACAAUAAAAAUAUAUGUUCUAUGUUCUUUGACAUGCUAGGAUUUGAUUUUGACAAUUUUUUUUUUUAAUAAAUUUCAGGGUGUUCAAACAGCAGUAUGGACUUCUAUUCACCUAGCUGACCAAUGGAAUCAGUAAAUGGAAGGCAAUUACCUAGAGCUACAAUGAACAUUUCUGUCACACAUUCCUGAUUGGAAAUAAAUUUACACACCCAAAAUAGAAUAUUCAAAACAGCAGUAAAAAGCCAAUAGUAUGUAUGUUUAGUAAAGCAGGCUCCUCCUCUUUCACCAACUUGAGAAUUUAAAAAUAAGGUAGUUUUGGACUCACAUUACAAUUAGCAUGACGCAAGAACAUCCAGAAUAUUGACUGCAAGUUAACUAUAUUUGCAAGAAAGAAAAUGGAUAUCAAUUAGCAGAUAACCUGAUGAUCAUAUUUUCUUGAAACACAUCCCAAUACCCACCCUGAAGGUCUAGUUGGGAUAAAAUUUUAUGAUCUGAGAUCAAUCAGGUUCAGUUUCUU